CCCCCAGUGAAUGAAGAGGUGAAAUGUACAAAUGAUUGGCUGGACGGUACGCUGUCGCAGGCGAGUCCUGGCUACACAUAUAUUUGCCCGUGUGUAUAAUCUUUGGUGGGAGACAUUUGGCGAACAGAGGCAGGAAAGGCUGCUCCAGUCCAGUGUUUAUCUAGUUGUUUGAUUGAAGGUCUGUUUCCCGGACAUAAUUUUUGGCACGGUCAGCUCCAUUCCAGGUCGUGUGCAAUGCUCAUUGUUGUGGCACACUAUUUACUGUUGACCCGUAUUAUCUCUUGCCAUGUAAACCAAGUUAUCUCAUUCCAGUGUUUGCUAAUUUGGUGUGUUGACGGGACAGUUCUUUCCUUUCAAUUCUAUAUAUACAACUCACUAGUACUAUUGAGUUUGGUAUUUAUGAUAUCAAAUUCUUGUGGUAGCCAAAAUCCAAUUCCAAUUUCUUAAAUUCUAGGCCCAGUUCAUAGGAGCCAGUGAAACUUCUGGUGCUUAUUCUAGACGUCAUUUGGCUGCAAUUCUAAUCAACGAUGUAAAAGACCGAUUCCCUAAUUCCAGAACACAGUCACUUGACAAUCCUAUGGAAAGGGCGGGCAAAAGUGCGUACCAGAACACAGUCACUUACAAUCCUAUGGAAAGGGCGGGCAAAAUUGGGUAAUCCUAUGGUCGCUGUGUCAUCCAUUUGGAGCUCCCAAUUUCGACUAAACUUGCUGGAAUGGUACUUCCAAAUACUCCAGCACAUGAGAAUAACAUUUUUCACGAAAGAAAAAGGACGGGACUGCCAAUUGACUCUUCUUUUUUUGGCGAAACCAAUUGAACCUUGACAUGUUACAAUAUACGGAAGGGACCCUCUUGGGAUGGAAUCGCUACUCCCAAUAUGGCCCAAAAUUGCCGCAAGAGAUCGCAACAUUCGUUUGAUGAGAAAUAAAAAUUAUCGAGAAUUUCCGUGUGUAAAAAGAGAUGCACCAAACUCUCAUCAUUGCCUCUGGACACAAGAAAUAGUCAUAUGUAUGAAGAUCCUUUGGCAUCUAGUAGUGUUUAGGGAUCCUUUGGUAUCGAACAAAACAAACCAUCAUGCUUACGUCGACAGGAUGAUUUCCAUAGUCACCCAAAAAAGAUAUGAACUUCAGUAUGUCUUGUUAGAGACAUGCAGGCCUUAGCCGAAGACAAGAUAUGAACAAUCUUUUUUUUCCAGUUUCUGAGAGAUUUCGUGUCAGCUGCUAAAGAUCAAGCAACUCACAGGCUUGCACUGAAAGUGAGAGCUGAAAAAGACGGCGCAACACUGGCGGAGCUUUAGCCUUGGACAUAAAUUCUUCCUUCUGUUUUGAGUAUGAGCAUAGUUCGAGGAAGGCAAGUGGAGGUACUUAAAAGCCCCGGCAAAGCAGUCUUGAAUGAUUAUUGUCUUGAUAAAGCCAUAUUGGUUUCGAAAAGAGAAAGUUUCCCUGAUUGAAACUGAGGUAAGGAGGAGCUGUAGACUCCAAAAGCUGUCCAAAGGUUUUAAAAAAGCAAUCUGUAGAGACAAAGAUUGUCUGGCUUGUCAUGCUCUCCCACCUAGUAUCCCUGCCAAAAUUAUUAAAAGUCUGAACACAUCUUUCUGCAAGGUUUCUGAGAAGGACACUUCUGAGGCAAUGAUUACCAAGAAGGCCAAGAAAGCUAAAGGAGGGAAUCCAGGUGGGGAAGCAAGCAAAGGAAGCAGGGACAUUAGCAAAUAGAGAAUCACCCCUCCAACCAGCAUUAUAAGUGGUAGUUAGAACUUUUGUCAUGGGCAUUUUGCAUCUGUACUGCAACGGAAAGUUAUCUUGGGACCUGUUUGUGUUUCUUCUCUGUAAUGAACUUAAUGAGACUGAGUUGACUUUUGCUGUAAUGAUCUCUAUUAAUAUCUGCUUCCCUAGGAUCUGUUGCCUCACCCCCAAGUUAUGGAAUUUGUUUCUCUCUGGUAGUGCUUCUAUCCAAUCACAUCAUGAGCCGACAAUGGAAUGUGCUUAACUGGAACAUUAGAGGGAUCAAUGACCCCAAGAAAUGGACUGCCAUUGCCAAUAAGAUUGAUGAAUCACAAUGUUCCAUACUCUGCCUUCAAGAAACUAAGAAAGAUAGUUUUGACAACACUUUUAGCAAAAACUUCUGCCCCAAAAGAAUCUCCAAAUUUGCUUUCCUCCCAUCUGUUGGAGCUGCUGGUGGCCUAUUUGUUGCUUGGAAUGAAAAUGUCUUCUCUGGACAGAUUUAUCAUGUUGAUGAUUUCUCCAUACCUAUCCAAUUCACCUCCACCCACAAUGGGGAAUCUUGGAUCUUAACAAAUGUUUAUGGUCCUUGCCAACAAAAUGAAAGAAUUCUCUUCCUCAAUUGGUUCUAGAAUUUUCAAAUAUCAGAUGAUGAUAACUGGUUAAUUGUGGGAGAUUUAGACUUUAUCAGAUACCCACACAAUAGAAGCAGAGACGGGGGGUAACAUUAAUGACAUGCUCCUAUUCAAUGAAGCACUUAACAAGCAGGCCCUGGUUGAGAUUCCUCUCAAAGGUAGAAGAUUCACUUGGAGUAAUAUGUAGGAUUCACCAUUACUUGAGAAGCUAGAUUGGUGUUUCACAUCUGAAGCAUGGUCCCUUAAAUACCCUGCUACCUUUGCUUAUCCUUUGGCUAAAACCACUCCUGAUCAUGUGCCUAUAAAGAUUCAGAUAGGCUCUUCCAUCCCCAAAACCAACAUCUUCAGAUUUGAAUUUUUUUGGCUUGAGCACCAGCAAUUUAAAGAUGUGGUUAGCUCCAUUUGGUCACAACUAGUAGCAUAAACAGACAGUGCAAAAGUGAUUGAAGCCAGAUUUAAGAGACUGAGAAAAGGACUAAACGUUUGGGCAAAGGGCCUUUCUGAUCUGAAGAAGAUUAUUGAAAACACCAACUUCAUGAUCUUAUGUUGGGACACUAUUGAGGAAUUCAGAGAACUAACUACUGAAGAAAACAAUGGCAGAAAUCUCCUUAAGAUGCACCUGGAAAUAACACUAGAUCAUCAGAGGUAGUAUUGGAAGCAGAGAGCAACAAUCAGGAAAAUCAAAGUGGGUGAAGCCAAUACCAAGUACUUUCAAGCCAAAGCUACUAUUAAAUUCAGAAACAAUUGUAUUGCCAUGUUGAAAGAUGAAUAAGGACAUGAACAUCAGGAUCACCAGGCUAAAACUGCUAUUCUAUACAGAGCAUUUAAGGCCAGACUGGGAACCAGGGUUCCAACAUCAAAUCCACUUUUGUUGCAUCAACUGCUCCACCCUCAUGAAGAUCUUUCUGAACUAGAAGCUCCAUUCACCAAGGAGGAGAUUGACUAUGUCAUCAAGCAUAUGCCUGCAGAUAAAUCUCCUGGCCCUGAUGGUUUCAAUGCUGCAUUUCUGAAACAUUGCUGGGAUAUUAUUGCUCCUGAUUUUUAUAAACUAAUUGCAGAUUUUCACUCAGGCCAUGUUAACAUUCAGAGUAUCAACUACUCCUUCAUUACUCUCAUCCCAAAGAAGGACCAUGCAGUUACACCAGCAGAUUUCAGGCCUAUUUCCUUGUUGAAUUGUACUCUCAAAAUCAUCACCAAGUUGCUGGCAAAUAGACUUCAGAAGCUCAUUCUUAGCAUGGUCCACAAAAACCAAUAUGGUUUUCUGAAUCACAGAAUGUAUCCAAGAUUGCCAAGCAUGGUCAUUUGAAUAUAUCCACCAAUGCCAACAGAUCAGAAAAGAAAUCAUUCUUCUCAAAUUGGACUUUGAGAAAGCUUUUGACAUGUUGAAUCAUGACACCAUUAUUGAGAUCCUACAAGCUAAAGGUUUUGGUGACAAGUGGAUCCACUGGAUUAAAAUGAUUUAUGGCUCUGGGUAUUCAUCUGUUCUGCUUAAUGGAGUCCCUGGCAAACAAUUUCUCUGUAACAAUGGUGUGAGGCAAGGAGACCCUAUGUCACCCCUGAUAUUUGUGAUUGCUGCUGAUUUACUACAGUCAAUUUUCAAUGAAGCCUGCCAUGCUUCCAUGAUUGAGUCACCUCUCAGCCACACAUCUUGCCCAGAUUAUCCUAUCAUUCAAUAUGCAGAUGACACUAUCUUAGUGGCCAAGGCUGAUCAUAGACAGGUCUAGCAUAUCAAAAAUCUCCUAUUACACUAUGCUCAGUACACAGGACUCAGAGUGAACUAUGCAAAGUCUACAAUGAUCUCUAUUAACACUCCUGCUGAGAAGAUGAUUGAACUUUCUAGCAUUUUAGGAUGCAAGAUUGGUACUCUACCACUUAAUUAUCUGGGGCUACCUCUGUGUGUUACCAAGCCUAAAGUGGAGGAUUUCAUUCCUUUGCUCCACAAAAUUGAGACUAGGUUACUAAGUUGCUCUACCAUGUUGUCCACUGGAGAUAAACUCACCCUCAUAAAAUCCAUCUUCACAAUUAUGCCCACUUUCUUCAUGAGUACUCUGAUGAUACCCAAAAAAGUCAUUAAGCAAAUCAACACUUAUCUUAUGAACUGUUUUUGGAGAAAAUAUGGCACCUUGGAAAGAGGUACUGUGCUAAUUGCUUGGGACAAAGUUAGCAGACCAAAAAACCAUGGUGGACUUGGGGUUUUAGAUCUCCACAUGCACAACAAGGCCCUUCUCCUGAAAUUCUUGCAUAAGUUCUUCAACAGAGUGGACCCACCAUGGGUGAAUAUCAUUUGGGAGAAACACUAUCAUAACAGGCUACCAGGGGAGCAGAAGGUGGGAUCUUUCUGGUGGAGAGAUAUUCUUAAACUUCUCCCAAUGUUUAAGCAUCAUGCUGUCUGUAAAGCAGGCAUUGGAGAUUCGGUGUGUUUUUGGACUGACAGGUGGCAAGAGCUACCACUCCUCACUAAAUUCCCCGAGCUCCAUUCAUAUGCUAUCAAUCAGGCAAUCUCCUUGAGCGGUGCCCUUGCGCACACAGACAUCAGCCAACUUUUUCACAGACCUCUCUCCCAGUUAGCAUUUGAGCAAUUCACCUUCCUGCAAAUGAUAAUGAGUGGGCAAGCUUCUUCUACUCACAAUGACAAAUGGUCAUACACUUGGGCGUCACCUAAUUACUCAUCUAUGAAAAUGUACAAAGCAAUCAGAGGGGAGAGCACAACCCAUGACAUUUUCAGAGCUCUUUGGAAAUCAGCAUGCAGACUCAGGCAUAAGAUCUUCUUCUAGCUGUUGCUUUGGGAUAGCCUGAGUACUAGGAACUUAAUACAUAGGAGAAACAUGUAUCUGGACGACUACAAUUGUGCCCUAUGUGCUGAUGCCACAGAAGAAACAGCUGUUCAUCUGCUCUGGGAUUGCCAAUUUGCUUCGAGGUGCUGGCACACCAUAGUACCAAACAAGUUCAGAGGUAUUUCUGUAUAUGAUGAAAUUCAUCUCUCCAUGAGACACCUCCCAUCAGACAUUGCAAUGGACAUCAUUAUUUAGGGUUGCUGGGGCAUCUGGAUGAGUAGAAAUGACAAAAUUUUCAGGAGAGCGGCCCCAUCAGUGGACACCUGGAAGCACUAUCUGAAAGAAGGACUUCAAGCUUCAGAGCUCCGAGCCAAAUCAUCAAAGUCAGAGAAGAUCAGAUUUUGGAUAGCACAGAACACUUAAUUUAAUCAUGAGGUUUCCUAAAACUGGCAUUGAUUGACUUAUACUAUACUUUGUAUUUGUACUGUUCUUUUAAUUAAUGAAAAUAUACCGUAGAACAAUUGUUCUAUGGUUUCGGCUCAAAAAAAUAUUGGUUUCUUUGAAUAAGCUCUAAGAUUACAUUUUGCAACCUAGUAUGAGCCGAAAUCUUUCUAAUUAUAUUUAUGGAAUUGUGCAAAAGGGAAAUAAGCGUGUAACCUUGAAGGGCGCACCUUUCUCGGGCAUCAGUGUUAUACAUGAGUCAUUGAUGCCCUAAAGAUACAUUGUCCCAUUGGAAUGCUUCAGACAACUCGUAUAAAUCCCUCGAGAUAAUGGGCCAACCCUUUUUUUGUAAAAAAACCGGUGUUAGAAACCCAUUUGCCCCAAGGGAUUUACCAAAGCACAAGGACAUCAUGCAAACUUGUGACAAGUUUUUCUCUAUACCUGAUGGUGGCAUUGGCAUGAAAGAAUUUUGUUCCCUGAUCGCCAAACUUACCCAUUUGAUAGUGUCUCUUUGCUUUUUUCAAUAAAUUCUUUGCUAGUUAAGAAGAGAUUCAGGCUCAGCUUGCAGUUGCUGAAUUGUGUUGUGCUUAUUUAUAAACUGUUGUGAAAAAUUAGCCUAAAAUAAGCAAAAGCGGGUCAAACAAACACUAAAAUAAGAAAAACAAGUGGGGAAAUGGGAUUAUAUAUCCAUAUUGUAGUUAGAGAUGUUCAUAUAUAUUCAAACAAGAGUGAGGCUUUACCUCAAAACUUGGAAGAGGUUUUGUGAAUUGCAAAGAAAGAAUCCACUUCAUGGGAUUAAAUAUCACAUUUUGCUUGACAUAUUUGUAAUGGUCUGACCUCAGUAUCUAGAGUGCAACUAGAUAGUUAUGCAGGAAAAGUUACAAUGAAUGAAGCUAAGUAACUUUUGGAUAGUACCUCUAAAAGAUAUGAUGAUUAGAACUCAAAUGAGCUAUUCUCAACACCUACUCCCAAGAAAAGAAGUGUGCUUACAUUGAGUAGAGAAGAUAUGAAAGAAACUAAGAGAUCUAUGCAAGAUAUAUAUAUAUAUUUCAUCUGCCAAGUGAAGAAAUUGCCUCCAAUGGGUUACACUCUUCUAACUAAUACAUGUGGUCAUGUAAUUAGAGUUAAUUAUUUAUAUGAAUUUGAGGACCUCCAAUGGGUGACACUCUUCUAACUAAUACUUGUGGUCUUGUCAUUAGAAUUAAUUCUUUAUAUGAAUUUGAUGAAGGUGAUAUUUCGAUUAAUUAAAAAAACAUUUCAACAUGUACAUCAAGAGGGAUCUUUCUGAGAAUUCUAAUAGAAUUGAAAAUUUGUACCUUAGAGAGGACCAUGAAUGAUAUCAAAGAAAUUGUUAAAGAAUGUUCCAUAAUCUAAACUCAACCAGAACAUGUUAUGCAAACUCGGAAAAUUAGAACUCAAUAACCCACCGCAAUGCCAAACGCAACCUUAAGCUUGCCACUUAUUAGCUUCUUGAGGUUCUAGCCACCACUUAGAGAUCUCCGAAUUUCUCGAUUGCUUCAGAGAGAGCUAGAGCGAAUUUAAUACUAUUAUCAGUGUUAGCAGAGAGGACGGAUAGCUGUGCUUGCCAGACUCUAACCACCCUCCCUUGAUUAUAUAAUUUGACCGCUAAAUUCUUGGAAUUGCUAGGCUCACUACUGCAGGAUACUGCUAACGCGACACUACGAUCAGAGACCCUUUGCCGAAACUGUGUGCGAUGCAAUAAUCGCAAACGAUGGUGUAAAAAACCCGUCAAAAAGGUGUAAAAUGUUUGCGAUGGCGGAGCCAUCAAACACGGUUCAGAUUUUAGUUGCGUGUGCAAUGAAGGACACACGGUUAAUCCAUUCAAACUGUCUGCGAUGAGGCAGAACAACAGAAACGGGCAGCCAUAACAAUGUGUGUGCGAUGCAGGACACACGGUUAAUCCAUUCGAACUGUUUGCGAUGAGGUAGAACAACAGAAACGGGCAGCCAUAUCAAUGUGUGUGCAAUAUACGGCAUACGGUUAACUCGGACAAACUGUUUUCGAUUAGGGAACACAACAGAAACGGUUCAACUUAACAAGAUGUGUGUGAUAUGCGGCAUACAGUUCACAUGGAUGAACUGUUUGUGAUGAGCCAAAAGAACACAAAUGAGUCGUGUAAACAAGAUGUGUGUGAUACGUGGCAAACAGCUGACUCGGAUGAACUGUUUGUGAUGAGAAAUUACAACACAUACGGUCAUUACAAUUCCUUCGUGUGUGAUUUUGUGUGUACAAAAAACUUUGAAAAAUGCAAAUAGUUGCUUGCGGUGGCGGAGCAUCGCACACGAUGCGUCUGUGAGUACUCGUGUGCGAUGACUAGUAUGUUACAAAUACGUUUCCUUAUGUUAACAUGUGUGUGAAUUUGCAAUAUGGACAGUUAAUAUGCAAAUGCCUUCUGGACAUCGGGCACACGCUUAAACUCAAUGUAUUGUGUACGAUACUAAUACUUUCCAUGAAAAUUUAUGAACUUGGGUAACAACAUUUGAGUAACAUAUAUAUAGUGGUUACACUAUUCGACAAAAGGAGGAUCUUCGUAACACGGUUUUGACAACCAUAUGGUCCAUAUCUACAUACUUAACAUAGUAACAACUAUCACAUUUUAAGAGGCUAAGGGCCAAUAACCAUAUGGUCCAUAUCUACAUACUUAACAUAUAUAGUAACAGCUAGCACAUUUCAAGAGGCUGAGGGCCAACAACCACAACUAUCCACUGGAAGCAGCUUGAUCACGGCGACUCGGCAUCUCGUCAAUGAAAAGGAAGAGCCCUCCUGUGCCUUGGUAGAGCAUGAGUAGAACAGUGUCUCCAAUUUUACAAUAUGGAUGCAUUGCCACGAGAAGCGAGAACUUGUUAAUUUGAAUGGUUUCAUUUUUGUGGGAAAUGCAGUACCUUGCAAUCACUUUGGCGUUAUUAGCAGGCACAAGUGUAAUUCGACCACGCCGGGAAAUCGAUCCAGAAACUGCUACAGGGGGCAAUUUCUGUUGACAUGUAGAAUAAAAAACAAUUGUAACAUAUCGUUGAAGAUAUAUAUAGUUUAUGAGCAUCAACAUUAAAAUAAGACAUUUUACCAGCGCUUUGUGCACACAAUUGGUCUUGUUCAGUGUGUGCACCAUAGGUCUAAUUAAUCCCAUCCAAAUCCAGCAUUUAUAUGUUGUGCUAUCUCUGUCAGAUUAUCAACAAAGUUUAUGACAUGCUUCACGUCCUUCCAGUGAAAUUUGGUACGCUUAGUAACAUACAGAUCGUUCACUAUGCAUCCAACAUAUCCUGCUUAAAAGGUGGAAAGGUAUUAUUUAUUCAGAACAUGGCAGAAGAAUAUAUAGUGCGCAUAAAUUGGUAAAUAGAAUUUGUUACUGCCCAGGAACGGAGUCAGAAUAUGAUAUCACAAUUGGUUGCUUACAUAGUGAUCAAUUGGUUGCUUAAAUAGUAAUAUGACAGCAUGGAGAAAGUUGAAAGGACAGCAACCUCGAUCGGACUUUGAUCGGCUGAUGACAUUGGGGAAGUAAACAUCCAUGUUAAUUAGAUCAGGCUAUGGUGCACGCACUAGAACUUUAUUGCCAGCUUUCAGUUCAUAACACUUAGACAUUUUUCUCCAAAGGUCCGCAUUAAAAUAGGAGUGACCAUCUUUAUCAAGUUAUAUGCUAACCGUCAUUGUAAAUCCAUGCUGCAUUGUCAAUAUGACAUCCUGGGAGUCAUCAGCAAAGUAAAGCCCAAGAUUUCCUUCUACUCCUGUUCUUGCAAAGCAAGGGAUGUACUGCUUGAAAUGAAAAUUAAGAUCGUCAAUUAGAUAUAUUGAAAUAACAGAGAAAAAUGCAAAUAUGGGAGUAACUGAUAGAACAGAUCCAUAUACAGAUGAAAGCAAAGUACAAAAAUAUAAAAUUAAAAAUAGAUAAUGUAACAAAGAUUUGAUGCAAAUAUAUAGAUAAUGUAGCAACAGACGGUAUAUGUUCACAAAUUUAGGCCAUGCCGACCAUGGUAGGUUGAGAUUGAACAUACCGAGCGCUCCCUGAAGUCAUCCGGAAUCGUGAGAUAGAACUUCGUUUCCGACUGGCCACGACCAGAGUUGCCCGAUUUUUGCUCGCACUGUGGACACAUGAAUGAACACCCACGAAUCAGCUAGAACAAAAAUGAUUGCACGGCGAUUUCCGCCGGUUGAUUAACAGCGACGGACGGACUGCGAUAAGAGAUGAGUGAAUAUUUCACUAAUUAAGUUGAUUACCUUCUCCAUGAGAAAAAUCCCCGGCCCAAUCCCGCAGAAAACCCCAGUCGACCAGAGUCUAGAAUGUCGGUGCAUAUAGGCGGCGGAAAGCGGUAGUGGCAAAAUCCGGUGCCGUUUGGAGCGCGACCUACGCCCGCCGCCAACAGCCGUUGAGCUUAGGGUGCAGAGUUGUGGAGGAGUCCGCGGCGAGUGAGUGGGGACGAAGUGGGCGAUGGUUUUCUUUUUCCUUUUGCAUGUGUGAGUGAACACACACGGUCCGCAGAGGUGACGGAGAUGAAUCGUGUGCGAUAGUAAAUCACCGAGAUUGAAUGGGAAUCCAAAUUUCCUUUGUCCUUCAUCCAUGAGUUUUUUUCUACGAUGAACAUAAGCCCUGCUAAUCACCGUGUUCAAAUUUGACACUUUUCCGGGUUCAUUUACAAUAUUCAGGGGAUUAUGUGCAUUUUGUAGGCAUUAAUGCACAUAAUUCAAAUUCAAACAAUUGGUGCAUGAAAGGGUGCACAAGAACGGUCUGGAAAAACCAUACUCGUGGUAUUUAGUAAUUUCUCAAGCCCUUUACAAGGAAGGGGUAGAGAUUUUAAUGGAAUGCGUGGCAAUAGUCAACCACAAAUGCGUCGUUUACUGGGUUAUCAACUAUAUAUAGAACAAUGAAAUAUGUGCUUGGAAAACAUGACGGCUGGCAUGGUGCCAUGGUAUGGCCUCACCGUGCCCUGGUUAAAAGCUGAGAAGGUUUGAUUUAUGUCAUCAUGCACGCCCUUCAUAAAUCGAACCAUCACCGAGGAAGUUCAAUGCUUUCGAGAGGGAAAUCACCAAGAUCGAAGGGGAAUCCAAAUUUCCGUCCUAGUUUGUCAUUCAGUUUUUUCCAACGAUCAACAUACCGCCUCAAAUGCAACGUGUUCAAAUUUGACAUUUUUCCGAACUCAUUUACCAUAUUUAGGGGAUUAUGUGCAUUUUCUAGGCAUUAAUUAUGCACAUAAUUCAAAUUCGAACAAUCAGUGCAUGAAAAGGUGCACAAGAGUGGUCUCGAAAACCAUGCUCGUGCUAUUUAGUACAUUCUCAUGCCUUUUACAAGGAAUGGGCAUAUAUUUCAAGGAAAUGUGUGGCAAUAGUCAACCAUAAACGCGUCGUUUACUGGGUUAACAACUAUACAAAAAUGAAAUACAUGCUUGGAAAACAUGACGCCUGGUGUGGUGCCAUGGCAUGACCUCACUGUGCCCUGGUAAAAAUGUCGUCAUGCACGCCUUUCAUAAAACGAACCAUCACAGAGGAAGUUUCAUGGUUUCGAGGGGGAAAUCACCAAGAUUGAAGGGGGGGGUCCAAAUUUCCUUUGUCCUUUGCCCACGAGUUUUUUUAUAUGAUGAACAUACAACCUGCAAAUCACCGUGUUCAAAUUUGGCACUUUUCCGGGUUCAUUUGCCAUAUUUAGGGGAUUAUGUGCAUUUCCUAGGCAUUAAUGCACAUAAUUCAAGUUCAAACAAUCGGUGCAUGAAAGGGUCCACAAGAACGGUCUGGAAAACCAUGCUCAUGCCAUUUAGUAAAUUCUCAUGCCUUUAACAAGGAAUGGACAGAUAUUUCGAUGAAAUGUGUGGCAUAAUAGUCAACCACAAAUGUUUGUUUGUUGAAUUUUCAACUAUAGAAAAAAUGAAAUAAAUGCUUAAAAAACAUAACGCCUCGCAUGGUGCCAUGGUAUGACCUCACCAUGCCCUGGUAAAAAUUUGAGAAGGUUUGGCUUAUGUCAUCAUGCAUGCCCUUCAUAAAUCGAACCAUCACCGAGGAAGUUCCAUGCUUUCGAGAGGGAAAUCCCCAAGAUUGAAGGGGAAUCCAAAUUUCCAUCCUAGUUUGUGAUUCAGUUUUUUCCAACGAUCGACAUACCGCCUCAAAUGCAACAUGUUCAAAUUUGACAUUUUCCCGGGCUCAUUUACCAUAUUUAGGGGAUUAUGUGCAUUUUCUAAGCAUCAAUGGACAUAAUUCAAAUUUGAACAAUCGGUGCAUGAAAAGGUGCACAAGAAUGGUCUGGAAAACCAUGCUCGUGUUAUUUAGUACAUUCUAAUGCCUUUUACAAGGAAUGGGCAGAUAUUUCAAGGAAAUGUGUGGCAAUAGUCAAUCAUAAACGCGUCGUUUAUUGGGUUAAUAACUAUACAAAAAAUGAAACACAUGGUUGGAAAACAUGACGCCUGGCGUGUGCCAUGGUAUGGCCUCACCAUGCCCUGGUAAAAAUUGGAGAAUGUUUUCCUUAUGUCGUGACCUUUCAUAAAAUCGAACCAUCACCGAGGAAGUUUCAUGGUUUCGAGGGGGAAAUCACCAAGAUUGAAGGGGGGGGGUCCAAAUUUCCUUUGUCCUUUGUCCAUGAGUUUUUUCUAUGAUGAACAUACAACCUGCAAAUCACCGUGUUCAAAUUUGGCACUUUCACUACAGGAAACAGCUACUUUGCCGUCUGCCAUGGCGGACGGCAAAGGCUCGAAAGGCGGACGGCAAAGACCUUUGCCAUCAGCCGCGGACGGCAAAAGGCUCCGGCAAAGAAGGCUACGGUAAACAGCUGCUUUGCCGUCUGCUUCCUGGCGGCGGACGGCAAAGGCUCUUUGCCGUCCGCGGCGGACGGCAAUAAUUGCGCUGUCAGUCCGUUAAGUGGCUAACGGCAGACCUUUGCCGUCCGCCGCAGACGGCAAAGAGCCUUUGGUCUUUGCCGUCCGCCUUAUGAUGUCAUGUACACGUCACUAGAUGGCAGGUUCUUUGCCAUCUGCCACUGAUGGCAAAGUGCAGGUUCUUUGCCGUCUGCCACUGUAGGCAAACUGACCAAAUGGGUCAGCUCCCAGGAAGCAUAGUUGGCUGCCACGUGGCUUCUUUGCCGUCCGCGGCAGACGGCAAAGGCUCUUUGCCGUCGGUGGCAGACGGCAAAGAGCCUGCAUAUUGUCUGUUUUUUCUGUUUUUUAUUAAAUCCCACAAUUUGCAGCACAUAUCACAUAUAUAAGUUUCAUAUCCAGCACAUAUCCAACACAUAUCUAGCACAUAUCACAUAUCCAGCACAUAUCACAUAUCACAUAUCCAGCACAUAUCACAUAUCACAUCAGUUUCAUCCAUACACAUUGUUCAUACAUAAGGAAGUUCCAUCCAUACACAUUGUUCCAUCCAUAUAUAUAUUACAAUGCAAAGUGUCAUGAAGAUAGCAAGCUAGAUACAAUGCAAAGUUUCAUCAAAGGCACUCCAUCAUAGCAAGCUAGCUUCCAUCAAGUGAAUGAAAUCUGCAAAAUGGUAAAUAAGAAAGUUAGAAAUAGGUGACUAGAACAAGAAGAAGACUAGAACAAGAAGUAUAUGUCAUUUAUGAGCUAACUUAGGUGAAAUGGAUCAUAUAUGAGCUAACUAAGUUGAAAUGGGUUGUUUAUGAGCUAACUUAGUUGAAAUGGAUCAUUUAUGAGCUAACUUAGUUGAAAUGGGUCGUUUAUGAGCUAACUAAGGUGAAGGGCAUCGUUUUUGAGCUAAGUAAGGUGAAAUGGGUCAUUUUGGAGCUAACCUAGUUGAAAUGGAUCGUUUUUGAGCUAACUUAGUUGAAAUGGAUCGUUUUUUAGGUAACUAAGGUGAAAUGGAUCUUUUUUAGCUCACUUAGGUCAAAUGGAUCGUUUUUGAGCUAACUUAGUUGAAAUGGAUCGUUUUUGAGCUAACUUUGUUGAAAUGGAUCAUUUUUGAGCUAAUUUAGUUGAAAUGGAUCGUUUUUGAGCUAACUUAGGUGAAAUGGAUCAUUUAUGAGCUAAUUUAGUUGAAAUGGAUCUUUUUGAGCUAACUUAGGUGAAAUGGGUCGUUUAUGAGCUAACCUAGGUGAAAUGGGUCGUUUAUGAGUUAACCUAGGUGAAAUGGGUCGUUUAUGAGCUAAUUAUGCAAUUUUUGACAUAAGUAAGCUAAGUACAUAUCGUUUUAGAGCUAACUUAGGUAAAAUGGAUGGUUUAUGAGGUCAGUAAGCUUAUUAAGUCAUUUUGGAGGAAAAGAAGCUAACUCUAGGUCAUUAUGGUAAGCAUAUUGGAGGAAAUAAAGCUAAGUCUAGGUCUUUAUGCAUUUGUUAAGCAAAACACUAGAGAAACUUACCGUGAUCAGGGAGGUGUAAGAGCGGGCUGGCUAGUGCCGGUAGCUGGAGAAGGAUCAUGCGAUGCGUUUCUGGAGUUAAGCUGCACCAAAGAUCAUUUCCAAUGUCUCGUUAGCAUUAUGACACUCAAAUGUUAAGACUAGCAAGUAAUGUCCAUUCAAAUUAAACUCACCGUGGUCCCAGGAGCAAUCACUGGCAUCGGCGGAGCGGUCUGACCGGUCUUCUCGCACACAGACUGCACAUUUGGUUUUGACGACUCAGUCAUACUAGUUAGUAAUGAGACAAACACUACAUGAAUGUUUUGGCUAAUCUGCAGAAGAAACUUACCACAAGGAGCUCGUACAUGGCCCUUGCCUGCAUGUCAUUCCGUGCCCUCUCCUCCUCCAUCAUCUUUGUCGUCCUCUCCUCCAACUCCCGCUGCCUCUCCGCCGCCUCCGCCAGAAGUUUCUCCGUUCUAUCUCUCUCACUCUGUAUAGCAGCCUGCAACACCACUCACAUGACCAUUUGUAAUCAUUGACGGAAGCGCACACAAUGUAAUGGAGAAAGAUAGCUGAGUACGUAUCACUAACCUUGAUGGCGAGUUGCACUGGCCGUUCACGAGGCCUUAUCUCAGGAGCGGAGCUCGACUGGCGCGCCUUGAUCUCUGGGAGAGUGCUAGGACAACGGAUAAGUCCAUCUCCAAUGGCUAUGGAGCCAUGGGACCUCCCGCCACCAGAUAUCAUCACCAGCUCUGGAUCAAUGGGACCCUGGCUCGGGUUAAAGUCCUCCCCUUUCCUCGCCUUCCCCUCAUCUCUAUAUCUCACGAGCUUGUUGUGGGAGGAGAUGUUGGUGAAGUUGUUUGCAUCCUCGAGGUCAGACUGAGAGAAAGCCUUGACUUUCUUGUAAGAGCCAGUGUGGGCCAUGGCAUACAGGUCGUACACCUCUGGCACCUUAUCCGCCUUAUUAUGGCGUGCCUGAAAGAGAGAAACAAUGAAAAUUAGUAACUAAAGGGCUCAAGCUAGCAUGAUGAAUGAAUUGCAUGAAUCAUGAAGCAAACCACAUACCCAGUUGCGCCCGAACUGAUAUAAGUUGGAGCUGCCUUGAUGGUGUGGCACACCUUCCAUUUGGGCACGUUUGUCCUUGGCCUGGUUGUGGAGGGCUAGCCAUUCUUGUGAGCACCACUCAUCGACCAACACCUCCCAACAAUCCAUCCGAUCCGCACACCAUCUCGGAGGCGCCUAAGUUAGCAAAUAGAAACUUGAGCGGUACGGCUAAGAAUUACUAAAUGAAGGAACUUAAGUAGAAGGCCUUAAGAAUUACCUUCAUGUACUGCUCCUUACUCAGGAACUUAUCGCGGCACGCCGGCUUGGUCUUCUUGAUACCACGCAAGGCGUAGUAGUCUCGAACAGCCUGCACCCGAGCCUCGUGCCGUAAGUUCUGGAGUAGGCGCUUGCAGACGUUCUCGAUAACAUUUGCGCACUCCUCCUCGUAUCCCUCCUCACACCUGUAGAAUGUCUGCAAUCAAAUGAGACAAUAUUGAUUAGUACAAUUAAUAACUAGCUAGUUGAAGAUUUUGAAAUGUGUAAAGGAGAAAUUACCCAGAACGUCCUGAUCACCAUGUCUGCCCUCGUGUCGCACACGACACCGUCGAUAAUGACAUCCGGCGGGGCCGGGGCAGCCACGUAGUGCUCCCAGCUCAACCCAAGCUCUGGAAGCCGACCCUCACCAGGCAACGUGACAAAUCCCGGGAAGUUUUGCCGGCAAAGAACUCCAAGGACGGAGUUGGGCCGACGGACACUAUGAUGGUGGUCCCAACCCCUGCAGCAUGACAAGGCCAACGCAUUAGUUAUUUGAAGAAACGUGAAUGCAGAAGGUACAAAAAUUUUAAAUGCACUUACGUACCUCUCCCCAUCAGGGAAGAUCAACCACCUCUGCUCGCGGGUCGCCGGCACGGACGGGAGCCGUGUAGCACCACGCUGGUAGACGGUGCCACCCUCCUCCUCAAGAUCAGUCGGCUCCCCGCCAUCAUCAGCAUGGCCACUCGGCUCCUCGGGCUGAUCCGGCCAGGUACCCCAUCCGGACGUGUGCUCCUCCGGGGUCUCGUGGGCCGAACUCUCGUGGGCCGAAGGCCAGUCGACCCGAGGCUCGUGGGCCCAAGACCCGUGGACCGGAGGCUCGUGGACCGGAGUCCGUGUAGCCUCCUCCUCGGACGAGUCCACCCUAGCAGUCACGUGCUCGGGUGAAACAGCUGGGGGUGGCGGCGAGGAAGGCGCCCUAGCAGUCACCCUACCUCCUCUCCCGCGACCAUGUGCCCCACCUCCUCUCUUCCUACCUCGUCCCCUGCUGGGCACCGCGGUGGACGAAGAAGGGCCCGGCGGUGUGGACAUACUGUCCAGCAACGCUCGGCGAAGAGGUACGUCUGGAAUCGAAGACCUCAGACCACGCGCCGAGGAAGAAGGAGCCUUGGCGCGCUCCCGACCAGUGCCCACCAUCUUUCAACACCUGCCAUGACAAACAGUAAACGAAAUUAGUACAACAUAAAAAAAAGACCGACAUGAAUAAUAAUAUGUGUAUCACUUAAGUGUAUCAUCAUCAAGUACAACAUUAAAAAAUUUAAUACCUGACACUACUAAUAAUCUCGAUCAGUAUCAUCAAUAAAUGCAUAAUCAUCAUCAUCACUAUAAUCAAUGACGGGCUCAUAGGGUUCAGUGGCAUCAACAUGUGCAAGGCCACCUUGACGUAAUCGGUCAAGCAAUGACAGGUCAUCCGCAGCAGUAACCUCUUCUUGUUCCGGCUCUUCUUGUUCCUCCUCUGGGGUGAUGUCGGAUUCACUGUCACUGUCUACUUCAAUGUUUUGGGGUGAAGUAUAGCGGUUCUUGAAACGCUUUUUGGAAAGACGUGUCUCUUGGAAGAAUUCUCCUUCAUAUGUGUCUGGGUUAAUGUGAAGUUCAUAAUCCUCUUCCUUUGGGGGAGAUAGUCUAGCACGUGGCGGCACUUCAUAAACGACAUCCCAACCUUUCAGAUUUGGAUUAGUUUGGCAGGCCCACGGUAGAUAGAAUACUUGGGUUGCCUGUUGAGCCGUAAUAUAGACAUCAGGAACAUCUAAAUGGGUGCUUUGGUUGAUUUCAACUAGCCCUAUAUGUUCAUGAGUUCUUCUAGUCUCCUUCGGCUGAAACCAAUAACAUUUGAAGACUACGACAUUCGGUGGGUUUUCACCAUAGAAUAGAAGUUCAUAAAUUGCUUCAACUCUCCCAUAAUACUCGGUACCUCCUUCGCCGAUAGCAGAUACACAACAAUUUGUAGACUUUCGGUCGGCCAUAGAUAGCUCUUUGCCAUAGGUACGAAAGCGAUACCCGUUGAUGUCGUAUUUGUCAAAUGAACAGACCUUAUAGUCAAAACCAUUAGCGACUUGUCUCAAUUCGGCAUCCAUAGACUCUGAAUUAGCCUACAAGUUUAAUAUGAAAGGAUUGUUGCAUUACGCACAAAUUAGCGAAUGAAACCGGGAUAGCCGCCUACAAAUUAGCCUACAAGUCUAAUAGAAAUUACCGUUUGUUUGAACCAAGAGAUGAAACCGGGAUAGCCGCCACCUUGCUUUGCGAGAAGCUCAUACUCUUCGACAGAAUCCUUUUGGAUCACCGCUCCAUACGAGAAUAAGGCGACGUAUCGACUGUAUGAAAUAUCCAGGAAUAAGAGCAGUUCAAAGGAAAUAGAAGUUGCGAAACUAUGUACCGAGAACUUCCUCGAUGUACGGCCGCACUUCUAUCAGGUUGUUGAAGAUAUACAACGAAAUGGUCCGCCAUUGUUCGUUAUCCAAAGAUACUGGAUUUGAAACACUGGCUGGUGCGAGAUUCCCUUUGAAUAGGCUGAGGUUGGAUCCACCCUUUUUAGGGUCGUCAGCAUUGUACCGAGGCUUCGGAUUAUGCAAAUGACGAUUUUUGGCUUCGUAGUGUGCUGUCACGAAGUUUGCCGCCUCCUCAGUGAUGAAUGCCUCAGCCAUCGAUGCUUCAAUUCUACGUUUAUUUUUACAUUUUUGUCGAAGCGUCUUCUGCAUCCUCUCAGUUGGGUAGCACCAACGAUUUUGCACGGGCCCCCCCAAUCUUGCCUCGGUCGGGAGAUGCAAAAUCAAAUGUUGCAUUGGAUUAAAGAAGCCCGGUGGAAAGAUCUUCUCUAACUUGCAGAUCAACUCCGGCGCCAACUCUUCCAUUUCUUCUAGCACGCCAGGCGAUAGUUCUUUCGCACAAAGAACAUAGAAGAAAUAGCUGAGUUCUGCCAGUACUAGCCAUUCAUCCUCAGGGAUGAAGCCACGCAACAUCACCGGCAUUACCCGCUCAAUCCAUAUGUGCCAAUCAUGACUCUUGAGACCAAAUAUCUUCAAUUUAUCAAGACUGGCUCCCCUCUGUAGAUUCGCUGCAUACCCAUCGGGGAACAUCAACUGCAUUUUCACCCACAAGAUAAUUUCCCUCAUAGCCGGCCUUCCAAGAUUGAACCAUGCCUUUGGCUUCGUCCAGUUCUGCUUUCCUUUCGGUUCUUUCAUGUUUUGUAACGGCCUGUCACAUAGCGCCUCCAGAUCGACUCUAGCCUUAGUAUUAUCCUUUGACUUCCCAUCUAUGCCGAACAAUGUACCAAAAAGUGCCUCGGCGAUAUUCUUCUCAGUGUGCAUCACGUCGAUGUUGUGUGGGCAAAGGAGGUCUUUGAAGUAAGGCAGAUCCCGUAAGCAUGUUUUGUGAGUCCAGGCGUGCUUAGAAUUAUACCCCUUGAAGUACCCUGGACGCUCGGGAUCUGGCUCGAGAGCGUUUAACUGAUCCAGGGUCUGUUGGCCUGUCAAUGCAUGUGGUGCAGAGUUUUUGACAACUCUACCUCUGAUGAAGUUCUUCUUGUCUUUCCUGAACUUAUGGCGAGGAUUCAGGAACUCUCUAUGCAUGUCGAAGCAAGAAAACUUGCGACCGGCCUGAAGCCAACGAAACUCAAGAGCUCCCUUGCAUGUGGGGCACGGGAACCUUCCAUGCACACACCAGCCAACGAAUAGCGCAUACGCCGGCAAGUCAUGCGUCGAGUACAUGUACCAGACACGCAUUAUGAAGUUCCGUUUGCUAUAGGCAUCGUAUGUCUUGAACCCAUUAUCCCAGGCUUCUUGCAAUUCGUCCUUAAGCGGUUGCAUAUACACAUUCAUAUUUUUCCCCGGAUAGUUGGGCCCUGGAAUUAUCAACGUCAGGAAAAUGUUCUUUCUUUGCAUAAUCUGUCCGGGGGGAGAUUGAGUGGAAAUACAAAUACGGGCCAACAACUGUAUUGGGCUGCCGUCAUACCAAACACACUGAACCCAUCCAUGCUGAUGCCGACUCGAGGAUGCCUCGGAUCUGCCGCUUUGUCACCAUGUAAUUCAUCAAACUUUUUCCACGCAACACCAUCCGAUGUGUGUACAAUCAUCAGAUUCCCAUCUGCAUCUAGUUCGGUUCUUUUGCCCGUUUUGUGCCAUGUCAUCUGUCUGGCCGUCUCUUCGACCAUGAAAAGACGUUGAAGUCUUGGUACGAUUGGCAUAUACCGAAGAACACUAACGGGGAUUUUGGUCUGUGUCUUCUCACCCAUACCGUUGUCUACCAUAACAUACCUGGAAGACUUGCAAAUGGGACAACAGUUCAAGUCCGCAUAGUCAAGCCUAAACAAGACACAUCCUUUCUCACAGGCAUGUAUCUUAUCAUAGGGCAUCUUCAGUGCACGGAGGAUUUUGUCCGACUGGUACAGGUUUGCAGGCAUUACAUGGCCUUUGGGUAGAAAGCGUCCAAAUACUGUCAUCAUUGCAUCGUAGCAUUCUCUGCCCAAGUUGAACUGAGCCUUCAGAGCCAUUACUUGUGAGAUGGCAUCCAACUGACAAAGCUCAGUGUGCUCAUGGAGCGGACGUUUUGAAGACUCCAACAUUUCAUUGAAGGCCUUUGCAGAUUCCUCCAUCUCCUCGUCCGAAUCCCGAGCAUCAUCAAAGUCUUGCACCAUGUUUUCCAUACCGGUACCAUGCUCGUCGGUGCGACGACGAUCCACCUCAGCUCGGUCACGUUGGGCAGACUCACCAUGAAAUGUCCACACCGUAUAAUCGGGCGUAAAACCACUCUUCUGCAGGUGUUUGCCCAUUUCAGCCUCUGUCCUCUUUUCCCAAUUGCUGCACCGUAAACAGGGGCACCAGGUUUUCCUCUGGCCAUUUGCAAAUGCGGCUCGCACAAACCCCUUGGUUUUUGUGAACCAUUCAGUGCUCCAUUUGUUCUGACCAGUGUGACCGGUGUACAUCCACGCACGAUCACUCAUCUUGACUUUCAGAGCUACUAGACACACAACAAAUAUAUAUAUAUAUAUAAUUCACCAUGUAUGUAUUCAUCAGUUGAUCUACUUUGUCAAUUUUAUUACGUCCAUGCAACCUACACUCUAAUAGGUAAUGAUAGGUCCUAAUCCCACCCGAGUAUGUUUAGAUUGGGUUCAUUUUCCCAUGCUAUGCCCCGGAUCCUACGCAAAAUUUCGGCAGCACCUCCCCGCUGUUCUCCUGAUACACGUCUCUGCAAUAAACAGAGAGGAUGUGUACCCGGAGAACAACAGGGGAGGCACUGACGAAAUUUAUGCGUCGGAUCCGGAGCAAAGCAUAUGGGAAAACGAACCCAAUCUAAACAUACUCGGGCUGUCCAUGGAUAGCGUUGGACAAUUCGAAAGAAUCAAGGUUAUAAAUAUGCAAAUACAUGCAUAUUUAUAACUAUGACGCUUUCGAACGGGAGACACAUAUUGGUUACGCAUACUGAUAAUUCAAGACACAUAUAUAUCUAGCUAUCAAGUUUCAUCGGAAUAGAUCAAAUAAUUAAUGGGGGAGGAGGACAUGUCAUUUGUGCUCACCCACGAACGAAGGGGCAGAGCUCGUCAAACGCACGGCCAGGUCGUCGAACACCAAACCUCGCAGCGAUGAAACAACUGCACAUUUAAAACUACCCGAUCAACACAAUUAUAUAUGAUGUUUUUCAUAACAAAAUCGAAAGAUAUAUGACCUAACUAAUAAUUCACAAAUAUAUGACCCCGUCGGCUUCUGGAAGGCCAAAGAACACCUUUUCGGGACGUGUCGGGGGUCGGGGUGUCGUGUCGGUCUCGGGGUGCCGUGUCGGGGUCGGGGUUGGGGUCUCGGGGUCGGGGUGUCGGGUCGGGGUGNNNNNNNNNNNNNNNNNNNNNNNNNNNNNNNNNNNNNNNNNNNNNNNNNNNNNNNNNNNNNNNNNNNNNNNNNNNNNNNNNNNNNNNNNNNNNNNNNNNNNNNNNNNNNNNNNNNNNNNNNNNNNNNNNNNNNNNNNNNNNNNNNNNNNNNNNNNNNNNNNNNNNNNNNNNNNNNNNNNNNNNNNNNNNNNNNNNNNNNNNNNNNNNNNNNNNNNNNNNNNNNNNNNNNNNNNNNNNNNNNNNNNNNNNNNNNNNNNNNNNNNNNNNNNNNNNNNNNNNNNNNNNNNNNNNNNNNNNNNNNNNNNNNNNNNNNNNNNNNNNNNNNNNNNNNNNNNNNNNNNNNNNNNNNNNNNNNNNNNNNNNNNNNNNNNNNNNNNNNNNNNNNNNNNNNNNNNNNNNNNNNNNNNNNNNNNNNNNNNNNNNNNNNNNNNNNNNNNNNNNNNNNNNNNNNNNNNNNNNNNNNNNNNNNNNNNNNNNNNNNNNNNNNNNNNNNNNNNNNNNNNNNNNNNNNNNNNNNNNNNNNNNNNNNNNNNNNNNNNNNNNNNNNNNNNNNNNNNNNNNNNNNNNNNNNNNNNNNNNNNNNNNNNNNNNNNNNNNNNNNNNNNNNNNNNNNNNNNNNNNNNNNNNNNNNNNNNNNNNNNNNNNNNNNNNNNNNNNNNNNNNNNNNNNNNNNNNNNNNNNNNNNNNNNNNNNNNNNNNNNNNNNNNNNNNNNNNNNNNNNNNNNNNNNNNNNNNNNNNNNNNNNNNNNNNNNNNNNNNNNNNNNNNNNNNNNNNNNNNNNNNNNNNNNNNNNNNNNNNNNNNNNNNNNNNNNNNNNNNNNNNNNNNNNNNNNNNNNNNNNNNNNNNNNNNNNNNNNNNNNNNNNNNNNNNNNNNNNNNNNNNNNNNNNNNNNNNNNNNNNNNNNNNNNNNNNNNNNNNNNNNNNNNNNNNNNNNNNNNNNNNNNNNNNNNNNNNNNNNNNNNNNNNNNNNNNNNNNNNNNNNNNNNNNNNNNNNNNNNNNNNNNNNNNNNNNNNNNNNNNNNNNNNNNNNNNNNNNNNNNNNNNNNNNNNNNNNNNNNNNNNNNNNNNNNNNNNNNNNNNNNNNNNNNNNNNNNNNNNNNNNNNNNNNNNNNNNNNNNNNNNNNNNNNNNNNNNNNNNNNNNNNNNNNNNNNNNNNNNNNNNNNNNNNNNNNNNNNNNNNNNNNNNNNNNNNNNNNNNNNNNNNNNNNNNNNNNNNNNNNNNNNNNNNNNNNNNNNNNNNNNNNNNNNNNNNNNNNNNNNNNNNNNNNNNNNNNNNNNNNNNNNNNNNNNNNNNNNNNNNNNNNNNNNNNNNNNNNNNNNNNNNNNNNNNNNNNNNNNNNNNNNNNNNNNNNNNNNNNNNNNNNNNNNNNNNNNNNNNNNNNNNNNNNNNNNNNNNNNNNNNNNNNNNNNNNNNNNNNNNNNNNNNNNNNNNNNNNNNNNNNNNNNNNNNNNNNNNNNNNNNNNNNNNNNNNNNNNNNNNNNNNNNNNNNNNNNNNNNNNNNNNNNNNNNNNNNNNNNNNNNNNNNNNNNNNNNNNNNNNNNNNNNNNNNNNNNNNNNNNNNNNNNNNNNNNNNNNNNNNNNNNNNNNNNNNNNNNNNNNNNNNNNNNNNNNNNNNNNNNNNNNNNNNNNNNNNNNNNNNNNNNNNNNNNNNNNNNNNNNNNNNNNNNNNNNNNNNNNNNNNNNNNNNNNNNNNNNNNNNNNNNNNNNNNNNNNNNNNNNNNNNNNNNNNNNNNNNNNNNNNNNNNNNNNNNNNNNNNNNNNNNNNNNNNNNNNNNNNNNNNNNNNNNNNNNNNNNNNNNNNNNNGCGGCGGGCGGCGGCGUGGGAGGAGAGAAACGGCGGCGUGGGAGGGAGAGGGAAGAAGCGAGUAACGGGCGGGGGUACGGGCCGUUAGGUAGUAGGCUCUUUGCCGUCCGCCCCCCUUUGCCGUCCGCUUUUUUGCCUCUUUGCCGUCUGCUAGCGGACGGCAAAGAGGUGGCCCGUUAAGUUUUUCAAAAACGGGCGGGGGGUGGGGGCCACCUUACUCUUUGCCGUCCGCCAGCGGACGGCAAAGAUUCUUUGCCGUCAGCUGGCCGACGGCAAAGAGCUGGCUGACGGCAAAGAGCUUCUUUGCCGUCUGCUUUUGGGUAGCUGAUGGCAAAGAGCUGGCAGACGGCAAAGAGCUUCUUUGCCGUCAGCUAGCAGACGGCAAAGAGCUGGCAGAUGGCAAAUUAGCUGAUUCCAGUAGUGUUUUCUGGGUUCAUUUGCCAUAUUUAGGGGAUUAUGUGCAUUUCCUUGGCAUUAAUGCGCAUAAUUCAAGUUCAAACAAUCGAUGCAUGAAAGGGUCCACAAGAACGCCCUGGAAAACCAUGCUCGUGCCAUUUAGUAAUUCUCAUGCCUUUUACAAGGAAUGGACAGAUAUUUCGAUGAAAUGUGUGGCAAUAGUCAACAACAAACGUUUGUUUGUUGGGUUUUCAACUAUAGAAAAAUGGAAUAAAUGCUUAAAAAACAUGACGCCUGACAUGAUGCCAUGGUAUGACCUCACCGUGCCCUGGUAAAAAUUUGAGAAGGUUUGGCUUAUGUCGUCAUGCACGCCCUUCAUAAAUCAAACCAUCACUGAGAAGUUCCAUGCUUUCGAGGGGGAAAUCCCCAAGAUUGAAGGGGAGUCCAAAUUUUCUUCGUUCUUUGCCCUGGAGUUUUUUCUAGGACGAACAUACACCCUGCAAAUCACCGUGUUCAAAUUUGGCAUUUUUCGGGCUCAUUUACCAUAUUUAGGGGAUUAUGUGCAUUUUCUAGGCAUUUAGCGCAUAUAAAUCCAAUCCAGCUACAGGUGCACGGGUGUGAUGUGAGGGACGUGGAUUGCCAUUCGAUCGUGGUGCAUCCUACGGUACACACGCGCGAUCCGCGUGGCUAGGGUUCUGGCCAAUCAUAACGCAACACACAAUAGGCCGAGCGCACACUGUUUCCGGAAGCGAUGAAGAUGAACCGUGUGCGAUAAUGAACGAGCAAAAUUGUAAGGGAAGCCAAAUUUCUAUUGUCGUUUGUCGUUGAGCUAUUGAAUACCACCACACUGUACGGCUGCCCGGCCCUCCGUCCCAGAGCUCUCUCCAGGUGUCGUCCAUGGCACCGCGGCGCACAGUAAUUAAUAAGGAAGCGAUGGCAUCCCGCCGCGCCGCGUUCCUCGCCGCCUGCGACCGCACACAUGGUAAGGAAGCGAUGGCAUCUCGCCGCACCGAGUUCAUCGCCGCCGGCGGCUAGAUAGUUACAUGGGUGGACUUUGAGGCUGCCAUGGCCGAAUGGGUGGUGGAUCUAAAGGCGGCCAAAGCCGCACAGAAGGAGCGAAAAUGGCAGAAAGCAGUCAAGAAAAGAGAGUCCCACCGCCGCAAGAAAAAAGAGGCCGCAUGCCGUGGUGAGGAGAGCUUGACGGAGAUCGAAGCACGGUGGGCUGCCACCUACAAGGCCGGGAAGGAGAAUGCCGGUGUCUGGACAGCAUGCCCCGAUGACAGCAUGUGAGAAGUAGUUUAAGUUUGUAGUAUUAGAGCAAAUUACCAGUAGUACUUUAAGUUUGUAGUAUUAACGUACAAUGUCGGUAAGAGCAUCCUUUGAGGGCUUUGAGCGAUGAUUAACAUAUGUGCCCGUGUGCGUUUUUUUGCGUUAAUCAUUAGAAGAUCACAAAACACACAGUUUCUAUGCCGUACCCGUCUGCGUUUUUUGGCGUUAAUGACCCAUAAGUCAGUUACCUGUGCGAUGUUUCCUAAUAAACCAGGCGUAUCAUUGACCGAAAAAAAUCAAGUACACGUGUACAUUUUUUGGAGACGGGAUCUACCAACUUUCUUUUUUCUCGCACACGAGUAUUUUACGCGCUUCGUCUGUGUUGUGUGUUUCCCCCGCCCAAGUUUCAAGUUUCGCAGCGAAAUUUUCAUUAGGCGCGCGAUUUCAGAAUUUAUUCCUCCAACAUCAUCCCCACCCUCAGUAUCCCCCACCUCGCGCCCCCCACUACCGGCAUCUCAAACCGCCGCCGCCGCAACCACAGCUUCAACCACAUCUACGUUCUGCUCGGAUCCAGUCAGGUAACCCACCGAUCUCUAUCACGGCCCUGACCUGAUUGCUUAAAUGGCGCCUGCGAAACAUCCUCAUGCCUCCAAAUCCCCCCCGGCAGGAGCUGAUGGUGGUCCAUGGCGCGAUGGCCGCUGUGCGUGUUGACCCGGAGGAACACCUCGCCUCUGCCGCCGCCGACAUGGUGCGGGCUCUGGCCCAGAUGAACUCCCCCAGCGACUACCCCCCAGGACUUAACAGGUAAGAUCUGACCAGCUAAAUCUUACCAAUACCACUUGCAACGGCUAUGAUUUGUACGGUUGAUGUAUUAAGCAUGUUCGUGCCUUGUUUAUUUCAGUACUGCACACUGUGUGAUGUUCAAAUAUUACCGUGUCCAGCUCAAUUUCACCAAUACCAGCAACAAACUUACAAUACAUGACUUAGGAUAUCACUAGAGAUGCUGCCCAUUUGCUAUUUUUAGUGGAUGCUAACCCUGUUGUACUUAACAUGCCUGUCCAUGUACUUACGCAGGGUCAUAACGGCCGAUGCUUUUGUUUGCCGUCGAGGUGAGCUGCAUCCCAUGUCUUACAUUACUUCACAUAGUUUGUGCAAUUACAGUUUAACUUCUACCAUUUACUGGUUGCCUGUAGGUACACAUGUCAGUGGCACUGAUCCAUGCUUCGACCUGGAGGAAUAGCUCGCCUCUGCUGCGGCUGACUUUGGGCGGGCUCUGGCCAAGAUGAAGUGCCCCAGCAACUACCUCUCAUGACUUACCAAGUAUGUACUCACCAGUUCAAUCUUACCAAUACUAGUUGCAAUUAAUGGCUAUGUUCUGUAUGGUCGAUGUAUUAAGCAUGUUCUAGUAAACAUGCCUAACACAUUUUUGCUACUUUCCCUACCUUUUUAUAGACAUCUGGGCCAUUCUCUGCUCCGGCAGCACCUGCCUUGUGAUGUUUAACUAUGCCAAUUGCAUUUUUUAUCAGUACCGGUUUCAAUGUCUAUUAAGCCUGUUGCAAUUAACAGUUGAAUCCAUUUUUAAACAGUUGUAUUUCAAUGGCUACAAACUUACAAAACACGACUUAGGAUGUUGUUAAGCCUGUUGCAAUUAACAGUUGUAUCCAUUUUCCAAUCUGUCCAUUUGCUACCAUGUUAUCAAUGAAGAUAUACUAGAGAUGCUGCUCAUUUGCUAUUUUUGGUGGAUGCUAACCCUGUUGUGUUGGAAAUAUGCCCUAGAGGCAAUAAUAAAUGGUUAUUAUUAUAUUUCUUUGUUCAUGGUAAUUGUCUAUUGUUCAUGCUAUAAUUGUGUUAUCCGGAAAUCAUAAUACAUGUGUGAAUACAUAGACCACAACGUGUCCCUAGUAAGCCUCUAGUUGACUAGCUCGUUGAUCAAUAGAUAGUCAUGGUUUCCUGACUAUGGACAUUGGAUGUCAUUGAUAACGGGAUCACAUCAUUAGGAGAAUGAUGUGAUGGACAAGACCCAAUCCUAAGCAUAGCAUAAAAGAUCGUGUAGUUUCGUUUGCUAGAGCUUUUCCAAUGUCAAGUAUCUUUUCCUUAGACCAUGAGAUCGUGCAACUCCCGGAUACCGUAGGAGUGCUUUGGGUGCACCAAACGUCACAACGUAACUGGGUGACUAUAAAGGUGCACUACGGGUAUCUCCGAAAGUGUCUGUUGGGUUGGCACGGAUCGAGACUGGGAUUUGUCACUCCGUGUGACGGAGAGGUAUCUCUGGGCCCACUCGGUAAUGCAUUAUCAUAAUGAGCUCAAUGUGACUAAGGCGUUAGUCACGGGAUCAUGCACUGCGGUACGAGUAAAGAGACUUGCCGGUAACGAGAUUGAACAAGGUAUUGGGAUACCGACGAUCGAAUCUCAGGCAAGUAACAUACCGAUUGACAAAGGGAAUUGUAUACGGGAUUGAUUGAAUCCUCGACAUCGUGGUUCAUCCGAUGAGAUCAUCAUGGAACAUGUGGGAGCCAACAUGGGUAUCCAGAUCCCGUUGUUGGUUAUUGACUGGAGAGGCGUCUCGGUCAUGUCUGCAUGUCUCUCGAACCCGUAGGGUCUACACACUUAAGGUUCGGUGACGCUAGGGUUGUAGAGAUAUGGGUAUGCGGAAAUCCGAAAGUUGUUCGGAGUCCCGGAUGAGAUCCCGGACGUCACGAGGAGUUCCGGAAUGGUCCGGAGGUGAAGAAUUAUAUAUAGGAAGUCCAGUUUCGGCCACCGGGAAAGUUUUGGGGGUUAUCGGUAUUGUACCGGGACCACCGAAGGGUCCCGGGGGUCCACCGGGAGGGGCCACCUGUCCUAGAGGGCCCCAUGGGCUGAAGUGGGAAGGGAACCAGCCCAUAGUGGGCUGGGGCGCCCCCCAUGGGCCUCCCCCCUGCGCCUAGGGUUGGAAACCCUAGGGUGGGGGGGCGCCCACUUGACUUGGGGGGUAAGUUAACCCCCUGGCCGCCGCCCCCCUUCCAGAUGGGUUCUGGCCGGUGCCCCCCUCCCAGGGGGCCUAUAUAAAGGGGGGGGGAGGGAGGGCAGUAGUAUUACAGCCUUGGGCGCCUCCCUCCUCCCCUGCUACACCUCUCCCUCUCGCAGAAGCUCGGCGAAGCCCUGCCGAGACCCGCUACAUCCACCACCACGCCGUCGUGCUGCUGGAUCUCCAUCAACCUCUCCUUCCCCCUUGCUGGAUCAAGAAGGAGGAGACGUCGCUGCACCGUACGUGUGUUGAACGCGGAGGUGCCGUCCGUUCGGCACUCGGUCAUCGGUGAUUUGAAUCACGGCGAGUACGACUCCGUCAUCCACGUUCAUUGGAACGCUUCCGCUCGCGAUCUACAAGGGUAUGUAGAUGCACUCCUUUCCCCUCGUUGCUAGUAUACUCCAUAGAUGGAUCUUGGUGAGCGUAGGAAAAAUUUAAAAUUAUGCUACGAUCCCCAACAUGUUGUACUUAACAUGCUUGUUCAUGUACUUACGUAGGGUCAUAACGGCCGAUGCUGUUGUUUGCCAUCGAGGUUAGCUGCAUCCCAUGCCUUACAGUAUUUCACAUCAUUUGUGCAAUUGCAGUUUAACUUCUACCAUUACUGGUUUCCUGUAGCUACACAUGUCAGUGGCACUGAUCCACGCUUCAACCCGGAGAACAGCUCGCCUCCGCCACCGCUGACUUUGGGCGGGCUCUGGCCAAGAUGAAGUGCCCCAGCAACUACCUCUCAGGACUUACCAAGUAUGUACUCACCAGUUCAAUCUUACCAAUACCAGUUGCAAUUAAUGGUAUGUUUUGUACGGUCGAUAUAUUAAGCAUGUUGUAGUAAACAUGCCUAACACGUUUUAGCUAUUUUCCCUACCUUUUUAUAGACAACUGGGCCAUUAUCUAUUCUGGCAACACCCGCCCUGUGAUGUUUAACUCUGCCAAUUGCAUUUUUAUCAGUACCGGUUUCAAUGGCCAUUAAGCCUGUUGCAAUUAACAGUUGUAUCCAUUUUUAAAGAGUUGUAUUUCAAUGGCUACAAACUUACAAACCAUGAAUUAGGAUGUUGUUAAGCCUGUUGCAAUUAACAGUUGUAUCCAUUUUUUAAUCCAUCCCUUUGCUACCGUGCUACUCUUUCGAAAUGAAGAUAUCACUACAGAUGCUCCGUUUUAUUACCAUUUGCUAUUUUUGGUGUAUGUUAACCCUGUUGUAAUUAACAUUGGCUUUCCAUGUACUUACACAGGGCUACAAUGGGCGAUGCUGUUGUUUGCCGUCGAGGUUAGCUGCAUCCCAUGUCUUAUACACCAUCUAUUACUAAAUAUAAGUAUUUUUAGAGAUUCCAAUAUAGACUACAUAAGGAGCAAAAUGAGUGAAUCUAGAUUCUAAUCUAAGCUAUAUCUAUAAUUCUAUAUACAUCCGUAUGUAGUUCAUAUUGAAAGCUCAAAAAAAAUACUUGUACUUAGGAACAUAGGUAGUUGUAUUUUACAUCAUUUGUGCAAUCUCAGUUUAGCUUCUAACAUUUACUGGUUGCUUGUAGGUACAGAUAUGAGCGGUACUGAUCCAUGCUUCGAUCCCUUUUGCGUAUGGGGCAAUGAGAUAUUCAUGACCAAGCGUCAAGUGAGGAAACUAAGAAAGAUUGUUAGGUGAAAGAAACGGGUGAUUGGAAUUAAGCUCUUUAUUUACACUUUGUCGAAGACAACAGUGAACUUUAGGAUGGUAAGUAAUGUGUUGCCUUUCCCCCUGCCCACAACAAGUUACUCUAUUAGACCUCAGUAUCUGAUAUUUUUCUCUUUUCAGUGGUUUCCGAAGCUAUUUACUAAUGAUUACCUUGCAAACUACAUGACCGGAGUGGAGGCAACUAAGGUUAAAGUAUAUAAUUCAUGCUACCAUGAUAAUGCUCUAGAAGUCUUCCUGAAGGCGGUGAAGGAUGGGCGGGCGAUCGUCACAAGGGGUUGGACAAAAGUGGUUCAUGCCUAUGGCAUGCAGGAAGGCACAUUAUGGGCAUUCCGCUUCUUCAACACCAUCGGCAGUCAAAAUGAUUUACACUUGUCUCUUCACCUUUACCGCCUUUAAAUACUGUGGUUCAUCAUAGUUAAUUGCUGCCUAAUCCUGUAAUUACUGAACAUAUUGUACUGGCAAUUUUAUUUAUGGAUUCAUUGUUGAACCAUUGUGCUGAGAAUUUGAAUUGCAAGUUUCAUAUUUCAAAAUUUCCAAUUCGAAUAAUAAAUUACAGGCAAAAAUAAAAAGAGAACAGACGGUCAUGGAACUUUGCAAACGGUUCUGGCAGUAAAAGCGCUUGUGAUGGAUAGCCCAAUGCCACACAGUUUUCUACAUCAAAUCGUGUGUGAUGUAGUUAAUGAAAGCAAACAGUUAACCAAGGCAGAGCGUGUGUGAUAGUUACACCUUUCACACACGAGCGUAUACAUAAAACUGUGUGGGAUGUACAUACGAACGGAAACGUUUUCACUGGAUUGAUUGUGUGGGAUGUACAUAAGACCGGAAACGUAUUCCUUGGAUUGAUUGUGUGUGAUAUAUAUACGAACGGAAAUGUUUUUCUGGGAUUCACCGUGUGGGAUGUACAUACCUACGGAAAUGUUUUUCUCGGAUUACCGUGUGGGAUGUACAUACCUACGGAAAUGAUUGGGUUUUGCUGCCUCGCCCGAUUGCACACGGCCCCAGCCUGGGUCCCAGGAGGGCCUCUCCCCGACGAUUUCUGGGUCGUGUGUGAAGGACCCCCUAUCGCCCACACUCACUUGGCGACGGUUCCAAAUGCCGUCGCGGAAAGGGGUUAAAAACCAUUUGUAUAGCACCGACGUGCACCAGUGGCUGCUCGCUAUGUUUGCUCUUAGUCGUUUGACUGCUGGCUUAUGUGUUCGCUUUUGUGAUGCUUAUAGCUUGUAUAAAGCAGGGGCUAGUUGUUUCAAAUCUUUGUUUACCUAUGUCAACUGCCCUAGCUACCAUUUUUUUGAGAAACCUUGUCGCGAGGGCAGGGGGUUCCUGCAUUUCAUUAAGAAGAAGAGAGAUGAUCCAGUUUACAAGGAAAAUCAGACCCAAAACCUAAUGUUCUCGGUUAAUCAGGGAAACCGAGUGAAACCCCAAAAAAAAACCCAGAAAAAAGACACUAGAGUUGGGAAUAGGGACAAAGAAAAAUGCAACAUCAAGGGACGUCAUCUGAGCCAGACACCAGAGUACCAAGGCCCAAAGCAAUUGGGUGAGGCUCAAGUGCAACAAUAUUGAACACUGCUGGCCGAAGAGAACUCAUCCAUAUCGAAUGAUGCCUCUACCUCAACAUGAGAGCAUCACUGGCUAACAUUAUCAUGCUAGAAACAUCCUAUAAGGUCCAUCUUCGACUUCUCGGCAAUGCCGCAAAGUGCUCAACUCCGCGAUCACUUGCGGUGAAAGCGAUUUUUUGUAGAUGUCUAGGUAUGCUUUCAUCUUUUGCUCAGCGCCCUCUGCGUCUUCUCACCUCCGGCAGCUCACCAUUGAGAUGUUGGAUGCAUUGUUCUUCUUUUGUAGAUGCUUGCUUCAUCGCCCAUCAUCCUUCUCCUUGUUUAAAGUUGUCGGGUCUCAAGUUUGGGGGGGGGGUGUAGAAGUAACCUUGCUGAUAAAUUCCUCCAAAGAUAAUGGUGAUGCAUCAACUUGCGUCACCUCUGUAACACGCAUGCUCACUACAACCUGAGACCAGACCGGCUUGUCGAAGACCCCAUCACGAGCUCCGCGUUGAAACCAGGCACUCCUAUGAGCUGAGAACUGGACCAGCAAGGGAUGACACAUCGAAGGACGAGGAGCAGCCCUCAAGGCGGGACAACAAAUAACAUAGCCUCCGAGCACAUAUGAUAUCUCAUGGACGAUGCAUUGAUCAGGUAGUAGUCUCUUUCGACCGGCCGAUUGUGCAGGAACGGGUGAGUCGGACACCUAAAACUCUCAACAAUUUCAAAAAUCAGGCCAAGCGUCUUAAUACAUUUGAAAAAAAUCAUUAUUGACCCACUUUUUUGCCAAAAAAUCUGAAUUAUCUUGAAAAAUAGAAGGGUAGAUAAAAUUCCCAUGGCCAUUGGACAUGAAUCGAUCCGAGGAAAUAACCUGUUCUUCUCGAAUACCUUGAUUCAAGGACAAAUAAUUUUCUGUUGCUAUCAUAUAAUAUCCAUCUCUAUUUGGUGACAGAGCAUCGAGAGGACCUUUCCCUAUUAUGAGAGGACCGGAAGGACGCACCUUUGGUGCAUGCGGAAUGUAAUGGGAGUCAUUGUGCAUGAUGCAAGGCGAGCGAACGGAAGGUUUCCAUCCUUAGUAUGUUGCAGUUUAAUUAAGCCAUCAAUGUUCUUGUUCUUGUUGAAAUCCCACAUAAAGGCAUAAACUAACCUGAAGUAAUAUGCGAGAGGCUCUGUUACUUGAGAGACUGGGCUGGUUCUUUGAUACGUCUCCGUUGUAUCUACUUUUCCUAACACAUUUCCUCUAGUUUUGGAUUCUAAUUUGCAUGAUUCGAAUGACACUAACCCGGACUAACACUGUUUUCAGCAGAAUUACCAUGGUGUUAUUUUUGUGUAGAAAUAGAAGUUCUCGGAAUGGAACGAAACUUUUUGGAGAAUUAUUUCAUAAUAAAAGAAAAAUACUGGAGCGAAGAACCACCGGAGGGGGGCCCUUGGGUGAGCACAAGCCACCAGGGCGCCCCCUCCAAGCGCGCCCAGGUGUGUUGUGCCGAUGCUUCUCUAAUUGCUUGUGCUGGUUGUGUUUUCAGGAACGAACUGUUGAACAAGCUGAGGAAUUAUUGAAUAAUAUAUUGAAAAAUUAUGAUGAUUGGACUCUUCCUGAACCACCGCAUAAACCCACUCCAAAGAAGAGGGGUAUCUUAUAUCUCAGUCCGGAAGAUAUGCAAGAGGCAAAGAAAUCUAUGAAGGAAAAAGGUAUUAAAGCAGAGGAUGUUAAAAAUUUACCUCCUAUUGAAGAGAUACAUUGACUUGAUACACCGCCACCUAAGGCGGUAGAGGUAAAUUCUUUAAUGAAAUUUGAUGAAAAGGACAAUCCUUAUAAUAUGCAUCCUAGUCAGUGCCUUUAUGAAUUUGAUAACUACAUUAGAAAACAAGAUCACUUCAAUGAAAAUGUUAUGAAACAAUUGAAAUACAACUCUGAUAUGAUUGCUCGCUUGAGUGACUUGUUAUUUAGAAUUUCUAAUAAUGUUAAAGGUGUAGGGAAACAUGCCUCUAUGGUUCACACUCAGUUAGAACAAGUUGCUAAAUCUCAAAGAGAGUUGCUUGAUGAAAUGAACAAUAAUAUCAAUCAUCAUGCUAUUAGAGUAGUAACUAGAGGAGGUAGAAUGACUCAGGAGCCACUUUAUCCUGAGGGACACCCUAAAAGAGUUGAACAAAACUCUCAAAGAAGUAACAAUGAUGCACCUAGUCCUUCUAGAAAGAAAAAGAGAAGGAAAAAUGAUAGAACUUUACAUACCUCCAGUGAACCUGAAACAGAAAAACCUCCUGAAGAAAAUAAUGCUGUUUCUAUCUCCCUGGCGCGCCCUGGUGGGUUGUGGCCCCCCUUACAUAUCUCUUUAGCCCAAUUCAUCACCUACCUCCAGGAAAAAAAUUCACCAUUGUUCUCUCUCUCUCUCUCUCUCUCUCUCUCUCUCAUGUUCUUGCUCUCAAACCCGCGGAUUUCGAUCUCUUUGCUUGAAGCUCUGUUUCCAAAACUAUUUUGGGGGAUUGCUACUUGGUAUGUGACUCCUUCAUUGCUCCAAUUAUUUUUUGCUUUAGUGGUUUAUAUUUUGAAUAAUUAGUUACUCUUGGUGCUGCUGUAGAUGAGCUUGCAUGUUGAAUUCUUAGGGUUCUAAGUAGUUUGAAUGAAUGAUAUAGCAUGUAUGCCACCUUAUGAGUAGUUGCCAUCAAUCUUGUGAAGUUUUGUUGGCAAAAAUUGUGGACUAAAAAUUUCAGAAUUUUAUUUAUAGGAAUAAGAUGAGUUUCUUUAGGAGUUCGUCGAGGAGGAGGUCUUCGGAGGCAUCAUCUAGUAGUGGCUCGGUGCGCCGGUCUUAUGUUGAACCUAGCGCAAGUUCGAUACGGGAAGCAGCUAACAAAACCUGCCUAUGGCCGUGCAACGAUUUUAUGGUGAGUGCAUGUAUUAAGGAAGAAUUUGAGAAAUAUGUUCACAACGCCGAGCUCGGGCCCUACAUAGAAGAUAAGUGCAACCAACAUCUUAGCCUCACAGAAUCGUUUACUAAAGAAUUUAAAUUUCAUCCUCGUGAGUCUAGAGUUUCGUUUAAACUUUAUGACUGCCCUUUUACCAUGCCUCUAGAUGCAUUUAGUGGUAUUUGUAAAUUUAAUUUUGGGGAUCACUGGACGAACCAUGAAGAUCUGAGUACGAGACAUUCUUGACUAGCCUUUGCUAUGGUGAGACUAGAGGAGUGACACAAGGUAGAAUAAAGAGCAUUCAUCUCCCAUCGGUUCAAUACUCUGCGCUCUUUAAUGGCAAAUGCAUCAUAGGCAAGCAGGAUUGCAGCACACUGUGUGCCCCUGACUUGAGCCUCAUACACACUGCUCUGACUAGAAUUAAAUGUUAUAAUCUUGGAGCGAUUGUUGCACGCAGAUUGCAACACAACGCUGGCAGUGGUUAUCUUUAUGGUGGGAUUUAUGCUUCUCGGUUAGCUAAAGAGGUGGGUGUUACACCUCUGCCUUAUGACCCCAUCUUACGCACUCAGUACUUAGACUUUGAGGCCAUGAAGCGCCAUAAGUUCCUUAAGGGUGAAAUCAAUAACUAUACUUAUAACUUGCGAUUCAAUAAAGCAUCCAUUGUAGAUAUCUUUUUUCCUGCACCUUCUCUCUUUGAUUUUCACAGCAAAGGAAGGUAUCAUGUUUCUGAGAGCGAGGCCCGUGCGCACAACGUGGAGCUUAGUGGGCUGAGGUGGUUGCACCAAGGGCCUCCAUGAGCUACCACUCUGACUACUAUGUAGGCCGCGGAUGGUGAUUACCAAGCUAGGCCAAAAGCCUAAGGUUGGGGGAGUAUGUAUUUCCAGCGACAAUACAUUUAUGUUCACACAUUUCAUUCCAGUUGUCGGUGUUCACACUUUUUCAUUGUAUUAUCCAUGCUAGAUUUAUUUUCUCGCUUUCUUCUUGUGUGUUUGAAAAACUUUGAGAAAACUCCAAAAAAAAAUUCUUGUUUCUUUUCGGUUUUUCUUUCUAGUUUAAUUAGUUGUAGUAUUUAGAAAACCCAAAAAGAUUUCUCGAUUCUUCUUUUACUUGUUGGGAGCUUACCCGUGUAAAUAGUUUUUCUCGUUUUUAUUUUUCUUUCUUUAGUUUGCUUCCUCUGAGAAAAACAAAAAACUCCAAAAAUAUUUAUGUGUGUUUCUCUGAAAUUCUUUUCUGUUUAUUGAGUCAUACCGAGGAGAAGACCAUGAUGAUAAUAUUUAGUGGCUCUCAUAUGCAUUAUUGUUGAUCUAACAAAGAGCCCAAAUUGCCUUGUCUUCUACUUUUUGAAUAAAAUGUUUGAAGAUUCCAUCUUAGUCCACGUCACUCUUGCAUUAUUAUUAUUUUCAUAUCAUUCAGUUGUGCAAGUGAAAGGCAAUAAUGACGAUAUUUGGUGAACUGGCUAUGGCAAAGAGAAACAUGUAUGAACUCGACUUGUUUUGUUUUUGUAAAUAUGUUAACCUAGUAUCCAUGAUUCAUCAUACCAUGAUCAAACAUGUUUGCAAUGAAAAUUAGAGAUUAUAGUUUCCCAUGCCAUGCUUAAGUAGCUCUCUCUCUCUCUCUCGUGUUCUUGCUCUCAAACCCACGGAUUUCGAUCUCUUUGCUCGAAGCUCUGUUUCCAAAACUAUUUUGGGGGAUUGCUACUUGGUAUGUGACUCCUUCAUUGCUCCAAUUAAUUUUUGCUUUAGUGGUUUAUAUUUUGAAUAAUUAGUUACUCUUGGUGCUGCUGUAGAUGAGCUUGCAUGUUGAAUUCUUAGAGUUCUAAGUAGUUUGAAUGCAUGAUAUAGCAUGUAUGCCACCUUAUGAGUAGUUGCUAUCAAUAUUGUGAAGUUUUGUUGGCAAAAAUUGUGGACUAAAAAUUUCAGAAUUUUAUUUAUAGGAAUAAGAUGAGUUUCUUUAGGAGUUCGUCGAGGAGGAGGUCUUCGGAGGCAUCAUCUAGUAGUGGCUCGGUGCGCCGGUCUUAUGUUGAACCCAGCGCAAGUUCGAUACAGGAAGCAGCUAACAAAUCCUGCCUAUGGCCAUGCAACGAUUUUAUGGUGAGUGCAUGUAUUAAGGAAGAAUUUGAGAAAUAUGUUCACAACGCCGAGCUCGGGCCCUACAUAGAAGAUAAGUGCAACCAACAUCUUAGCCUCACAGAAUCGUUUACUAAAGAAUUUAAAUUUCAUCCUCGUGAGUCUAGAGUUUCGUUUAAACUUUAUGACUGCCCUUUUACCAUGCCUCUAGAUGCAUUUAGUGGUAUUUGUAAAUUUAAUUUUGGGGAUCACUGGACGAACCAUGAAGAUCUGAGUACAAGACAUUCUUGACUAGCCUUUGCUAUGGUGAGACUAGAGGAGUGACACAAGGUAGAAUAAAGAGCAUUCAUCUCCCAUCGGUUCAAUACUCUGCGCUCUUUAAUGGCAAAUGCAUCAUAGGCAAGCAGGAUUGCAGCACACUGUGUGCCCCUGACUUGAGCCUCAUACACACUGCUCUGACUAGAAUUAAAUGUUAUAAUCUUGGAGCGAUUGUUGCACGCAGAUUGCAACACAACGCUGGCAGUGGUUAUCUUUAUGGUGGGAUUUAUGCUUCUCGGUUAGCUAAAGAGGUGGGUGUUACACCUCUGCCUUAUGACCCCAUCUUACGCACUCAGUACUUAGACUUUGAGGCCAUGAAGCGCCAUAAGUUCCUUAAGGGUGAAAUCAAUAACUAUACUUAUAACUUGCGAUUCAAUAAAGCAUCCAUUGUAGAUAUCUUUUUUCCUGCACCUGCUCUCUUUGAUUUUCACAGCAAAGGAAGGUAUCAUGUUUCUGAGAGCGAGGCCCGUGCGCACAACGUGGAGCUCAGUGGGCUGAGGUGGUUGCACCAAGGGCCUCCGUGAGCUACCACUCUCACUACUAUGUAGGCCGCGGAUGGUGAUUACCAAGCUAGGCCAAAAGCCUAAGGUUGGGGGAGUACGUAUUUCCAGCGACAAUACAUUUAUGUUCACACAUUUCAUUCCAGUUGUCGGUGUUCACACUUUUUCAUUGUAUUAUCCAUGCUAGAUUUAUUUUCUCGCUUUCUUCUUGUGUGUUUGAAAAACUUCGAGAAAACUCCAAAAAAUCUUUUCUUGUUUCUUUUCGGUCUUUCUUUCUAGUUUAAUUAGUUGUAUUAUUUAAAGAAAACCCAAAAAGAUUUCUCGAUUCUUCUUUUACUUGUUGGGAGCUUACCCAUGUAAAUAGUUUUUCUCGUUUUUAUUUUUCUUUCUUUAGUUUGCUUCCGCUGAGAAAAACUAAAAACUCCAAAAAUAUUUAUGUGUGUUUCUCUGAAAUUCUUUUCUGUUUAUUGAGUCAUACCGAGGAGAAGACCGUGAUGAUAAUAUUGAGUGGCUCUCAUAUGCAUUAUUGUUGAUCUAACAAAGAGCCCAAAUUGCUUUGUCUUCUACUUUUUGAAUAAAAUGUUUGAAGAUUCGAGUUUAGUCCACGUCACUCUUGCACUAUUAUUAUUUUCAUAUCAUUCAGUUGUGCAAGUGAAAGGCAAUAAUGACGAUAUUUGGUGAACUGGCUAUGGCAGAGAGAAACAUGUAUGAACUCGACUUGUUCUAUUUUUGUAAAUAUGUUUAACCUAGUAUCCAUGAUUCAUCAUGUUAUGAUCAAAUAUGUUUGCAAUGACAAUUAGAGAUUAUAGUUUCCCAUGCCAUGCUUAAGUAGCUAGGAGUGGAUAAUGAUUUAUCUUACACGUCAACAUUGCGUUAAAAUGAUUGUGAUGUGGUAUGAUGAUAUGGUAUCCUCCUAUGAAUGUUUCGAGUGGCUUGACUUGACACAUGUUCAUGCAUGUAGUUGAAUCAAAACCAACAUAGCCUCUAUGAUAUUUAUGUUCAUGGUGUUCAUAUCCUACUCAUGCUAGUAUCCAAUGUUCAUUAUGCAUAAUGCAUGUUCAUGACCGUUUUCGCUCUCUAGCUGGCCGCUUCCCAACCUAUUUGCUAGCCUCCGCCUGUAUUAAGCGGAAUUACUGCUUGUGCAUCGAAAUCCUAAAACCUAAGUUAUUCCAGACGAGUCCACCAUACCUACCUAUAUGCGGUAUUACCCUGCCGUUCUAAGUAAAUUUGCAUGUGCCACCUCUAAAAACUUCAAAUAAACAUCUGUUUUUGUGUGCCUGAAUUGUUCAUAGAGCGACAGGGGGUAGUCAGUAUCUUGCAUGCUAAGCGGGUUAUUCUCAUGAUGAGUGUUUAUUCACUCGUCGUUGCACGAGAGGGGCGGUAAUAUGGAUUCCUAAUCCCGAAAUAAAAAAUUGCAAAUAAUUAAACAAAACUCCUCUAGGAUAGUUGUUGGUAUGGAUGGUACCCGUGGAUUCGGCUAGCCCUGGAGUGUGAUUGUUGGUGGAGGGGGAGUAAACCUUACUUUUAUCACUUGGGAACCUCCACUAAUGUGUUUAGCAUGGAAGAUAUUGAUAACUUUUGGUCGUGACGUAAACAGGAAGGGUGCAUUCCCCAAAAUUUCAUUUAUCUCCGUUUUAAAAACUUGAGCUCUGGCACCGCUGCAAAUCCCUACUUCCCACUACGAAGGGACUAUCUAUUUACUUUUUGAUGUUGGGUCGCCACCUUCUCAAAUAAGCGCCAGAUCUGAGAGCAUUAUUGUCAUCCUCAUGCAUUGUGUAUAGUUAAUGUUAGGUGCAUCAUGACUGGAUCUUUUCUACCAUGAAUUACAAUGUUUAGUCGCUGCUUGAACUUUGGAGGUGCUCUGCAUUUAUGUUUUGCGGUCUCAGAAAGGGCUAGCGAGAUACCACUAUUGUCAUAUUAUAUCAUGAUUGUUUUGACAAGGUGUUGGAAUUUGAGAUGUCUUAUUAUUGCUUGCUAGUUGAUUAUACCAUUGAUAUGAGUUAAUAUAAUUUUUAAGUGUUAUUGUUGACAUGGUUAGUCAUGAUCUUUGCUGAAAACUUGGGUGCUACUUUAGCUUAUUUAUGUAAACAAGAGCAAAAGCGUUCGUAAAAGUUUAUCUUUUUCACUUUCAGUUUAUCAACUGAAUUGCUUGAAGACAAGCAAAGGUUUAAGCUUGGGGGAGUUGAUACGUCUCCGUCGUAUCUACUUUUCCUAACGCUUUUCCUCUUGUUUUGGACUCUAAUUUGCAUGAUUUGAAUGAAACUAACCCGGACUGACGCUAUUUUUAGCGGAAUUACCAUAUAGUUUUUUUUGCAGAAAUAAAAGUUCUCAGAUUGGAACGAAACUUUUUGGAGAAUUAUUUCAUAAUAAAAGAAAAAUACUGGAUCCAAGAACCACCGGAGGGGGGCCCCUGGGUGAGCACAACCCACCAGGGCGCGCCCUCCUCCAGGCACGCCCAGGUGGGUUGUGCCCACCUGGUGGCCCCGCAGACCUGAUGACCCACAAGUGUAGGGGAUCUAUCGUACUCCUUUCAAUAAGUAAGAGUGUCGAACCCAACGAGGAGCAGAAGGAAAUGACAGGUGGUUUUCAGCAAGCUAUUCUCUGCAAGCAUUGAAAUUAGCGGUAACAGGUAGUUUUGUGAUAAGAUAAAUCGUAAUGGGUAACAAGUAAUGAAAGUAAACAAGGUGAAGCAAGGUGGCCCAAUCCUUUUUAUAGCAAAGGACAAGCCUGGAUGAACUCUAAUAUGAAGCAAAGUGCUCCGGAGGACACAUGGGAAUUAUUGUCAAGUUAGUUUUCAUCAUGCUCAUAUGAUUUGCGUUCGUUACUUUGAUAAUUUGAUAUGUGGGUGGACCGGUGCUUAGGUGCUGCCCUUCCUUGAACAAGCUCCCACUUAUGAUUAACCCCUCUCGCAAGCAUCCGCAACUAUGAAAGAAGAAUGAAGGUAAACCUAACCAUAGCAUGAAACAUAUGGAUCCAAAUCAGCCCCUUACAAAGCAACACAUAAACUAGGGUUUAAACUUCUGUCACUCUAGCAACCCAUCAUCUACUUAUUACUUCCCAAUGCCUUCCCCCAGGCACAAAUAAUGGUGAAGUGUCAUGUAAUCGACGUUCACAUAGCACCACUAGAGGAAAGACAACAUACAUCUCAUCAAAAUAUCGAACGAAUACCAAAUUCACAUGAUUACUUAUAACAAGAGUUCUCCCAUGUCCUCAGGAACAAACGUAAUUACUCCCAAAGCAUAUUCAUAAUCAUAAUCAGAGGAGUAUUAAUUAUCAUUAAGGAUCUGAACAUAUGAUAUUCCACCAAAUAAACCAACUGGCAUCAACUACAAGGAGUAAUCAACACUACUAGCAACCCACAGGUACCAAUCUAAGGUUUUGGGACCAAGAUCGAAUACAAGAGAUGAACUAGGGUUUGAGAGGAGAUGGUGCUGGUGAAGAUGUUGAUGGAGAUUGACCCUCCCUCGAUGGUGAUGACGAUGGCGAUGAUUUCCCCCUCCGGGAGGGAUGUUUCCCCGGCAGAACAGCUCCGCCGGAGCCCUAGAUUGGUUCUGCCCAGGUUCCGCCUCGAGACGGCGGCGCUUCGUCCCGAAAUCUUCCUUACGAUUUUUUCCAGGGUAAAAGGCACCAUAUAGUAGAAGAUGGGCACCGGAGGCCUGCCAGUGGGCCCACAAGGUCGGGGGGCGCGCCUAGGGGGUGGGGCACGGCCUCCACCCUUGUGGCUGGCUGGUGGCCCCCCUCUGGUUCUUUCUUCGCCCAAUAUUUUUUAUAUAUUCCAAAAAUAAUCUCCCUGAAGUUUCAGGACUUUUGGAGUUGUGCAGAAUAGGUCUCUAAUAUUUGCUCCUCUUCAAGUCCAGAUUUCCAGCUGCCGCAUUCUCCCUCUUCAUGUAAACCUUGUAAAAUAAGAGAGAAUAGCCAUAAGUAUUGUGAUAUAAUGUGUAGUAACAGCCCAUAAUGCAAUAAAUAUUGUCAUAAAAUCAUGAUGCAAAAUGGACGUAUCAACUCCCCAAGCUUAGACCUCGCUUGUCCUCAAGCGAAAGCCGAUAUCGAUAAAUAUGUCCACAUGUUUAGAGAUAGAGGUGUCGAUAAAAAUAAAAUACAGACAUGAGGGCAUCAUGAUUGUCUUUAGAACAACAAGAAUAUAAUGCCAUAUAAUUUCUUAUGAUAAAGUAACAAUUCAUUCACAAGGCAAAGUACGAAUCAGAAACUUUUUUCAGAACUAACAAACUAUGAUCUCAGUCAUUGAAGCAAUUGCAAUUUAUCAUAACAUCAGAAAUAGUCAAUAUAAGAGCUUUUCCGCAAGUACACAUACUCAACUAUCAUAAUCUUUCACAAUUGCUAACACUCACGCAAUACUUAUGGGUACAAAGUUUCAAUCAGACAUAGAAAGAUAGGGGCUUAUAGUUUCGCCUCGCAACUUCUUACCUCAAGGCUAAUGUCAACAAUAAUACUUUAUGAAAACCUACAUCCGAGUGGAUAUAUAUAUCCGGAUCUCUCCAACACAUAGAGCUUGCCAAAGGAAAAAGUGUAAAAAGGAAAGGUGAAGAUCACCAUGACUCUUGUAUAAGGGUGGAAGAUGAAAAUAAAAGAUAGGCCCUUCGCAGAGGGAAGCAAAGGUUGUCAUGCGCUUUUAUGGUCGGAUGCACAAAAUCUUAAUUCAAAAGAACGUCACUUUAUAUUGCCACUUGUGAUAAAAACCUUUAUUAUGCAGUCCGUUAAUACGUCCAUUUUGCAUAAUGUUUCCUUACUGUUAUUUAUGAUGUUUUUAUCCAUAAUAAUGCUUUUUGGAGUAAUUUUAAUGCCUUUUCUAUCAUAAUAUGCAAGGUAUACACAAAGAGGGAGAAUUCCGGCAGCUGGAAAUCUGGACUUGGAGAAGCUACGUCAGGCCACCUAUUCUGCACAGCUCCAAACAAGCUGAAACUUCACGGAGAUUUUUUAUCAAAUAUAUGAUGAAUAUUGGAGCAAAUAACUACCAGAGGGGGCCCACCAGGUGGGCACAACCCACCUAGGCGCGUCAGGGAGCCCAGGCGCGCCCUGGUGGGUUGUGCUCACCCAGGCCCACCUCCGGCGCCCAUCUUCUGGUAUAUAGGUUAUUUUAACCUAGAAAAAAUAAGGAGAGGACUUUCGGGACGGAGCGCCGCCGUCACGAGGCGGAACUUGGGCAGGAGCACUUUUGCCCUCCGGCAGAGCGAUUCCGCCGGGGGAACUUCCCUCCCGGAGGGGGAAAUCGUCGUCCUCAUCAUCACCAACAACUCUCCCAUCUUGGGGAGGGCAAUCUCCAUCAACAUCUUCAACAGCACCAUCUCAUCUCAAACCCUAGUUCAUCUCUUGUGUUCAAUCUUGUUACCGAAACUAUAGAUUGGUGCUUGUGGGUGACUAGUAGUGUUGAUUACAUCUUGUAGUUGAUUACUAUAUGGUUUAAUUGGUGGAAGAUUAUAUGUUCAGAUCCAAUAUGCUAUUUAAUACCCCUCUGAUCUUGAGCAUGAUUAUCAUUUGUGAGUAGUUACUUUUGUUCUCGAGGUCACGGGAGAAAUCAUGUUGCAAGUAAUCAUGUGAAUUUGAUAUGUGUUCGAUAUUUUGAUAGUAUGUAUGUUGUGAUUCCCUUAGUGGUGUCAUGUUGGGGAACGUAGCAGAAAUUCAAAAUUUUCUACGCAUCACCAAGAUCAAUCUAUGGAGUAAUCUAGCAACGAGGGAAGGGGAGUGCAUCUACAUACCCUUGUAGAUCGCGAAGCGGAAGCGUUGCAAGAACGCGGAUGAAGGAGUCGUACUCGUAGCGAUUCAGAUCGCGGUUGAUUCCGAUCUAAGCGCCGAACCACGGCGCCUCCGCGUUCAACACACGUGCAGCCCGGUGACGUCUCCCACGCCUUGAUCCAGCAAGGAGAGAGGGAGAGGUUGGGGAAGACUCCGUCCAGCAGCAGCACGACGGCAUGGUGGUGGUGGAGGAGCGUGGUACUCCAGCAGGGCUUCGCCAAGCACCGCAAGAGACGAGGAGGGAGAGGGGUAGGGCUGCGCUAUGAGGGAGAUGUUCUCAUGUCUAUGGCAGCCCCCAACCCCACUAUAUAUAGGGGAAGGGGGAGGGGCUGUGCCCCCAUCUAGGGUUCCCCCCCAAGGGGUGCGGCCAGCCCUAGAUGCAUCUAGAGGGGGCGGCCAAGGGGGGAGAGAGGGGGGGGGACCACUAGGUGGGCCUUAGGCCCAUCUGUGCCUAGGGUUUCCCCCUUCCCCCCCUUCCCUGCGCCUUGGGCCCCUUGUGGGAGGCGCACCAGCCCACCUAGGGGCUGGUCCCUUCCCACACUUGGCCCACGCAGCCCUCUGGGGCCGGUGGCCCCACCUGGUGGACCCCCGGGACCCUCCCGGUGGUCCCGGUACGUUAUCGAUAACACCCGAAACUUUUCCAGUGACCAAAACAGGACUUCCCAUAUAUAAAUCUUUACCUCCGGACCAUUCCGGAACUCCUCGUGACGUCCGGGAUCUCAUCCGGGACUCCGAACAGCAUUCGGUAACCACGUAUAUCUAUUCCCUAUAACCCUAGCGUCAUCGAACCUUAAGUGUGUAGACCCUACGGGUUCGGGAAUCAUGCAGACAUGACCGUGACGUUCUCUGGCCAAUAACCAACAGCGGGAUCUGGAUACCCAUGUUGGCUCCCACAUGUUCCACGAUGAUCUCAUCGGAUGAACCACGAUGUCGGGGAUUCAAUCAAUCCCGUAUUCAAUUCCCUUUGUCAAUCGGUAUGUUACUUGCCCGAGAUUCGAUCGUCGGUAUCCCGAUACCUUGUUCAAUCUCGUUACCGGCAAGUCUCUUUACUCGUUCCAUAACACAUCAUCCCGUGAUCAACUCCUUGGUCACAUUGUGCACAUUAUGAUGAUGUCCUACCGAGUGGGCCCAGAGAUACCUCUCCGUUUACAUGGAGUGACAAAUCCCAGUCUCGAUUCGUGCCAACCCAACAGACACUUUCGGAGAUACCUGUAGUGCACCUUUAUAGCCACCCAGUUACGUUGUGAUGUUUGGUACACCCAAAGCAUUCCUACGGUAUCCGGGAGUUGCACAAUCUCAUGGUCUAAGGAAAUGAUACUUGACAUUAGAAAAGCUCUUAGCAAACGAACUACACGAUCUUGUGCUAGGCCUAGGAUUGGGUCUUGUCCAUCACAUCAUUCUCCUAAUGAUGUGAUCCCGUUAUCAACGACAUCCAAUGUCCAUGGUCAGGAAACCGUAACCAUCUAUUGAUCAACGAGCUAGUCAACUAGAGGCUUACUAGGGACAUGGUGUUGUCUAUGUAUCCACACAUGUAUCUGAGUUUCCUAUCAAUACAAUUCUAGCAUGGAUAAUAAACGAUUAUCAUGAACAAGGAAAUAUAAUAAUAACCAAUUUAUUAUUGCCUCUAGGGCAUAUUUCCAGCAUGUCAUGUGAACGUCGACUACAUGACACUUGACCAUAUUUGGGCCUAAGGGAAUGCAUUGUGGAGUAGCAAUAGAUGAUGGGAUGCGAGAGUGACAGAAGCUUAAACCCAGUUUAUGCGCUAUUCCGUAAGGGACCGAUUGGAUCCAAAAGUUUAAUAUUAUGGUUAGAAUUUAUUAUUAAUACUUUUCUCAUAGUUGCGGAUGCUUGCGGGAGGGUUAAUCAUAAGUAGGAGGUUUGUUCAAGUAAUAACAGCACCUAAGCACCGGUCCACCCACAUAUCAAAUUAUCGAAGUACCGAACACGAAUUAAACCAACAUGAUGAAAGUGACUAGAUGAAAAUCCCGUGUACCCUCAAGAAUGCUUUGCUUAUCACAAGAGACCGUUUUGGCCUGUCCUUUGCCUCAAAAGGAUUGGGCUAUCUUGCUGCACUUUUGUUACUACUAUCGUUACUUGCCUGUUACAAAUUAUCUUGCUAUCAAACUACUCAGUUACUUACAAUUUCAGCACUUGCAGACAUUACCUUACUGAAAACUACUUGUCAUUUCCUUCUGCUCCUCGUUGGGUUCGACACUCUUACUUAUCGAAAAGAGCUACAAUUACUCCCCUAUACUUGUGGGUCAUCAAGGCUAUUUUCUGGCGCCGUUGCCAGGGAGUGAAGCGCCUUUGGAAAGUGGAAUUUGGUAAGGAAACAUUUAUAUAGUGUGCUGAAAUUUAUUAUCACUUGUUACUAUGGAAAACAAUCCUUUGAGGGGUUUGUUCGGGGUAUCUUCACCUCUACCAGAACCACAAUUAGCUACCCCUCAACCUACUGCACCUACUGAAAAUAUUGAAUAUAAAAUUCCUUCGGGUAUGUUAGAACAACUGCUAGCUAAUCCUUAUGCAGGAGAUGGAACCGAACAUCCUGAUAUACACUUGAUAUAUGUAGAACAAAUUUGUGGAUUGUUUAAGCUUGCAGGUUUACCCGUAGAUGAAGUUAUGAAGAAGGUUUUCCCUUUAUCUUUGAAGGGAAAAGCAUUGGCAUGGUAUAGGCUAUGCGAUGAUAUUGGAUCUUGGAAUCGUUUGAAAUUGGAGUACCACCAAAAAAAAUUUAUCCUAUGCAUCUAGUUCAUCGUGAUCGGAAUUAUAUAUAUAAUUUUUGGCCUUGUGAAGGAGAAAGUAUCGCUCUAGCUUGGGGGAGGCUUAAUUCAAUGUUAUAUUCAUGCCACAAUCAUGAGCUCUCGAAAGAAAUUAUUAUCCAGAACUUUUAUGCUCGGCUUUCUCGCAAUGAUCAAACCAUGCUCGAUACUUCUUGUGCUGGUUCUUUUAUGAAGAAGAAUAUUGAAUUCCGGUGGGAUCUUUUGGAAAGAAUUAAACGCAACUCUGAAGAUUGGGAACUCGACGAAGGUAAAGAGUCAGGUAUUAAGCUUAAUUAUGAUUGUGUUAAAUCUUUUUUGAAUACCGUUGCUUUUCAAAAGUUUAGCACUAAAUAUGGAAUUGACUCUAAGAUAGUAGCUUCCUUCUAUGAAUCAUUUGCUACUCAUGUUGAUAUCCCUAAAGAGAAGUGGUUUAAAUAUCACCCACCUAUUAAAGAAGAAAUCAAAGAACCGGUACCAGUUAAAGAAGAAACUAUACUUUACAAUGUUGAUCCAGUUGUUCCUUCUGCUUAUAUUGAGAAACCACCUUUCCCUGUUAGGAUAAAGGAACAUGCUAAAGUUUCAAAUGUGGUCAACAAGAGUUACAUUAGAACACCUAAACCUGAUGAACAAAUUAAAGUGGAACCUAGUAUUUCUAUGGUUAAAGAUCUCUUGGAAGAAAAUGUAGAUGGGCAUGUUAUUUACUUCUGUGAAGAAGCUGCUAGAAUUGCUAAACCCGAUAAAAAGGAUAAACAUAGACCUGUUGUUGGCAUGCCCGUUGUCUCAUUAAAAUAGGAGAUCACUGUUAUCAUGGUUUAUGUGACAUAGGUGCUAGUGUGAGUGCUAUUCCUUAUUCCUUAUAUCAAGAAAUUAUGAAUGACAUAGCACCCGCAGAGAUAGAAGACAUAGAUGUUACUAUUAAACUUGCUAAUAGAGACACUAUAUCACCAAUUGGUAUUGUUAGAGAUGUUGAAGUCUUGUGUGGGAAAAUAAAAUACCCUACUGAUUUUCUUGUUCUUGGUUCCCCACAAGAUGAUUUUUGCCCCAUAAUCUUUGGUAGACCUUCCUUGAACACCGUUAAUGCUAGAAUAGACUGUGAGAAACAAACUGUCGGUGUUACUUUUGGUGAUGAGUCUCAUGAGUUUAAUUUUUCCAAGUUUAGUAGUAAGCUUCAAGAAAAAGAAUUGCCUAGUAAAGAUGAAUUAAUUGGUCUUGCUUGUAUUGUUGUGCCUCCUACUGAUCCACUAGAACAAUAUUUGUUAGACCAUGAUAAUGAUUUACAUAUGCAUGAAAGAAAUGAAAUAGAUAAGAUUUUCUUUGAACAACGUCCUCUGCUUAAACACAACUUGCCUAUUGAAACUAUAGGAGGUCCUCCUCCACCUAAAGGUGAUCCUGUGUUUGAAUGAAAACAAUUGCCAGACACUUUGAAAUAUGCUUAGCUUGAUGAAAAGAAAUUAUAUCCUGUUAUUAUUAGUGCUAACCUUUCAGAACAUGAAGAAGAAAGAUUAUUGAAAGUUCUAAGGAAGCACCGAGCUGCUAUUGGAUAUACUGUUGAUGAUUUAAAGGGCAUUAGUCCCACUCUAUGUCAGCACAAAAUUAAUAUGGAACCUGAUGCUAAACCCGUUGUUGAUCACUAACGUUGGUUAAAUCCGAAGAUGAAAGAAGUGGUAAGAACGGAAAUAUUAAAACUUCUGGAAGCAGGUAUAAUCUAUCCUAUAGCUGAUAGUAGAUGGGUAAGUCCCGUUCAUUGUGUCCCUAAGAAAGGAGGUAUAACUGUUGUUCCUAAUGAUAAGAAUGAACUUAUUCCACAAAGAAUUGUUACAUGCUAUAGAAUGGUAAUUGAUUUUAGAAAAUUAAACAAAGCAACUAGAAAAGAUCAUCACCCUCUGCCUUUUAUUGAUAAAAUGCUUGAAAGAUUAUCUAAGCACACACAUUUUUGCUUCCUUGAUGAAUAUUCUGGUUUUUCACAAAUACUUGUUUCUCAACCUGAUCAAGAAAAGACCAGUUUUACUUGUCCCUUUGGAACCUAUGCUUAUAGACGUAUGCCUUUUGGUUUAUGUAAUGCACCUGCUACCUUUCAAUGAUGUAUGACUGCUAUAUUCUCUGACUUUUGUGAAAAGAUUGUUGAGGUUUUCAUGGACGACUUCUCUGUUUAUGGGAAGUCUUUUUAUGAUUGUUUAAGCAAUCUUGAUCGAGUUUUGCAGAGAUGUGAACAAAUAAAUCUUGUCUUGAAUUGGGAGAAGUGCCACUUUAUGGUUAAUGAAGGCAUUGUCUUGGGUCAUAAAAUUUCCGAAAGAGGUAUUGAAGUGGACAAAGCUAAGGUUGAUGCAAUUGAGAAAGAGAAUGCCAUGCCCUAAAGAUAUAAAAGGCACUCGUAGUUUCUUAGGUCAUGCUGGUUUCUAUAGGAGAUUUAUCAAAGACUUUUCUAAAAUUUCUAGGCCUCUUAUGAAUCUUUUGCAAAAGGAUAUUACUUUUGUUUUUGAUGAUGAUUGUUUAGAAUCCUUCGAAACACUCAAGAACGUCUUAAUUUCUGCACCUAUUAUUCAACCACCUGAUUGGAACUUGCCUUUCGAAAUUAUCUGUGAUGCUAGUGAUUAUGUUGUUGGUGCUCUUCUAGGACAAAGAGUUGAUAAGAAAUUGAAUGUUAUUCAUUAUGCUAGUAAAACUCUAGACAGUGCUCAACAAAACUAUGCUACUACUGAAAAAGAAUUCUUAGCAGUGGUGUUUGCUUGUGAUAAAUUUAGACCUUAUAUUGUUGAUUCCAAAGUAAUUGUUCACACCGACCAUGCUGCUAUUAAAUAUCUUAUGGAAAAGAAAGAUGCUAAACCUAGACUUAUUCGAUGGGUUCUCUUGUUAAAAGAAUUUGAUUUACAUAUCAUUGAUAGAAAAGGAGCUGAGAACCCCGUAGCUGAUAAUCUAUCUAGGCUUGAAAAUGUUCCUGAUGACCCACUACCUAUUGAUGAUAGUUUUCCUGAUGAGCAGUUAGCUGCAAUAAAUGUUGCUCAUAGUACUCCUUGGUAUGCUGACUAUGCUAAUUACAUUGUUGCUAAAUAUUUACCACCUAGCUAUACAUAUCAACAAAAGAAAAAAUUCUUCUAUGAUUUAAGACAUUACUUUUGGGAUGACCCACAUCUUUAUAAAGAAGGAGUAGAUGGUAUUAUUAGACGUUGUGUACCUAAGCAUGAACAGGGACAAAUCCUACGGAAAUGUCACUCCGAAGCUUAUGGAGGGCAUCAUGUUGGAGAUAGAACUGCUCACAAGGUAUUGCAAUCUGGAUUUUGUUUGCCUACUCUCUUCAAGGAUGCCCGUAAGUUCGUCUUAUCUUGUGAUGAAUGUCAAAGAAUAGGUAAUAUCGGUAAGCGUCAAGAAAUACCUAUGAACUAUUCACUUGCUGUUGAACCAUUCGAUGUUUGGGGAUUUGAUUACAUGGGACCUUUUCCUUCCUCUAAUGGCUAUACACAUAUUUUGGUUGCUGUUGAUUAUGUUACUAAAUGGGUAGAAGCUAUUCCAACCAGUAGUGCUGAGCACAACACCUCUAUUAAAAUGCUUAAGGAAGUUAUUUUCCCAAGGUUUGGAGUCCCUAGAUAUUUAAUGGCUGAUGGUGGUUCACACUUUAUUUAUGGUGCUUUCCGUAAAAUGCUUGCCAAGUAUGAUGUUAACCAUAGAAUUGCAUCACCUUAUCAUCCUCAGUCUAGUGGUCAAGUUGAACUUAGUGUCGGUGUCAAAACUGGCCGAUCUCGGGUAGGGGGUCCUGAACUGUGCGUUUGAGGAUCGAAGGUAACAGGAGGCAGGGGACACGAUGUUUUACCCAGGUUCGGGCCCUCUUAAUGGAGGUAAUACCCUACCUCCUACUUGAUUGACUUUGAUGAGUAUAGGGGUUAGAAGAGUCGAUCUACCUCGAGAUCAUAAUGGCUAAACCCUAGAUGUCUAGCCUGUAUGAUUUGUCUUAGCCUCUAUGGACUAAACCCUCUGGUUUAUAUAGGCACCGGAGGGGCCUAGGGUUGUACAGAGUCGGAUUACAGAGAAAGGAAACUACACAUCCGGACGUUAAGCCUGCCAUCCACGCAAGGGAGAGUCCCGUCCGGACAUGGGGGAAGGUCUUCUGUCUUGUAUCUUCAUGGCCCAUCAGUCCCUCCCAUGUAGUAUAGGCCGGCUCCCCGAGGACCCCAUAAUCCAGGACUCCCUCAGUAGCCCCUGAACCAGACUUCAAUGACGAUGUAUCCGACGCGCAGAUUUGUCAUCGGCAUUGCAAGGCGGGUUCCUCCUCCGAAUACACCAUAGCAGUUGAACAAGAGAACUAUAUUUGGCUCUGUAAAAUAGUUACAACCCUAAACCAGAAGGGCAAAAUACUUGAACAAAAUAAGUCAUGUCCAUUCACAGUUUUUUUGGCGAGAUGUUGCAUCCGGCCUUAUCAUUAUAUCGAACCGUUUUUUGUCCUCCCGCCCCGGGUUUCGAGGCAUGGCUGUUGGGGAACGUAGUAAUUUCAAAAAAAUUCCUACGCACACGCAAGAUCAUGGUGAUGCAUGGCAACGAGAGGGGAGAGUGUUGUCUACGUACCCUCGAAGACCGAAAGCGGAAGCAUUAGCACAACGCGGUUGAUGUAGUCGUACGUCUUCAUGAUCCGACCGAUCAAGUAUCGAACGCACGGCACCUCCGAGUUUAGCACACGUUCAGCCCGAUGACGUCCCUCGAACUCCGAUCCAUCCGAGUGUUGAGGGAGAGUUUCGUCAGCACGACGGCGUGGUGACGAUGAUGAUGUUCUAUCGAUGCAGGGCUUCGCCUAAGCACCGCUACAGUAUUAUCGAGGUGGACUAUGGUGGAGGGGGCACUGCACACGGCUAAAAGAUCAAACGAUCAAUUGUUGUGUCUAUGGGGUGCCCCCUGCCCCCGUAUAUAAAGGAGCAAGGGAGGAGGAGGCCGGCCCUAGGAGGGGCGCGCCAAGGGAGUAGGAUUCCUACUCCUAGUUGGAGUAGGUUUCCUCCUUUCCUAGUCCAACUAGGAGAACGGGGGAAAGGGGGGAAGAGGAGAAGGAAGAGAGAGGGGGGCCGCGCCCCAAACCCCUUGUCCAAUUCGGACUGGGCUUGGGAGGGGCGCGCGCCACCUCCUGGCUGCUGCCUCUCCUUCCCACUAAGGCCCAAUACUUUUUUCCCGUAUUCCCGUAACUCCCCGGUACUCCGAAAAAUACCCGAAUCACUCGGAACCUUUCCGAUGUCCGAAUAUAGUCGUCCAAUAUAUCUAUCUUUACGUAUCGACCAUUUCGAGACUCCUCGUCAUGUCCCCGAUCUCAUCCGGGACUCUGAACUACCUUCGGUACAUCAAAACACAUAAACUCAUAAUAUAACCAUCAUCGAACUUUAAGCGUGCGGACCCUACGGGUUCGAAACUAUGUAGACAUGACCGAGACAUGUCUCCGGUCAAUAACCAAUAGCGGAACCUGGAUGCUCAUAUUGGCUCCCACAUAUUCUACGAAGAUCUUUAUCGGUCAGACCGCAUAACAACAUACGUUGUUCCCUUUGUCAUCGGUAUGUUACUUGCCCGAGAUUCGAUCGUCGGUAUCUUAAUACCUAGUUCAAUCUCGUUACUGGCAAGUCUCUUUACUCGUUGUGUAAUACAUCAUCCGCAACUAACUCAUUAGUUGCAAUGCUUGCAAGGCUUAAGUGAUGUGCAUUACCGAAUGGGCCUAGAGAUACCUCUCCGACAAUCGGAGUGACAAAUCCUAAUCUCGAAAUACGCCAACCCAACAAGUACCUUUGGAGACACCUGUAGAGCACCUUUAUAAUCACCCAGUUACGUUGUGACGUUUGGUAGCACAUAAAGUGUUCCUCCGGUAAACGGGAGUUGCAUAAUCUCAUAGUCAUAGGAACAUGUAUAAGUCAUGAAGAAAGCAAUAGCAACAUACUAAACGAUCAAGUUCUAAGCUAACGGAAUGGGUCAAGUCAAUCAUAUCAUUCCCCUAAUGAUGUGAUCCCGUUAAUCAAAUGACAACUCAUGUCUAUGGCUAGGAGACUCAACCAUCUUUGAUUAACGAGCUAGUCAAGUAGAGGCAUACUAGUGACACUAUGUUUGUCUAUGUAUUCACACAUGUAUCAAGUUUCCGGUUAAUACAAUUCUAGCAUGAAUAAUAAACAUUUAUCAUGAAAUAAGGAAAUAAAUAAUAACUUUAUUAUUGUCUCUAGGGCAUAUUUCCUUCAGUCUGCCACUUGCACUAGAGUCAAUAAUCUAGUUCACAUCGCCAUGUGAUUUAACAUCAAUAGUUCACAUCACCAUGUGAUUAACACCCAUAGUUCACAUCGUCAUGUGACCAACACCCAAAGGGUUUACUAGAGUCAAUAAUCUAGUUCACAUCGGUAUGUGAUUAACACCCAAAGAGUACUAAGGUGUGAUCAUGUUUUGCUUGUGAGAUAAUUUUAGUCAACGGGUCUGUCACAUUCAGAUCCGUAAGUAUUUUGCAAAUUUCUAUGUCUACAAUGCUCUGCACGGAGCUACUCUAGCUAAUUGCUCCCACUUUCAAUAUGUAUCUAGACCGAGACUUAGAGUCAUCUAGAUUAGUGUCAAAACUUGCAUCGACUUAACCCUUUACGACGAACCUUUUGUCACUUCCAUAAUCGAGAAACAUAUCCUUAUUCCACUAAGGAUAAUUUUGACCGCUGUCCAGUGAUCUACUCCUAGAUCACUAUUGUACUCCCUUGCCAAAAUCAGUGUAGGGUAUACAAUAGAUCUGGUACACAGCAUGGCAUACUUUAUAGAACCUAUGGCCGAGGCAUAGGGAAUGGCUUUCAUUCUCUUUCUAUCUUCUGCCGUGGUCGGGCUUUGAGUCUUACUCAAUUUCACACCUUGUAACACAGGCAAGAAACUCUUUCUUUGACUGUUCCAUUUUGAACUACUUCAAAAUCUUGUCAAGGUAUGUACUCAUUGAAAAAACUUAUCAAGCGUCUUGAUCUAUCUCUAUAGAUCUUGAUGCUCAAUAUGUAAGCAGCUUCACCGAGGUCUUUCUUUGAAAAACUCCUUUCAAACACUCCUUUAUGCUUUGCAGAAUAAUUCUACAUUAUUUCCGAUCAACAAUAUGUCAUUCACAUAUACUUAUCAGAAAUGCCGUAGUGCUCCCACUCACUUUCUUGUAAAUACAGGCUUCACCGCAAGUCUGUAUAAAACUAUAUCCUUUGAUCAACUUAUCAAAGCGUAUAUUCCAACUCCGAGAUGCUUGCACCAGUCCAUAGAUGGAUCGCUGGAGCUUGCAUAGUUUGUUAGCACCUUUAGGAUUGACAAAACCUUUUGGUUGCAUCAUAUACAACUCUUCUUUAAUAAAUCCAUUAAGGAAUGCAGUUUUGUUUAUCCAUUUGCCAGAUUUCAUAAAAUGCGGCAAUUGCUAACAUGAUUUGGACAGACUUAAGCAUAGAUACGAGUGAGAAACUCUCAUCGUAGUCAACACCUUGAACUUGUCGAAAAACCUUUUGCGACAAUUCUAGCUUUGUAGAUAGUAACACUACUAUCAGCGUCCGUCUUCCUCUUGAAGAUCCAUUUCUUCUCGAUGGCCUGCCGAUCAACGGGCAGUCAACCAAAGUCCACACUUUGUUCUCAUACAUGGAUCCCAUCUCAGAUUUCAUGGCCUCAAGCCAUUUUGCGGAAUCUGGGCUCACCAUCGCUUCCUCAUAGUUCGUAGGUUCGUCAUGGUCAAGUAACAUGACCUCCAGAACAUGAUUACCGUACCACUCUGGUGCGGUCUCACUCUGGUUUACCUACGAGGUUCGGUAGUAACUUGAUCUGAAGUUACAUGAUCAUCAUCAUUAGCUUCCUCACUAAUUGGUGUAGUAGUCACAGGAACAGAUUUCUGUGAUGAACUACUUUCCAAUAAGGGAGCAGGUAUAGUUACCUCAUCAAGUUCUACUUUCCUCCCACUCACUUCUUUCGAGAGAAACCCCUUCUCUAGAAAGGAUCCAUUCUUAGCAACGAAUAUCUUGCCUUCGGAUCUAUGAUAGAAGGUGUACCCAACUGUCUCCUUUGGGUAUCCUAUGAAGAAACAUUUCUCCGAUUUGGGUUUGAGCUUAUCAGGAUGAAACUUUUCCUUAUAAGCAUCACAACCCCAAACUUUAAGAAACGACAACUUUGGUUUCUUGCCAAACCACAGUUCAUACGGUGUCGUCUCAAACGAAUUUAGAUGGUGCCCUUUUUACGUGAAUGCUGCUGUCUCUAAUGCAUAACCCCAAAACUAUAGUGGUAAAUUGGUAAGAAACAUCAUAGAUUGCACUAUAUCCAAUAAAUUACGGUUAUGACAUUCGGGCACACCAUUAUGUUGUGGUGUUCUAGGUGGCACGAAUUUGUGAAACUAUUCCACAUUGUUUUAAUUUGAAGACCAAACUCGUAACUCAAAUAUUUGUCUCCGCGAUCAGAUCGUAGAAACCUUAUUUUCUUGUCACGAUGAUUUUCCACUUCACUCUGAAAUUCUUUGAACUUUUCAAAUGUUUCAGACUUAUGUUUCAUCAAGUAGAUAUACCCAUAUCUGCUCAAAUCAUCUGUGAAGGUCAAAAAAUAACGAUACCUGCCGCGAGCCUCAACACUCAUCGGAUCGCAUACAUCAGUAUGUAUUAUUUCCAAUAAGUCAGUUGCUCGCUCCAUUGUUCCGGAGAACGGAGUCUUAGGCAUCUUGCCCAUAAGGCAUGGUUCGCAAGCAUCAAGUGAUUCAUAAUCAAGUGAUUCCAAAAGCCCAUUAGCAUGGAGUUUCUUCAUGCGCUUUACACCAAUAUGACCUAAACGGCAGUGCCACAAAUAAGUUGCACUAUCAUAAUUAACUUUGCAUCUUUUGGUUUCAAUAUUAUGAAUAUGUGUAUCACUAUGAUCGAGAUCCAACGAACCAUUUUCAUUGGGUGUGUAACCAUAUAAAGUUUUAUUCAUGUAAACAGAACAACAAUUAUUCUCUAUCUUAAAUGAAUAACCAUAUUGCAAUAAACAUGAUCAAAUCAUAUUCAUGCUCAACACAAACACCAAAUAACACUUAUUUAGGUUCGACACUGAUCCCGAAAGUAUAGGGAGUGUGCGAUGAUGAUCAUAUCAAUCUUGGAACCACUUCCAACACACAUCAUCACUUCACCCUUAACUAGUCUCUGUUCAUUCUGCAACUCCCGUUUCGAGUUACUAAUCUUAGCAACUGAACUAGUAUCAAAUACUGAGGGGUUGCUAUAAACACUAGUAAAGUACACAUCAAUAACAUGAAUAUCAAAUAUACUUAUGUUCACUUUGCCAUCCUUCUUUUCCGCCAAUCACUUGGGGUAGUUCCGCUUCCAGUGACCAGUCCCUUUGCAGUAGAUGCACUUAGUCUCAGGCUUAGGUCCAGACUUGGGCUUCUUCACUCGAGCAGCAACUUGCUUGCCAUUCUUCUUGAAGUUCCCCUUCGUCUCUUUGCCCCUUUUCUUGAAACCAGGGGUCUUGUUAAUCAUCAACACUUGAUGCUCUUUCUGGAUUUCUACCUUCAUCGAUUUCAUCAUCAUGAAAAGCUCGGGAAUCGUUUUUGUCAUCCCUUGCAUACUAUCGUUCAUCACGAAGUUCUACUAACUUGGUGAUGGUGACUAGAGAAUUAUGUCAAUCACUAUUUUAUCUGGAAGAUUAACUCCCACUUGAUUCAAGCGAUUGUAGUACCCAGACAAUCUGAGCACAUGCUCACUGCUUGAGCUAUUCUCCUCCAUCUUUUAGCUAUAGAACUUGUUGGAGACUUCAUAUCUCUCAACUCGGGUAUCUGCUUGAAAUAUUAACUUCAACUCCUGGAACAUCUCAUAUGGUCCAUGACGUUCAAAACGUCUUUGAAGUCCCGAUUCUAAGCCGUUAAGCAUGGUGCACUAAACUAUCAAGUAGUCAUCAUAUUGAGCUAGCCAAACGUUCAUAACGUCUGCAUUUGCUCCUGCAAUAGGUCUGUCACCUAGCGGUGCAUCAAGGACAUAAUUCUUCUAUGCAACAAUGAGGAUAAACCUCAGAUCACGGACCCAGUCCGCAUCAUUGCUACUAUCAUCUUUCAACUUAGUUUUCUCUAGGAACAUACAUAAAACAUAGGGAAGCAACAACGCGAGCUAUUGAUCUACAACAUAGAUAUGCUAAUACUACCAGGACUAAGUUCAUGAUAAAUUAAAGUUCAAUUAAUCAUAUUACUUAAGAACUCCCACUUAGAUAGACAUCCCUCUAAUCCUAUAAGUGAUCACGUGAUCCAAAUCAACUAAACCAUGUCCGAUCAUCACGUGAGAUGGAGUAGUUUCAAUGGUGAACAUCACUAUGUUGAUCAUAUCUACUAUAUGAUUCACGCUUGACCUUUCGGUCUCAGUGUUCCGAGGCCAUAUCUGUUAUAUGCUAGGCUCGUCAAGUUUAACCUGAGUAUUCCGCGUGUGCAACUGUUUUGCACCCGUUGUAUUUGAACGUAGAGCCUAUCACACCCGAUCAUCACGUGGUGUCUCAGCACGAAGAACUUUCGCAAUGGUGCGUACUCAGGGAGAACACUUAUACUUUGAUAAUUUAAUGAGGGAUCAUCUUAUAAUGCUACCGUCAAUCAAAUCAACAUAAGAUGCAUAAAAGAUAAACAUCACAUGCAAUCAAUAUAAGUGAUAUGAUAUGGCCAUCAUCAUCUUGUGCUUGUGAUCUCCAUCUCCGAAGCACCGUCAUGAUCACCUCGUCACCGGCGCGACACCUUGAUCUUCAUCGUAGCAUCGUUGUCGUUUCGCCAAUCUUAUGCUUCUACGACUAUCGCUACCGCUUAGUGAUAAAGUAAAGCAUUACAGGGCGAUUGCAUUGCAUACAAUAAAGCGACAACCAUAUGGCUCCUGCUAGUUGCCGAUAACUCGAUUACAAAACAUGAUCAUCUCAUACAAUAAAAUUUAGCAUCAUGUCUUGACCAUAUCACAUCACAACAUGCCCUGCAAAAACAAGUUAGACGUCCUCUACUUUGUUGUUGCAAAUUUUACGUGGCUGCUACGGGCUUAGCAAGAACCGUUCUUACCUACACAUCAAAACCACAACGAUAGUUUGUCAAGUUGCUGCUGUUUUAACGUUCGCAAGGACCGGGCGUAGCCACACUUGGUUCAACUAAAGUUGGAGAAACUGACACCCGCCAGCCACCUGUGUGCAAAGCACGUCGGUAGAACCAGUCUCGCGUAAGCAUACGCGUAAUGUCGGUCCGGGCCGCUUCAUCCAACAAUACCGCCGAACCAAAGUAUGACAUGCUGGUAAGCAGUAUGACUUAUACCACCCACAACUCACUUGUGUUCUAAUCGUGCAUAUAACAUCAACGAUAAAACCAGGCUCGGAUGCCACUGUUGGGGAACGUAGUAAUUUCAAAAAAUUUCCUACGCACACGCAAGAUCAUGGUGAUGCAUAGCAACGAGAGGGGAGAGUGUUGUCCACGUACCCUCGUAGACCAAAAGCGGAAGCGUUAGCACAACGCGGUUGAUGUAGUCGUACGUCUUCACGAUCCGACCGAUUAAGUACCGAACGCACGACACCUCCGAGUUCAGCACACGUUCAACCCGAUGACGUCCUCGAACUCCGAUCCAGCCGAGUGUUGAGGGAGAGUUUCGUCAGCACAACGGCGUGGUGACGAUGAUGAUGUUCUACCGACGCAGGGCUUCGCCUAAGCACCGCUACAGUAUCGAGGUGGACUAUGGUGGAGGGGGGCACCGCAGACGGCUAAAAGAUCAAACGAUCAAUUGUUGUGUCUAUGGGGUGCCCCCUGCCCCCGUAUAUAAAGGAGCAAGGGAGGAGGAGGCCGGCCCUAGGAGGGGCGCGCCAAGGGAGUAGGAUUCCUACUCCUAGUUGGAGUAGGUUUCCUCCUUUCCUAGUCCAACUAGGAGAAGGGGGGGGGGAGGGGGGAAGAGGAGAAGGAAGCCGCGCCCCAAACCCCCUGUCCAAUUCGGACUGGGCUUGGGAGGGGCGCGCGCCACCUCCUGGCUGCUGCCUCUCCUUCCCACUAAGGCCCAUUAAGGCCCAAUACUUCUUUCCCGUAUUCCCGUAACUCCCCGGUACUCCGAAAAAUACCCGAAUCACUCGGAACCUUUCCGAUGUACGAAUAUAGUCGUCCAAUAUAUCGAUCUUUACGUCUCGACUAUUUCGAGACUCCUCGUCAUGUCCCCGAUCUUAUCCGGGACUCCAAACUACCUUCGGUACAUCAAAACACAUAAACUCAUAAUAUAACCGUCAUCGAACUUUAAGCGUGCGGACCCUACGGGUUCGAGAACUAUGUAGACAUGACCGAGAAACGUCUCCGGUCAAUAACCAAUAGCGAAACCUGGAUGCUCAUAUUGGCUCCCACAUAUUCUACGAAGAUCUUUAUCGGUCAGACCGCAUAACAACAUACGUUGUUCCCUUUGUCAUCGGUAUGUUACUUGCCCGAGAUUCGAUCGUCGGUAUCUCAAUACCUAGUUCAAUCUCGUUACCGGCAAGUCUCUUUACUCGUUCUGUAAUACAUCAUCCGCAACUAACUCAUUAGUUGCAAUGCUUGCAAGGCUUAAGUGAUGUGCAUUACCGAGUGGGCCCAGAGAUACCUCUCCGACAAUCGAAGUGACAAAUCCUAAUCUCGAAAUACGCAAACCCAACAAGUACCUUCGGAGACACCUGUAGAGCACCUUUAUAAUCACCCAGUUAUGUUGUGACGUUUGGUAGCACACAAAGUGUUCCUCCGGUAAACGGGAGUUGCAUAAUCUCAUAGUCACAGGAACAUGUAUAAGUCAUGAAGAAAGCAAUAGCAACAUACUAAACGAUCAAGUGAUAAGCUAACAGAAUGGGUCAAGUCAAUCAUAUCAUUCUCCUAAUGAUGUGAUCCCGUUAAUCAAAUGACAACUCAUGUCUAUGGCUAGGAAACUCAACCAUCUUUGAUUAACGAGCUAGUCAAGUAGAGGCAUACUAGUGACACUAUGUUUGUCUAUGUAUUCACACAUGUAUCAGGUUUCUGGUUAAUACAAUUCUAGCAUGAAUAAUAAACAUUUAUCAUGAAAUAAGGAAAUAAAUAAUAACUUUAUUAUUGCCUCUAGGGCAUAUUUCCUUCAAUGGCCUCUAUUGACACGUCCCGUCAAAGCUGAGAUCGUGUCCCCUUAUUGCGGGAUUCUCAUCAAUACGGGCUUGGGUAAUCCAACUGUGUCAUUCGCACGACCCCUUGGGAAUAGGCCAGUUUUAAUACUUGAGGGGGCCCGCUUGAUAUUCACGGCCUAUAUAAACCGAUAAAGAUCCAACCUCUCACCCCACGCCCUCUUCCUUCCUCUGCCUUCCCAUCCUCGAGCUCUAGCGCCGCCACCAACCCUUCCAGCAAUGUCCGGAUCCGGUGCUCAAGGCAAGUGGAUAGCCUCCUCCGUGAUGGAAGAGAACAUCAAAGAGCUCCGGGAGGCGAGGUACCUGACUGUGGAAAUCAAACACAGGCUCCCCGCAAAAGGGAAAGUGAUCCCCACACCAGAGCCCGGUGAGAGGGUCGUGUUCAUUCCUCAUUUCCUUCGUGGGUAGCCUUCAUCCCUUCGUUCGCGGCCUUAUGUUCUAUUACGGGCUAGAUUUUCAUGAUCUAGCCCCGAACUCCUUCCUUCACAUCUCGGCGUUCAUCGUUGUGUGUGAGGCAUUUCUCUGCACCCCCCACACUUUUGGCCUGUGGCUCAAAGUCUUCAAUGUGAAGCCGAAGGUGGUCGAGGGGAAGCACGCGGAUUGCGGCGGCGCCAUGGUGACCAAGCUCCCCAAGGUCACCUGGCCCAAAGGGGCCUUCGUGGAGACUAUCAAGACAUGGCAGCAGGAGUGGUUCUACAUCGCCAAACCACGCAGCACCAAGUGGGCGGCCGCUCCCGCAUUCAGAUCCGGACCCCCGCUGCGGCUUGCGUCGUGGACCAACAAAGGUCUGGACUGGGGGUCGUCUGCCGAGGUGCUGAUGCUACAGAAGCGCAUCAAGAGUAUCAUAGAAAAGAACACCAGCCUUACUGACGUGAUCCAGGUGAUGCUAGUCCGUCGAACCCUUCCGUGCCAGCGUCGACCUCUCCGAAUGUGGGAGUUUAAUCCGGAGGGGCCGCAGACCUUGCAACGUUUCUUCGGCACGAUGCACAAAGAGAUCUGGAAAUUGCUCUUCAAGAGAAGUCGUGGCCGGAGACGUCCGAGGACAUUGGCCUCGAGUGCAAUCAUCCGGCCACCCCGGUAAGUAUUAAAUUUCCAAGCAUAGCUUUAGUUCAUUGAAAGAAAGAAAGGGGGAAUGCUGAGGAAUUCCUCCUCCAAACAGGGUUGGACGAAAAAGGCGGAGCGGAUCAGGUGUCCGGCCUCACUCCCCAAAGACCCAGCCAAUUCUCUGCUAAUGAAGAUACUGGUCCCGGCGCCAUACCAGGCGCUGGCGAAGAAGAACAAGAAGAAGACAGGCGAGCAGGCCGAAAGUGGCCUCCACCAUAAAGGUACUCCGGACGCCAUGUCCGGAGGGACCAAGGCUCCCUCCUCCCAUGAGGGGGACGAAGACGAGGACGAAGAGGAGGAGGAACAAGAUAACCCUCCUCCCAAAGGGAAGAAGGGGGCGGCCUCAGUAUACUCAAAGGCGGAGGCGUCCAGGAGGGAAAAAAUAUCCCUGUCCAAUGACUCGGAUACGGACGACGAAGCCGCCCCCAAGCAUCGCCCCAUGGUCAAGCCCCUCACCGAGUCGUAAGUAUCUAAAGAUGCUCUACACACAUCUGUUUUUUUUGAAUCGUGGGGAUCAUAUUAAAUCAUGUGCUGCAGUCCGGCCCGCGAUCUUCCCCAACCAUCUUCAUCAUCGGGGGAUUCUCUGGCGUCGGAGAUGAUGGAGAGCGAAUCGCCUCCGCAAACCUCCCCACCACCUACUACGGACGACGCCGAGGUAUUAUCCCAAAGGACCACUCUAGUUCAUGGGGAGGCGCGGGGGACCGCCAAGACGGCGCCAGAGGGUAAUGCCCCGGUUGCCGAGAACAUGGGGGAUGAGAUCCCCAUGGAGACUUAUGGGUGGGGCCUCGACCAAUCCGGCCCCCAGCCGGGCACUACUCCGGACACCCAAGUGGCUCCGGAUCCGAAUAAGCGACCCCCUUCGAAGGAGGGGGAGCGUCAACUCCAGCGGCGACCUCCGAUAAUCUGGAGGCGCCGAACACACUGAUGGAGAUGCUUCAACGCGCUUCUAUCAUGGAGGAGCACUGUACCCUAAUGGGUGCGGUGGUUGAAAAGGUUCAGUCCGCUAAGAGCGGGCUGAAUGAAGCCUUCACUAACCUGUUAACAGGUUUCGAGGUAUGCGAUGUAAGAACUUUUAGCCACUGUUCAUAUGAAGAAAUAUGCCUGUGUAUAGAUAGUAGCCCCUGAGACUCUGUUCAGUUUGUGGAAAAGCGGCCGAACAGAGGAUCGAUAGUAUUCGCAGGACAUAAUGUACUUGUCUAUUUUUGAAAAAGCAAUCAUCGCUGUUAGCGGCAGCCGCCCAGGCCGCUGAAGUAUCCAAGCUCAAGCGGAAGCUGGGGAGGGCUGAUGAGGAUCUCGUCCGCAUCGACAAGAGGUUUGAUGAGGCACAUGGUAUGUUUGCGAGAAAAAAAGAAAAAUGUUUAUACACUCGAAAUGUUUAACCAUGCAAAGUCUAAGCUCCUUUUCAUUUGCAGGAAGUGCAACCACGGUUGAGACCCUGAAGGGCGACCUCGCCCAGGCCAAGGAGCGGGCACGGAUAAGCCAAGCAGCUGCUGACAAAGCGGUCGCUGAUUUAAAGGCCGAACAGGCUGCCCGCCGCUGAUACGAGGGGUGGGUGACCGAAGUAGAGCAGGCACUCAAGGACGCCGCCAAUAAGUGCGAGUCCUUGGAAGAGAAAAAUAAAGCCCAAGCGGCCGAGCUGGCCAAGGCUCUCCAGGGAGCCGAGGAGGCGCGGAACGAGUCCCGUGUGGCGCGCGAGGAGAUCAAACAGGCCAAGCAGAUAGCGGCUGGUAAGUGCUUCCUUUUAUAGAGUAAAUUAGGCAGUCAGUAGUAUGCCCUACUCACUCGACUAUGGAGUUCUCCAGAUGCAUUCGCGGAUCUUCCAGAGAGUGUUGCCGACGCCUCGUAAUUCUUCCGGGCCCAGGAGGGGCACGUGACGGAGAAGCUAUUCUGCUCGCAAUAAGCGGCGCAAGAGCGCUCGUCGCUGUUGAACGACCAGAUGGCGCAAUGGUUCGAGCUGCAUAGGGUGUCCGGUUUGUCCAUGAGGGACGUUAUAGUCCAGCUAUGGCCGGCCGAACCCAUUCCGAGCAGCUACUUCGGCCUAGUGCAACGACUCGGCGACGCGCUGCCCCGAAUUGAUGCAAUCAAGCGGUCGGCAAGCAUAGAACGUGCGCGGAUGGCCUUCGCCCGUGUCAAGAUGCACUGGGCAAAAAUGAAGGCCGCCGUUGUGGCUGUUGAGUGCCCGCCUGGAGGCAAGGACAACCGCACGCCGGAGCGCUAUUUCGGAGACGUCCUGGAGGGUGCCCGUUUGAUAGAGGGUCAAUGCUCGAAGGAUCUUAUGUUCGAAUGAAUGUAUCUGGAUUGUCCAGACUGUUUGUUUAUGAAACAAUGCCUAUGUAUAACCUGCUUGCUUUGUCUUUUUACAAAUUAAUUUCCUCCUGUGCGGCCGUUUGUUUUGCCAGUCGUCGGCUUCGGCCCCCACGUAGGUGCUGCGAGGGUGUUCGGAAUAGCACGUGACCACACUUGUUCCAACAUCUUGGUCCGUAAAGGAGGUGAUUGAUACGUCUCCAACGUAUCUAUAAUUUAUGAAGUAUUCAUGCUAUUAUAUUAUCCUUCUAGGAUGUUUUAUAUGCAUUUAUAUGCUAUUUUAUAUGAUUUUUGGGACUAAGCUAUUAACCUAGAGCCCAGUGCCAGUUUAUGUUUUUUUCCCUGUUUUUAAGUUUUGCAGAAAAGGAAAACCAAACGGAGUCCAAUUGACGUGCCAAUUUUUGAUGAUUUUUUCUGGACCAAAAGAACCCCCUGGAGUAAAAGAGUUGGGCCAGGAGAGUCCCGUGCUGCCCACGAGGGUGGGGGGCGCGCCCACCCCCCUGGGCAUGGGCCCCUGCCUCGUGGACAACCCGGAGACCCCCCUGACGUGAGACCUACGCCAAAAAUUCCUAUAAAUACUGAAACCUCCAGAAAAUAACCUAGAUCGGGAGUUCCGCCGCUGCAAGCCUCUGUAGCCACCAAAAACCAAUCGAGACCCUGUUCCGGCACCCUGCCGGAGGGGGGAUCCAUCACCGGUGGCCAUCUUCAUCAUCCCGGCGUUCUCCAUGGCGAGGAGAGAGUAGUUCACCCUCGGGGAUGAGGGUAUGUACCAGUAGCUAUGUGUUUGAUCUCUCUCUCUCUCGUGUUCUUGAUUUGGCACGAUCUUGAUGUAUCGCGAGCUUUGCUAUUAUAGUUGGAUCUUAUGAUGUUUCUCCCCCUCUACCUUCUUGUAAUGAAUUGAGUUUUCCCUUUGAAGUUAUCUUAUCGGAUUGAGUCUUUAAGGAUUUGAGAACACUUGAUGUAUGUCUUGCAUGUGCUUAUCUGUGGUGACAAUGGGAUUUCACAUGAUCUACUUGAUGUAUGUUUUGGUGAUCAACUUGCGAGUUCCGUAACCUCGUGAACUUAUGCAUAGGGGUUGGCACACGUUUUCGUCUUGACUCUCCGGUAGAAACUUUGGGGCACUCUUUGAAGUUCUUUGUGUUGGUUGAAUAGAUGAAUCUAAGAUUGUGUGAUGCAUAUCGUAUAAUCAUACCCAGGGAUACUUGAGGUGACAUUGGAGUAUCUAGGUAACAUUAGGGUUUUGGUUGAUAUGUGUCUUAAGGUGUUAUUCUAGUACGAACUCUUGAAUAGAUCGAUCCGAAAGAAUAACUUUGAGGUGGUUUCGUACCCUACAAUAAUCUCUUUGUUUGUUCUCCGCUAUUAGUGACUUUGGAGUGACUCUUUGUUGCAUGUUGAGGGAUAGUUAUAUGAUCCAAUUAUGUUAUUAUUGUUGAGAGAACUUGCACUAGUGAAAGUAUGAACCCUAAGCCUUGUUUCAACACAUUGCAAUACCGUUUUCGCUUACGUUUACCACCAGUUACCUUGCUGUUUUUAUAUUUUCAGAUUACAAAAACCUAUAUCUACCAUCCAUAUUGCACUUGUAUCACCAUCUCUUCGCCGAACUAGUGCACCUAUACAAUUUACCAUUGUAUUGGGUGUGUUGGGGACACAAGAGCCUCUUUGUUAUUUGGUUGCAGGGUUGUUUGAGAGAGACCAUCUUCAUCGUACGCCUCCCAUGGAUUGAUAAACCUUAGGUCAUCCACUUGAGGGAAAUUUGCUACUGUCCUACAAAAUUCUGCACUUGGAGGCCCAACAACGUCUACAAGAAGAAGGUUGCAUAGUAGACAUCAGUGAUAGUGCAGCGAACGAGGCAAUCAGACUAUGCGGCUUUAACACUCUCACUUGGCCAGAGGAGUUUGACAAUAGAAUUAGCGGCGUAGCCCCUUAUGUCGUUCAGUUAGCCGAACUUGGGUGCUUGAGAUGCCUGACCGGGUGGAGACCAGUCCUUCGUAUAAUACGGAAGAAAUCGCUAGAGAUUUAAUAAGUCGUCGAAUUGCUGACCAGCAUACGCUGCAUCAUGACAGUCAGUUUUCGGCUUCUCUACUGAGGUGCUUGACUGAGCGAGCCAGAAACACAAUCGCAGUAGUUUUCCCUUUACGACCUUAGCCACAAGCGGAACGUAAGGUGGUAAGCACAGGAGCCGGGCAACCCAACUAUUGACCAAAGACAUGAUUCGGAGCCGAUGCAUAUAAUGCGAAAUUUGGGAUGCCGAAGUAUACUGUAAAAGUGUCUGGAGUUGUUGAUUUUGAAUGUUUGUGGCGAAAUAAAGCCCCUGGGCAUUAAUGCCACUGUGUGCGUGUCCAUUGGUCGUGAAGACGGAAUGGAGUAGGUCAAUGCCGAAUAAGGUCGGAUAAAAAACGCUUCCAUUAUAGUCUGAUUUGAUACGUUUAAAACGUACUCUUACAGGGGAUGGCGUACAGGCCAAGGCUAUUUUACAUGCCAAGAAUUUGUAGAUAAAGGAAGAGCUCCAUACAGGUCCUAUAAAAGGUGGUCUUUGAAGAUCCUGCCGCAUGUCUGCGUCGCUUUCGUCUUUGAGGGAGGUUCCUUGAAAGGAACGGUCCACAGCCAUUCUUACGAAACCGUGCUUGGGGAGAGUCCUUGUUCGUCCGUGGGAUAGCUAGGUUUUAAGCACCUGUGGUAUUGAAGAAGAGAGGGAAAAGUAAUCAAAAAGAGAAAAAAGGUCAAGGUCAUACAGGGUGUAGUCAUGCUAUAGACCCAUUCGUAUUGUGCCUCCGUUGAUGCCCAAGGUAUUUUGAGUGCGUAAUUAUGCACACACGGUACCAAUGCUGCGGGUGUGCGGCAAUCGACGGAGGCAAAACUGCUAGGCUAGCUCUUGAGUUGCCGAGCUGUCUCGCACAUAGUUGACCGGACUCGUUUGUCCGGGGGCUUGAUGGCCGAUAAGGUAUGUGACUUAAUAGGGCCGCUUUGUACCUCGGUAGCGAGGGCCGCGGUGUGCUCCUCGAUACGGAGGGAGCGCUCCGUGUUUCCAUUAACUGUCAUUACGCCGCAGGGUCCGGGCAUUUUGAUCUUUAAGUAAGCAUAAUGCGGGAUCACAUUGAAGCGGGCGAAGGUGGUUUGUCCGAGCAGUGCGUGAUAGCCACUGCGGAAGGGGACGAUGUCGAAGAUCAGGUCUUCACUUCGGAAGUUGUCCGGCGAACCGAAGACUACUUCCAAUGUUAUGGUGCCCGUACAACGGGCUUCAACGCCAGGGAUCACUCCUUUAAAGGUGGUUUUGGUGGGCUUGAUUCUUGAUGGAUCAAUACCCAUUUUGCGGACAGUGUCCUGAUAAAGCAGGUUAAGACUGCUGCCAUAAGGACUCGUGUGAGGUGGAAUCCGUCGAUAAUUGGGUCGAGGACCAAUGCUGCCGAACCUCCAUGACAAAUACUGGUCGGAUGGUCUCUGCGAUCGAAAGUGAUCGGACAGGCUGACCAUGGGUUGAAUUUUGGGGCGACCGGCUCUACGGCAUAGACGUCCCUUAGCGCACACUUGUGCUCCCUCUUGGGGAUACGUGUAACAUAUAUCAUGUUCACUGUUUUGACCUCGGGGGAAAUCUCCUCUGUCCCCCUCUGUUCGGUUGGCGAGGCUCUUCAUCAUCGUCCUCGCUAGGCGGGUUUUCCCCUUAUGUUCGGUGUUGAGCUUACCGGCCUGUUUAAAGACCCAACAAUUUCUGUUGGUAUGAUUAGCAGGCUUGUCAGGGGUGCCAUGAAUCUGGCAAGCCGGAUCGAGUAUUAUGUCCAAACUGGAUGGACCAUCCUUGUUUCGUUUGAAUGGCCUCUUCCGCUGUCCAAAUUUGGAGCUGCUGAAUCCGGCGUUGACCGUCGUGCCUUCUGUAUCGUUAUUGUUGUUUUGGCGCUUAUGUUUGUUGCGUUGUGGUCUACCGUUGCUGUCUUUGGCUUCGGAGGUGCCAGGGGUGCUGGUGCUGUUGCUUUGACGAGCUAGCCAGCUGUCUUCUCCCGUGCAGAAGCGGGUCAUGAGUGCGGUGAGGGCUGCCAUGGACUUUGGUUUUUCUUGGCCGAGGUGUCAGGCAAGCCAUUCGUCUCGGACGCUAUGUUUAAAGGCCGCGAGGGCUUCGGCGUCCGGACAAUCAACAAUUUGGUUCUUUUUGAUUAAGAACCUGGUAUAGAGCUUCCGGGCCGACUCUCCAGGUUGCUGGACUAUGCGACUAAUGUCAUCGGCGUCUGGAGGCCGGACAUAGGUACCUUGAAAGUUGUCUCUAAAGGCAUCCUCCAAAUCUUCCCAGCUACCAAUGGAGUUUUCUGGGAGGCUGUUUAACCAGUGCCGUGCUGGUCCCUUGAGUUUUAGGGGGAGGUACUUGAUGGCAUGGAGAUCUUCACCGUGAGCCAUGUAGAUAUUUAGAAGAAAAUCUUCGAUACAUACUGCGGGAUCUGUCGUUCCAUCGUAUGAUUCAAUGUUUACGGGUUUGAAACCUUCUGGGAACUGGUGCUCCAUUACCACAUCGGUGAAGCAUAAGGGGUGUGCGGUGCCUCUAUAUCGGGCGACAUCGCGACGGAGUUCGGAUGACGUCCGUAUGCGGUUUUCGGCCUGGGUGAGGUUGUGCUUAUCGCGCUAGGCCUGAUGGCUGUCCUCUCGCAUUGGGGCGCGCCCCCUUGAUCCAUUGAUUGAUCUGGUCUGACCGGCUCUAUUGUCCAGGUCCUGUCGUAGGUCGUAGGUAUAUCUUGGGGCCGCUGUCUCCCGGCCUCUAAGGCGGGGUGAUGUGGGCUAGUGUUCGGCCUAAGUGUCCGCUCUAUCCCGCCCGUGCGAUGGCCGGUCUGGUUCAUCAGCGCAGUCAUGUUUGGUAUUGGCUCGAGGGUCUCGUCGUCGAAUUGUGGUAGUAACCGAUGCUUUGGAUAACUCUUGGUGGGCAUUGAAGCCCAUACUCUUUGGCAGCUAGGACCUGGGUCCAUCUGUUGUUAAGGGUAUCCUGUUCGGCUUGGAGCUGUUGUUGCUUCUUUUUUAGGCUUCUCGCCGUGGCAAUUAGCUGGAGCUUAAAGCGCUCCUGCUCAAGUGGUUCCUCUGGCACGAUGAAAUCUUCGUCACCGAGGCUUACGUCAUCCUCGGAGGGUAGUAGAUAGUUGCUAUCCUCCGAGUCCUCGUUCCUGACCGGGUCGUCAGGGUUAACUUGCCCCUCCUCCCAUUCAUCAUGUUCAGAUGUUGGUUCGACGGGGGCUUCAGGGUCUUCGGCAUUAUCCGGAGUGUUAUUGUCUUUGGUGCCGGCAUUACUACCUUUUUUCACGACGCUUUGGUGGUGCCUCAACAGGCUCAUCCUCGACCGGAUCCUUCCUGCCCUCGCCGUCAUCUUCUUUGGGCGUGUCCACCAUAUAAACGUCAUAUGAGGAGGUGGCCGUCCAACAUCCGAUAAAUGGCGGGUCUUGGCCUUUUUCGUCUCUGGCAUCGUAAUUCAUACCAUCGAUGUCUUUGGAGGCGUAGUCCAGCAUGUCGGUUAAGUCCUCGACAGUGGCUAUGAAGUGGGUGGUGGGUGGGACGUAAAAUUCCCCGCUCUCAGCCCCUAGUCCGGGCUGUGCGCAAUUCGGAAGUGAUUCCUCUAUAAUGGUGAGGGAUCGCAUUAAGUCUAGAGCUUCGUUUAAGAGCGAGAUUUGGACGGGGAAGCGAGAGUCCGUGGAGCUAGGCGGGGCAGGAGUCUCCUGGCCAAGCUCACGUGACACGGACCUCGAGAGUUCGAAGCUGGUAUCUGGAGGCGAGUCCAACUUUCCGAUGACUGGGGGAACUCGGUUUAAUUCCAGGCCUGCAGGUGAUGCGGUCACCUCUGGAUCUUUGGCAGCGAGCUCCAUGGUUGUAGAGAGUCCGGCGGGCUCUAAACUCCCAUCUUCGGACCUGGUAAUAUGCUUCGGAUCUAAGGCCAGAGCGGUGGUCGGGGCCGCGAACCCUUCGAAGAUCAAGUCUCCUCGGAUAUCGGCGACAUAAUUCAGAUUCCCAAAACCAAUCUAAUGACCAGGGGCAUAGCUGUCGAUUUGUUCGAGGUGGCCAAUCGAGUUGGCACGCAGCGAGAAGCCGCGAGUACGAAAAUUUGACCGGGGAGGAAAGUCUCCCCUGAAACAGCAUCGUUCUGGAUGAUCGAUCGGGCCAUCGAACCUUCUAUCGACGGCACAAUGGAACUCUCAAUGAAAGCACCAAUGUCGGUGUCAAAACCGGCCGAUCUCGGGUAGGGGGCCCCGAACUGUGCGUCUGAGGAUCGAAGGUAACAGUGGGCAGGGGAUACGAUGUUUUACCCAGGUUCAGGCCCUCUUAAUGGAGGUAAUAUACCCUACUUCCUGCUUGAUUGACUUUGAUGAGUAUAGGGGUUACAAGAGUCGAUCUACCUCGAGAUCGUAAUGGCUAAACCCUAGAUGUCUAGCCUGUAUGAUUUGUCUUAUCCUCUACUGACUAAACCCUUCCAGUUUAUAUAGAUACCGGAGGGGCCUAGCGUUGUAUAGAGUCGGUUUACAAAGAAAGGAAACUACACAUCCGGACGUUAAGCUCGCCGUCCGCACAAGGGAGAGUCCCAUCCAGACACGGAGGAAGGUCUUCUGUCUCGUACCUUCACGGCCCAUCAGUCCGGCCCAUGUAGUAUAGGUCGGCUCCCCGAGGACUCCAUAAUCUAGGACUCCCUCACUUAGCAAUAGAGAAAUAAAAUUAAUUUUGCAAAAGACUGUCAAUAGGUCCAGGCAGAAUUGGUCUAAGAAAUUAGAUGAUGCACUUUGGGCUUAUAGAACAGCAUAUAAAAAUCCUAUGGGUAUGUCUCCUUAUAAAUGGUUUAUGGAAAAGCUUUUCAUUUGCCUCUUGAGUUAGAACAUAAAGCAUAUUGGGCCAUCAAAGAGCUCAACUAUGAUUUCAAACUUGCUGGUGAAAAGAGGUUAUUUGAUAUUAGCUCAUUAGAUGAAUGGAGAACCCAAGCUUAUGAAAAUGCAAAAUUAUUCAAAGAAAAUGUUAAAAGAUGGCAUGACAAAAGAAUCCAAAAGCGUGAGUUUAAAGUCGGACAAUACGUUCUUUUGUACAACUCUCGUUUCAGAUUCUUUGCAGGAAAACUCCUCUCAAAAUGGGAAGGCCCAUAUGUUAUCGAGGAGGUUUACCGGUCAGGAGCCAUCAAAAUAAAUAAUGCCGAAGGUACUAACCCGAAGGUUGUCAAUGGGUAACAAAUAAAACAUUAUAUCUCAGGUACGCCCAUUAAUGUUGAAAGUUAUAUUAUCCAAACUUUGACACCGGAAGAACAUAUAAAAGAGUCCUUCUGGAACACUCCAGAAUCAUGUAAAUAAGAAGGUACGUGAUAUGGUAAGUAAACGGACUCCGAAAAAUCCGCAAAAAUAUUUUUUGUCAGUUUUGGAAUAUUUAGAAAAAUAGGAAAAAUAAGAAACUUCUAGGAAGCGUACCCUGGUGGGCACAAGACACCAGGCCCUGGCGCGCCCAGGUGGGUUGUGCCCACCUGGGACACCUUCCGGACUCCAUUUUCCUAUAGUUUGCUUGUCCCCCAAGAUAAAAAAAAUCUAUAUAUACCCCCGAACCUGUUAACCACCGUAUCGCAGAGAAAUCCUCCGUUCUCUUUUCUUGCUGUUAUCUGCGCAGUUCUGAAAAUAUGUCCUCCCAAGACUCCGAUGGAGAGAGCUAUGUCUCACAUCUCAUUGCUGACCCAAAGACCUAUGGGGACCUAUCUCCUUAUGGUCGAACUAGAGAUGACGAGGAGGAUGCUUAUUUGAUGAAGAUCGAUGAUUCAAGCUCGGAGGAGGAGGAUGUUCCUCUACCUCAACCUGGGGAUAUGCACAUGGAGUUCAAGAAGUCAAGUCUCCCUAAGAGAGCUAAUCGGUCUAAAACCAAUCUAUUCCUUUUCGUUUUCGGUAGAAAAGCAAAGGGGAUUUAUGCGACAAGAUCUUGAAGCUAGAGCUGGAAGUCGAUGAUUUAAAGGAGGAAAUUUCUCUCCUCAACUACAAUAUGGAAAGGUUGAAGGCACAAUUGCCAUCACCACCACCUUCUUAUUCAUCACCAAAGGAGAAUUGAGCAUAUAAAUAAAAGGAAAUAAAUUAUGAAAAAGAUCAUAUACUAGUCUUAUGGUAGGUGAUGACACCACAUAAGGAAAAGUAUAAGUAGAAAAUUUUAUUAGAGAUUGACAAAGAUAGCAUUAGUCAAUGAUGCAACUCAUGAAAGAAUUAAUAAGGGAAGAGAAGAUUCACAUAUAAAUAUACUAUCCUAGAAAUCUUUUGUGAUUGUGAGCCCUCAUCAAAAUAAUAUAUGCCAAAAUUGUUGACGUUGGACAAGGAAGACAACUUAAUGAUUUAUGUUUGUUCAUAUUCACAUAUAAGUCAUAUUGUCAUAGAUCCUUUAACAUGUGGUGCUUGCCCCCUAUCUUUGCUAGCCAAAAUUUUUGCACUAAGUAGAGAUACUACUUGUUCAUCCAAAAACCCUUAAACCCAAAUCUUAUUUUCAAGUUUCCACCAUACCUACCUAGGGAUUGAGCAAGAUCCCUCAAGUAAGUUGUCAUUAGUGCAAAAAGGCAAUAAAAAUUGCUUCUAAAAGUGCGAGAUCAUUUAGUGUAAGAGAAAAUUGAGCAUUGUACGAACUUGUGAUGGUGAAGAAUACAAGCGACAGACUGCAUAAUAAAGGUUGCUAUCACAAGGGGCAAUACAACGUGACGUUCUUUUCCACUAAGGGGUUGAGCAUACAAACAAAUAAGCGCAUGACAACCUCUGCUUCCCUCUGCUAAGGGCCUAUCUUUUACUUUUAUGUAUUUACUUUUAUGCAAAGAGUCAAAGUUUUCCUUCUAUUCCUUUUUAUUUUUCUCCUUUGGCAAGCAUCAUGUGGUGAGGAAAGAUCUAGGCACAUAUGUCCAGUUGAAUAUAGAUAGAAUGAGUUAUUAUUGUUGACAUCACCCUUGAGGUGAAUAUGUUGGGAGGCGAAACUAUAAGCCCCUAUCUUUCUAUGUGUCUGGUUGAAACGUUUUGCUCAUGUGUACGCGGUGAGUGUUAGCAAUCAUAGAAGACUAUAUGAUGGUUGAGUAUGUGGACUUGCCUAAAGGCUCUGAUACGUGACCCUUCCUGAAAAGAUGAUGAAUUGUAGUUGCAAAAUUGACUGAGAACAUAGUUUGUUGGUUUCUAAUAGAGUUUUUGCUUUAUACUUCAAUAGUGUGAUGAAUUGUCACUUAUUCAUGAGAAGUCUAUGAUAAGAACUUUAUGAUAAGAGUCUUAUGUUUAAGUUUGUUGCUAUUAUAAUAAUGAACAUGAUGCUUCUAUGUCCGUAUUUUGUUUUUUAUCGACACCUCUCUCUCUAAGCAUGUGGACAUGUUUUUCGAUUUCGGUUUAUCGCUUGGGGACAAGCGAGGUCUAAGCUUGGGGGAGUUGAUACAUCCAUUUUGCAUCAUGUUUCCUUACUGUUAUUUAUGAUGUUUUUAUCCGUAAUAAUGCUUUUUGGAGUAAUUCUAAUGCCUUUUCUCUCAUAUUAUGCAAGGGAUACACAAAGAGGGAGAAUUCCGGCAGCUGGAAAUCUGGACCUGGAAAAGCUACGUCAGGCCGCCGAUUCUGCACAACUCCAAACAAGCUGAAACUUCUCGGAGAUUUUUUAUCAAAUAUAUGAUGAAUAUUGGAGCAAAUAACUACCAGAGGGGGCCCACCAGGUGGGCACAACCCACCUGGGCGCACCAAGGAGCCCAGGCGAGCCCUGGUGGGUUGUGCUCACCCAGGCCCACCUCUGGUGCCCAUCUUCUGGUAUAUAGGUCAUUUUGACCUAGAAAAAAAAUAAGGAGAGGACUUUAGGGAUGGAGCACCGCCGUCUCGAGGCGGAACUUGGGCAGGAGCACUUUUGCCCUCCGGCGAAGCGAUUCCGCCGAGGGAACUUCCCUCCCGGAGGGGGAAACCAUCAUCCUCAUCAUCACCAACAACUCUCCCAUCUUGGGGAGGGCAAUCUCCAUCAACAUCUUCAACAGCACCAUCUCAUCUCAAACCCUAGUUCAUCUCUUGUGUUCAAUCUUGUUACCGGAACUAUAGAUUGGUGCUUGUGGGUGACUAGUAGUGUUGAUUACAUCUUGUAGUUGAUUACUAUAUGGUUUAAUUGGUGGAAGAUUAUAUGUUCAGAUCCAAUAUGCUAUUUAAUACCCCUAUGAUCUUGAGCAUGAUUAUAAUUUGUGAGUAGUUACUUUUGUUCUUGAGGUCACGGGAGAAAUCAUGUUGCAAGUAAUCAUGUGAACUUGAUAUAUGUUCGAUAUUUUGAUAGUAUGUAUGUUGUGAUUCCCUUAGUGGUGUCAUGUGAACGUCGACUACAUGACACUUCACCAUAUUUGGGCCUAAGGGAAUGCAUUCUGGAGUAGUAAUUAGAUGAUGGGUUGCGAGAGUGACCGAAGCUUAAACCCCAUUUUAUGCGCUAUUCCGUAAGGGACCGAUUGGAUCCAAAAGUUUAAUGAUAUGGUUAGAAUUUAUUCUUAAUACUUUUAUCGUAGUUGCGGAUGCUUGCGGGAGGCUUAAUCAUAAGUAGGAGGUUUGUUCAACUAAGAACAGCACCUGAGCACCAUUCCACCCACAUAUCAAAUUAUCAAAGUACCGAACACGAAUUAAACCAACAUGAUGAAAGUGACUAGAUGAAAAUCCCGUGUACCCUCAAGAACGCUUUGCUUAUCAUAAGAGACCGUUUUGGCCUGUCCUUUGCCUCAAAAGGAUUGGGCUAUCUUGCUGCACUUUUGUGACUACUGUCGUUACUUGCCCGUUACAAAUUAUCUUGCUAUCAAACUACUCAGUUACAUACAAUUUCAGCACUUGCAGACAUUACCUUACUGAAAACUACUUGUCAUUUCCUUCUACUCCUCAUUGGGUUUGACACUCUUACUUAUCGAAAAGAGCUACAAUUGAUCCCCUAUACUUGUGGGUCAUCAUCCGUCGCUUUUAUUUCUUCCAUAUCACAAGUUCGUAUAAAGCUUAUUUUCUUCACACUAAUAGAUCAUACAUAUUUAAAGAGCAAUUUUUAUUGCUUGCACCGAUGACAACUUACUUGAAGGAUCUUACUCAAUCCAUAUACUGGUAUGCGUCGGUCCUAAACAAAUGGUUUUAACCCCUUUCCGCGACGGCAUUCAGAACCGUCGCCAAGUGAGUGUGGGCGAUAGGGGGGUCCUUCCCACACGACCCAGAAACCGUUGGGGAUAUGCCCUCCUGGCACACACGCUCGGCAAAAUGAGCUCGUGUGCGAUCGACGAGCACUCAAAUACAGAAAUACGUAAAGUAGUACUAAAAAAUACAAUUAUACACGUGAAAUCAUUUCCGGUUGUAAGUUCAUCCCACACAGUCAGUCACCACUAAACUUUUCCGUUCGUAUAUACAUCCCACACAGUCACUACAAGGAAAACGUUUGCGCAAGGUGGCGUAACGCAAACAGUUUUGAAGAGAAUGUCGUCUAUGAUUGUUCAUUGAUCUAACACGGUUUAUUCCUAGAAACUGUGUGCAUUGACUGAGGUCAUCGCCCACGGUGGUUUCUCAUUAACCGUUUGCAAUAGGAAAACCCAAUUAGCAAGCUAAUUGGCCAAUUAGCGGGCUAAUUGCCCUAUUAUUAAUAAUCCAUUUACUAAUCUAAUUGACAUUCAUAUUAAGCACAUAAUAUAUUCCAUUUCCAUAUUAAGGAUGCAUGAUUUGAUAAUUGAAAUACAUCGGAGUACAACAUGAUAUAGCUUCAGCACUCAGCUACCCCAUUACACAACUGCACGAGCAGCAAGUUUCACAUGCAACAUCUAGAACCUUUUGAAAUUAGCAUCAUAGACGGUACAUAGAGAGAUGCAUCUCAUCUGGAAAACUUCUGAAGCGGAAGGCGAAUAUUGAGCCUUCAUUCAUGUUGAAGGUCUUUGCAACUUUAGGCCAGUGCCUGUGGAUGAUUGACCGUCCAUCCUUCAACCUCUUCGGGAACACUUCAAUAUUGAACCGUGGGUGUUGUAUGAAAACUUUCCUCGCCUCCUGACCACAUAGGUGGUUUGAGAGCUAAUCAUCAGUGAAGCCUGAAAACAAGGAUGUGCAUAAAUAUCUUCUCUAUAUUGGAAAUAGGGCAAAGGAAUACAAAAAGAUAAGGUAUAAUAGUUAGUACCAUCUUGUAAACCUCAGUGCUUCCCAUUGUUUCCCUGCAACACAUAUAAGGUAGUACUCAUCAGGUUAAGUAAGGGUUCACAUGCUAUCAGUAAAAUAUCACUACAAAAAAAUACACUUCCGUGAUGAUACGUGUUUGUCACAGUAGGUCGCGUUUUCUGUCAUGCAUGUACAUCCAUGAUAAAUUUAUGACAGAAUCAAGAUAGUCAUACCUGUGAUGUCGUAGAAGUGUUCCAUGACAUUACCAAAAUUAUCAUCAUGGAAGUGUCCACUUCCAUGACGAUAAAUCACGCGUCACAGAAGUGCUUUCGUCAAGGGUAACCGACACAUGGCAUCCACCGUAACGGAACGCCGUUAAGCUAUCGAGUCCGGUUUUGGAUCCGAUAACUCGUUAACAGCCCGGACCAAUGGGGAUUUUCCACGUGUAAAAUUCUGAUUGGCCGACGGAAACACGUGUCAGCUCCGCGUUGGCACAUGUGUCACUCAUCCAAAGGGCGAGAUGUGCCUAUGAUAUGUUGACACGUGGACCGGCCACAAAGUGGCCCAUAAAGUUUAAAUGGGCCGGCACAACUAAAGGCCCACAAGAUUUUGCGGUCCAUAAUGGGCCGGCCCAGCAAAAGGCCCACGAGAUUUUGCGGGCCAUAAUGGGCCGGCCCAGCUAAAGGCCCACGAGAUUUUGCGGGCCAUAAUGGGCCGGCCCAGCAAAAGGCCCACAAGAUUUUGCAGACCAUAAUGGGCCGGCCCAGCUAAAGGCCCACGAGAUUUCGCCGACCAUAAUGGCCCGGCCCAGCAGAAGGCCCAAAAGAUUUUGAUGACACUAGUAGGCCGGCCCAUUAACAGGCUGCCAUGUUUUGGGCCAAAUGCCGGCCCAUAUUUGAUCCGGUCCAUUAACAGGCUACGACGUUCCGGGCCUAAUAAAGGCCCAUAUGUGAUUCGACCCGUUAAAAGCCUACCACGUUGUGGGCCAAAUUACGGCCCAUAUCAGGUCCAACCCUUUGAGAGGCAUUGGGCUAAAUUAUGGCCCAUAUCAGAUUCGGCCCGUCAACUAGAUGCUAUCCUUUUGGGCCCACUUGAUAAAGGCUCAUUUAGUAAUUCGGCCUGAUAUUAGUUUCGGCCUGUUAAAGGCCCGUUUAACAUUUCGGCCCUAUAUAUAUUUCGGCCUGUUAAAAGCCCGUCAUAUAGUUGCGCCUAACUACGGCCCCCUUUGCAUCCGGCCUGCUCACAGACGAUAAUCUGAUUGGGCCAAACAAGGACCGAGACAAUUUUGGCCUGUUAUAAGCCCAUGAUUUGAUUGGCACAAUCAUGGGCCGGGGUCUAUUUCGGCCUGCUGCCGGCCCGUGAGCUGUACGUCACGUUUCAGGCCCAACCUACUUUUCAGCCUCCUAAAAGCCCAUUGAGUUUUCUUGGGAAAAUAGGGCCGGCGGUUUACUCGGCCUAUUAAAGGCCCGAAUCUACUAGUGGGCCAGUUUACAUUUAGGCCUGUUAACGGACCAAGAUGACGGGGCCCAUGAUGCGGAUCAUACAUGGUGAUUUGCAUGACGGCCCGAUUAUGUACUGUAAUUUUACGGUUUCGCCGGUUUACUGCGAAGACAGGAUAUAUAUACAGUAAAAUAACUGCAGAAUCGUGAAUAAGAAAAAAAACCUAGAAUAUAUAAUAAAGAAAUUACGGCAUAUUACAUCCACUGGGCAUCAAAGUUCGCCACUAUGAUAAUAAAGCACAAGUAGACAGCAGAUUACGUACACUGGGCAUCAAAGAUCGCCACCAGUGCAAUUAAACACGCCGACAAAAUAAUAUACAAAACCGACAACACUUCAAUAGAGUUCAAGAAAGGUUAGACCUGCUCGGGAGCUGAAGUGCAAGCAGCUGAGCAAGCUGGUGAGACUGCACUUGUUUGACACUUAUAUCCUCCUCACUCUGAAAGAUAAACAAGCAGACAGAUGGCAGGUUUUGCACAUUUAAGUAUCAGUGCUGACAAUUCAUCACAUUUCUUACUGACGAAUAAUCUGACACAGUUCAAAAUAGCAUUAACACAAUAUGGUAUCGUUCAGGUCAAGACAUGGCAGGAAAUGACAUUGUGAAGGAGUUGGCAAUUUCACGACACCACUGGAUUACAGAUCAAGAACUCAUAAGUAUCAAUGGUUAGUGUGCUGUCAAUUUAUCCCAUUUCAGAUUGCAAAAUAAGAUCACUUGCCCUGUAUAGUUUAAUUUACAUGGUAUGAAGAAAGAACUUGGUUGUACAACUGAAAACUUAAAUUGAGAAGGACAAACUUUUGUUUAUGAAGUACAUAAUAAACUUUAAACAUGCAAUUUGAUGCAAACACCAAAAAUAAACAGCUGUUGCAGUCAUGCCUAACCAAAUAUACACAACAAAGUUUGAAGGCUUGAGAAGGACAAACUUACAUUAUUGGUGAAGGCAGGCUCUAUAAGGCCCUUGUCCAUGCUGAUGGGGGGGGGGCAAUUCAAGAAGUUUACCCCAGAACCUUCUUCAUAAGCAUUGCCUUUAUUCUACAUUUUGUUAACAGUAAAUAUAUAUGUGACAAUAUAAGAAAAAAUGGAGAAUAUUUAAGAUAAGAUGAGAGUGAUGCUACAUAACCAAGUAGCUAUAAAUGUAAGUACAUCGAUACAGGCAAAAGGUACAGCCAAGAGCAAUGCAGAGCUAAACUUCUUUAGUACCAUCGGUGUUAUCCAACCUUAUGGUAAGAGUAAAUAUAUAUCUUAUGUGUAUAAAAUGGAGGGCAAAGGAAAAUAAGCUGCAGAGUGAUGGUACAUGAACAACUACCUGUCAAUAUAAGUACACUAAUAAAGGACAGCAGGUACUUACAAGAACAAUGCAGAGCUAAAAAAAUUCAUUGGCAUUGGAUAUAUUCUACACUAAUGUAACCAUUCAUACAGAUUAGAUAAUUUGGGGCGAACAAUUGAUAAGCAAGCUAUCAUGCAUACUGCUGUCACAUAAUGAACCAGGUAUGUAUGCAAGUACAGUGAUACAGGACAACAGGUACUAACAAGAGCAAAGCAGCGGGAAGCAUAUUUGCGAUAUCCUGUCGUUCUUUUCAAACCGGAAUUCUUUUUCGAGCAGAUUUCCUGCAAAAAAGAUCCAUAAGGCACAUGCGCAAAAGUAGAAGUUCAAAUUGUCAUGCGAUAUCAUAGACAGUACCUCAUCCUCGGAACAAGACCAGUGCAUAACAAGAUUUUUCCAUUCAAAAUCUUCUGAAUUUAGCACAGGAGACUUCACCAGAAAUUCAUUUAUAGACUUGCCAUCAAAGUGUGAUUUCCUCAGGUAACACCAAUACUGCUGCAAUGCUUCCUUGAAAAGCACAAGCAAGCUUUGCUCGUCAUGACUAUCCAGAUUGACCCUCGCCUACUUACAACAAUGUAAUGUAAAUCAUUGAUGUGUUCAAUCAGCAGAAAACAGGAAAAUAAUCACCAUGAAUAAUGGCACUUACACGUAAGUGGGACAGGAAGAUGUGAAAAUGGUGUUUAUCUUCACUAUAAUCUUCCCAUGAUGGGAAUAUAUGCACGUAGUCCCUAACAACAUUGAAAGCAUUGUCUUUUAAACUGGGAAUAACUGGAAUGGGGUUCCAAUCUGUAGGAAUUGGCCGUCUCUGCAGUUGGGAUAGGUCUUCGGCCGAUGGACUUGCUAUACUUUUUGCUGGAGUGGGAUUUUUCUGUGGUACGGCUGGUGCUAUGGCAACUGAAAUCGGCAUACCUUUUGCUGGAGUGCAGGUCCUGUGUGGUGCGGCUAGUGGUGUGGCCAGUGAAGUAUGGGUACAGUCUGCUGGGGUCGGUCCUACGUUUUGUGUCACUGGUUGUACAGCCAAUAUAAGUGGGGUGCUGUCUGAUUUCUCCGGCACAACCACGUUUUUCAAGGACUUUGCUGCUCCUCCUUCAGGUUCGGCAAUCACCCUCUUCCUUUUUGAUGUCUGAUGCACAAGAAGAUCAUUUGAGUGGAAAAACAUGGUAUGAUGAUAGAUGGAAUAUGUAUUGAUAAUGGAUGGGCAUGGCAUCUCGACAUAUAUGAUGAGUAAACUAAGUAGAUGGCGGUGCAACAAAGUAGAAGAAAUGCAAGACAACAUAUGCAAGAUACGCGCAAUCAAUAAAACCUUGCCAAAUUAGAACAGGCACCUUGAUGGGUGAACAGGAUAGGCCAUCUGCCUUUGACUCCUCGAGAUUAGAAUAGUCAUUAGGGUCAUAUUCUGAACAAGAAUAAACAGGUGGGGAGCGUAUGAGUUUCAUUGCAUCCAGAAUGGCACUCAAUGCCUUGGUGCCAAUUUUGUAAGUCAUUGCGGUAUUUAGCUUCAAGAGUGGACUGCUGCUAGUGCGACACAAAGCAGCUACACAUAUCAUAGUGUAGAUAUAAUGGGAAAACCGUAAGCAUCAGAGUAAAAUCAGCAAAGUGGAACUUGCUGGAAUAUAUGUGCUAGUAUUGGCGGUACGGCUAGAAAGGCUUCGGAUACCAGCUCUCUUCAACUGAAGGUGCGGUACUGUUAAUAUCAGUGUAACUCUCAAAGGCGACACAGCUCCCCGCAUUUCCUUGCUAUUCUUGUAGGAUUCAAGUGGGCAGGCCACUACAAAUCCUAUUCCCAUGUUUACAAAAUCCUACGAAUCAAAGAGGCCCGAAGAGUUCAAAGUGUCCAUACCAACCGACCUUAUAGACCUCCACACUGCAAAUGUCCCUGCUCAUAUUCACUACAAGGAACAUACUAUACUACUAUCAUACUCCCUCCGUUCCAAAAUAUAAGUCUUGGUAGAGAUUUCCACUAUGGAUCACAUACAGAUGUAUCCAGAUACAUUUUAGAGUGUAGAUUCACUCAUUUUGCUCCAUAUGUAGUCCAUGGUGGAAUCUAUACAAAGACUUGUAUUUAGGAACGGAGAGAGUACUUAUUAAAGAAGAACGGAAGAGGAACAUGCUAAAGAAGAGCAAUCAGAUUUUGGAUAAUAAAAUGUUCGUUGAGCAGUGCCCACACAUGAUGAACCAGAGCACAUUAAGAAAGCAACUCCCUGCUGUCUCUCUAUAUGUGGUGCACGUGCUUUUUCAAAAGUAAAGUAGGAAUAUUAGCUGACCAAUUAAAUGUUACCUGUUUUAGUAAUAUCAACAAGUUUGGAAUUAUGAGUGGCACGUUGUUUAGCUUGAUGGAUUCAGGAGCAGUGCUAAGUGUUGGAAAUAUGCCCUAGAGGCAAUAAUAAAUGGUUAUUAUUAUAUUUCUUUGUUCAUGGUAAUUGUCUAUUGUUCAUGCUAUAAUUGUAUUGUCCGGAAAUCGUAAUACAUGUGUGAAUACAUAGACCACAACGUGUCCCUAGUAAGCCUCUAGUAGACUAGCUCGUUGAUCAACAGAUAGUCAUGGUUUCCUGACUAUGGACAUUGGAUGUCAUUGAUAACGAGAUCACAUCAUUAGGAGAAUGAUGUGAUGGACAAGACCCAAUCCUAAGCAUAGCAUAAAAGAUCGUGUAGUUUCGUUUGCUAGAGCUUUUCCAAUGUCAAGUAUCUUUUCCUUAGACCAUGAGAUCGUGCAACUCCCGGAUACCGUAGGAGUGCUUUGGGUGUGCCAAACGUCACAACGUAACUGGGUGACUAUAAAGUUGCACUACGGGUAUCUCCGAAAGUGUCUGUUGGGUUGGCACGGAUCGAGACUGGGCUUUGUCACUCCGUGUGACGGAGAGGUAUCUCUGGGCCCACUCGGUAAUGCAUCAUCAUAAUGAGCUCAAUGUGACUAAGGCGUUAGUCACAGGAUCAUGCAUUGCGGUACCAGUAAAGAGACUUGCCGGUAACGAGAUUGAACAAGGUAUUGGGAUACCGACGAUCGAAUCUCGGGCAAGUAACAUACCGAUUGACAAAGGGAAUUGCAUACGGGAUUGAUUGAAUCCUCGACACUGUGGUUCAUCCGAUGAGAUCAUCGUGGAACAUGUGGGAGCCAACAUGGGUAUCCAGAUCCCGCUGUUGGUUAUUGACCGGAGAGGCGUCUCGGUCAUGUCUGCAUGUCUCCCGAACCCGUAGGGUCUACACACUUAAGGUUCAGUGACGCCAGGGUUGUAGAGAUAUGUGUAUGCGGAAACCCGAAAGUUCUUCGGAGUCCCGGAUGAGAUCCCGGACGUCAUGAGAGGUUCCGGAAUGGUCCGGAGGUAAAGAAUUAUAUAUAGGAAGUCAAGUUUCGGCCACCGGGAAAGUUUCGGGGGUUACCGGUAUUGUACCGGGACCACCGGAAGGGUCCCGGGGGUCCACCGGGUGGGGCCACCUAUCCCGGAGGGCCCCGUGGGCUGAAGUGGGAAGGGAACCAGCCCCUAGUGGGCUGGGCGCCCCCGCAUGGGCCUCCCCCCAUGCGCCUAGGGUUGGGAACCCUAGGGUGGGGGGGUUCCCACUUGCCUUGGGGGGCAAGGCAACCCCUUCCCCCCAUUGGCCGCCGCCCCCCCCCCUUGAGAUCCCAUCUCCAGGGCCGGCGCCCCCCCAGGGGGCCUAUAUAAAGGGGGGAGGGAGGGCAGCAACAAGACAGCCUUGGGCGCCUCCCUCCUCCCCUGCUACACCUCUCCGUCUCGCAGAAGCUCGGCGAAGCCCUGCCGAGACCCGCUACAUCCACCACCACGCCGUCGUGCUGCUGGAUCUCCAUCAACCUCUCCUUCCCCCUUGCUGGAUCAAGAAGGAGGAGACGUCGCUGCACCGUACGUGUGUUGAACGCGGAGGUGCCGUCCGUUCGGCACUCGGUCAUCGGUGAUUUGGAUCACGGCGAGUACGACUCCGUCAUCCACGUUCAUUGGAACGCUUCCGCUCGCGAUCUACAAGGGUAUGUAGAUGCACUCCUUUCCCCUUGUUUCUAGUAUACUCCAUAGAUGCAUCUUGGUGAGCGUAGGAAAAUUUUAAAAUUAUGCUAUGAUUACCUACAGUGGCAUCAUGAGCCAGGCCUAUGCGUAGUUACUAUGCACGAGUAGAACACAAAGAAGUUGUGGGCGUUGAUGUUGCCAAUUCUUCUUGCCGCUACUAGUCGUUUCUUGUUUCGGCGGCAUUGUAGGAUGAAGCGGCCCGGACCGACCUUACACGUACGCUUACGUGAGACAGGUUCCACCGACUGACAUGCACUAGAUGCAUAAGGUGGCUAGCGGGUGUCUGUCUCUCCUACUUUAGUCGGAACGGAUUCGAUGAAAAGGGUCCUUAUGAAGGGUAAAUAGAAAGUGGCAAAUCACGUUGUGGUCAUACGUAGGUAAGAAAACGUUCUUGCUAGAAACCUACAAACCACGUAAAAACUUGCAACAACAAUUAGAGGACGUCUGACUUGUUUUUGCAGCAAGUGCUAUGUGAUGUGAUAUGGCCAGAAGAUGUGAUGAAUGAUAUAUGUGAUGUAUGAUAUUGAUCAUAUUCUUGUAAUAGGAAUCACGACUUGCAUGUCGAUGAGUAUGACAACCGGCAGGAGCCAUAGGAGUUGUCUUUAUUAUUUUGUAUGACCUACGUGUCAUUGAAUAACGCCAUGUAAAUUACUUUACUUUGUUGCUAAACGCGUUAGCCAUAGAAGUAGAAGUAAUCGUUGGCGUGACGACUUCAUGAAGACACAAUGAUGGAGAUCAUGAUGAUGGAGAUCAUGGUGUCAUGCCGGUGACGAAGAUGAUCAUGGUGCCCCGAAGAUGGAGAUCAAAGGAGCAUAAUGAUAUUGGCCAUAUCAUGUCACUAUUUGAUUGCAUGUGAUGUUUAUCAUGUUUUUGCAUCUUAUUUGCUUAGAACAACGGUAGUAAGUAAGAUGAUCCCUUAUGAUAAUUUCAAGAAAAGAGUUCACCCUAACUGUGCACCGUUGCGAAGGUUCGUUGUUUCGAAGCACCACGUGAUGAUCGGGUGUGAUAGAUUCUAACGUUCGAAUACAACGGGUGUUGACGAGCCUAGCAUGUACAGACAUGGCCUCGGAACACACGCAAUACACUUAGGUUGACUUGACGAGCCUAGCAUGUACAGACAUGGCCUCGGAACACGGAGGACCGAAAGGUCGAGCAUGAAUCGUAUAGAAGAUACGAUCAACAUGGAGAUGUUCACCGAUCUUGACUAGUCCGUCUCACGUGAUGAUCGAACACGGCCUAGUUAAACUCGGAUCAUGUUUUACACUUAGAUGACUAGAGGGAUGUCUAUCUGAGUGGGAGUUCAUUAAAUAAUUUGAUUAGAUGAACUUAAUUAUCAUGAACUUAGUCUAAAAUCUUUACACUAUGUCUUGUAGAUCUAAUGGCCAACGUUGUCCUCAAUUUCAACGCGUUCCUAGAGAAAACCAAGAUGAAAGAUGAUGGCAGCAACUAUACGGACUGGGUCCGGAACCUGAGGAUCAUCCUCAUAGUAGCCAAGAAAGAUUAUGUCUUAGAAGCACCGCUAGGUGAUGCACCAAUCCCAGAGAACCAAGACGUUAUGAACGCUUGGCAAUCACGUGCUGAUGAUUACUCCCUCGUUCAGUGCGGCAUGCUUUACAGCUUAGAACCGGGUCUCCAAAAGCGUUUUGAGAAACAUGGAGCAUAUGAGAUGUUCGAGGAGCUGAAACUGGUUUUUCAAGCUCAUGCCCGGGUCGAAAGAUAUGAUGUCUCCGACAAGUUCUUCAGCUGUAAAAUGGAGGAGAAUAGUUCUGUUAGUGAGCACAUACUCAGAAUGUCUGGGUUGCACAACCGCUUGUCUCAGCUGGGAGUUAAUCUCCCGGAUGAUGCGGUCAUUGACAGAAUCCUUCAGUCGCUUCCACCAAGCUACAAGAGCUUUGUGAUGAACUACAAUAUGCAGGGGAUGGAAAAGACCAUUCCUGAGGUAUAUUCAAUGCUGAAAUCAGCGGAAGGGGAGAUCAGAAAAGAACAUCAAGUGUUGAUGGUGAAUAAAACCACUAAGUUCAAGAAGGGCAAGGGUAAGAAGAACUUCAAGAAGGACGGCAAGGGAGUUGCCGCGCCCGGUAAACUAGUUACUGGGAAGAAGUCAAAGAAUGGACCCAAGCCUGAAACUAAGUGCUUUUAUUGCAAGGGAAGUGGUCACUGGAAGCGGAACUGCCCCAAAUACUUAGCGGACAAGAAGAAGGCCGGCAACACCAAAGGUAUAUGUGAUAUACAUGUAAUUGAUGUGUACCUUACCAGUACUCGUAGUAGCUCCUAGGUAUUUGAUACCGGUGUGGUUGCUCAUAUUUGUAACUCAAAACAGGAACUACGGAAUAAACGGAGACUGGCGAAGGACGAGGUGACGAUGCGCGUCGGGAAUGGUUCCAAGGUCGAUGUGAUCGCUGUCGGCACGCUACCUCUGCAUCUACCUAUGGGGUUAGUUUUAAACCUUAAUAAUUGUUAUUUAGUGCUAGCUUUGAGCAUGAACAUUGUAUCUGGAUCUCGUUUAAUUCGAGAUGGCUACUCAUUUAAAUCCGAGAAUAAUGGUUGUUCUAUUUAUUUGAGAGAUAUGUUUUAUGGUCAUGCCCCGCUGGUCAAUGGUUUAUUUUUGAUGAAUCUCGAACGUGAUGUUACACAUGUUCAUAGUGUGAAUACCAAAAGAUGUAAAGUUGAUAAUGGUAGUCCCACAUACUUGUGGCACUGCCGCCUUGGUCACAUUGGUGUUAAGCGCAUGAAGAAGCUCCAUGCAGAUGGACUUUUGGAGUCUCUUGAUUACAAAUCAUUUGACACGUGCGAACCAUGCCUCAUGGGUAAGAUGACCAAGACUCCGUUCUCCGGAACAAUGGAGCAAGCAACCAACUUAUUGGAAAUCAUACAUACCGAUGUGUGCGGUCCAAUAAGUGUUGAGGCUCACGGAGGAUAUCGUUAUGUUGUCACUCUCACUGAUGAUUUAAGUAGAUAUGGGUAUGUCUACCUAAUGAAACACAAGUCUGAAACCUUUGAAAAGUUCAAGGAAUUUCAGAGUGAAGUUGAGAAUCAACGUGACAGGAAAAUAAAAUUCUUACGAUCAGAUCGUGGUGGAGAAUAUUUAAGUCACGAGUUUGGUGCACACUUAAGGAAAUGUGGAAUAGUUUCACAACUCACGCCGCCUGGAAUACCUCAGAGAAAUGGUGUGUCCGAACGUCGUAAUCGCACUCUAUUGGAUAUGGUGCGAUCUAUGAUGUCUCUUACCGAUUUACCGCUCUCAUUUUGGGGCUAUGCUUUAGAGACUGCCGCAUUCACUUUAAAUAGGGCUCCGUCGAAAUCCGUUGAGACGACACCGUAUGAAUUAUGGUUUGGGAAGAAACCUAAGCUGUCGUUUCUAAAAGUUUGGGGAUGCGAUGCUUAUGUCAAGAAACUUCAACCUGAAAAGCUCGAACCCAAGUCGGAGAAAUGCGUCUUUAUAGGAUACCCUAAGGAAACUAUUGGGUACACCUUCUACCUCAGAUCCGAAGGCAAGAUCUUCGUUGCCAAGAACGGGUCCUUUCUGGAGAAGGAGUUUCUCUCGAAAGAAUUGAGUGGGAGGAAAGUGGAACUUGAUGAGGUGAUAGUCACCCCUUCCGAACCGGAAAGUAGCACAGCGCGGGAAAAUGUUCCUGUGGUGCCUACACCGUCUGGGGAGGAAGUUAAUGAUGAUGAUCAUGAAGCUUCGGAUCAAGUUACUGAACUUCGUAGGUCCACAAGGACACGUUCCGCACCAGAGUGGUACGGCAACCCUGUCCUGGAAAUCAUGUUGUUAGACAACGGUGAACCUUCGAACUAUGAAGAAGCGAUGGCGGGCUCGGAUUCCGACAAAUGGCUAGAAGCCAUGAAAUCCGAGAUAGGAUCCAUGUAUGAAAACGAAGUAUGGACUUUGACUGACUUGCCCGAUGAUCGGCGAGCCAUAGAAAACAAAUGGAUCUUUAAGAAGAAGACGGACGCGGAUGGUAAUGUGACCAUCUAUAAGGCUCGACUUGUCGCUAAGGGUUAUCGACAAGUUCAAGGGGUUGACUACGAUGAGACUUUCUCACCCGUAGCGAAGCUGAAGUCCGUCCGAAUCAUGUUAGCAAUUGCCGCAUACUAUGAUUAUGAGAUAUGGCAGAUGGACGUCAAAACGACAUUCCUUAACGGCUUCCUUAAGGAAGAGUUGUAUAUGAUGCAGCCGGAAGGUUUUGUCGAUCCUAAGAGUGCUAACAAAGUAUGCAAGCUCCAGCGCUCAAUCUAUGGGCUGGUGCAAGCAUCUCGGAGUUGGAACAUUCGCUUUGAUGAGAUGAUCAAAGCGUUUCGAUUUACACAGACUUAUGGAGAAGCUUGUGUUUACAAGAAAGUGAGUGGGAGCUCUGUAGCAUUUCUCUUAUUAUAUGUGGAUGACAUAUUAUUGAUGGGAAAUGAUAUAGAAUUCUUGGAAAGUAUAAAGGCCUAUUUGAAUAAGUGUUUUUCAAUGAAGGACCUUGGAGAAGCUGCUUAUAUAUUAGGCAUCAAGAUCUAUAGAGAUAGAUCGAGACGCCUCAUUGGUCUUUCGCAAAGUACAUACCUUGACAAGAUAUUGAAGAAGUUCAAUAUGGAUCAGUCCAAGAAGGGGUUCUUGCCUGUAUUGCAAGGUGUGCAGUUGAGCACGGCUCAAUGCCCGACCACGGCAGAAGAUAGAAAAAAGAUGAGUGUCAUCCCCUAUGCCUCGGCCAUAGGGUCUAUUAUGUAUGCCAUGCUGUGUACCAGACCUGAUGUAAACCUUGCCGUAAGUUUGGUAGGAAGGUACCAAAGUAUCCCGGCAUGGAACACUGGACAGCGGUCAAGAAUAUCCUGAAGUACCUGAAAAGGACCAAGGAUAUGUUUCUCGUUUAUGGAGGUGACGAAGAGCUCGUCGUAAAGGGUUACGUCGACGCUAGCUUCGACACAGAUCUGGAUGACUCAAAGUCACAAACCGGAUACGUGUAUAUUUUGAAUGGAGGAGCAGUAAGCUGGUGCAGUUGCAAGCAAAGCAUCGUGGCGGGAUCUACAUGUGAAGCGGAGUACAUGGCAGCCUCGGAGGCCGCACAGGAAGCAGUCUGGAUGAAGGAGUUCAUUACCGACCUAGGGGUGAUUCCCAAUGCGUCGGGCCCGAUGACUCUCUUCUGUGACAACACUGGAGCUAUUGCACUUGUGAAGGAGCCCAGGUUUCACAGGAAGACCAGGCAUACCAAGCGUCGCUUCAACUCCAUUCGUCAAAGUGUUCAAAAUGGAGACAUAGAUAUUUGUAAAGUACAUACGGACCUGAAUGUAGCAGAUCCGUUGACUAAACCUCUCCCUAGAGCAAAACAUGAUCAACACCAGGACGCAAUGGGUGUUCGAUUCAUCACAAUGUAACUAGAUUAUUGACUCUAGUGCAAGUGGGAGACUGUUGGAAAUAUGCCCUAGAGGCAAUAAUAAAUGGUUAUUAUUAUAUUUCUUUGUUCAUGGUAAUUGUCUAUUGUUCAUGCUAUAAUUGUAUUGUCCGGAAAUCGUAAUACAUGUGUGAAUACAUAGACCACAACGUGUCCCUAGUAAGCCUCUAGUAGACUAGCUCGUUGAUCAACAGAUAGUCAUGGUUUCCUGACUAUGGACAUUGGAUGUCAUUGAUAACGAGAUCACAUCAUUAGGAGAAUGAUGUGAUGGACAAGACCCAAUCCUAAGCAUAGCAUAAAAGAUCGUGUAGUUUCGUUUGCUAGAGCUUUUCCAAUGUCAAGUAUCUUUUCCUUAGACCAUGAGAUCGUGCAACUCCCGGAUACCGUAGGAGUGCUUUGGGUGUGCCAAACGUCACAACGUAACUGGGUGACUAUAAAGAUGCACUACGGGUAUCUCCGAAAGUGUCUGUUGGGUUGGCACGGAUCGAGACUGGGAUUUGUCACUCCGUGUGACGGAGAGGUAUCUCUGGGCCCACUCGGUAAUGCAUCAUCAUAAUGAGCUCAAUGUGACUAAGGCGUUAGUCACGGGAUCAUGCAUUGCGGUACGAGUAAAGAGACUUGCCGGUAACGAGAUUGAACAAGGUAUUGGGAUACCGACGAUCGAAUCUCGGGCAAGUAACAUACCGAUUGGCAAAGGGAAUUGCAUACGGGAUUGAUUGAAUCCUCGACACCGUGGUUCAUCCGAUGAGAUCAUCGUGGAACAUGUGGGAGCCAACAUGGGUAUCCAGAUCCCGCUGUUGGUUAUUGACCGGAGAGGCGUCUCGGUCAUGUCUGCAUGUCUCCCGAACCCGUAGGGUCUACACACUUAAGGUUCGGUGACGCUAGGGUUGUAGAGAUAUAUGUAUGCGGAAACCCGAAAGUUGUUCGGAGUCCCGGAUGAGAUCCCGGACGUCACGAGAGGUUCCGGAAUGGUCCGGAGGUGAAGAAUUAUAUAUAGGAAGUCAAGUUUCGGCCACCGGGAAAGUUUCGGGGGUUACCGGUAUUGUACUGGGACCACCGGAAGGGUCCCGGGGGUCCACCGGGUGGGGCCACCUGUCCCGGAGGGCCCCGUGAACUGAAAGUGGAAGGGAACCAGCCCUUAGUGGGCUGGGGCGCCCCCCUUGGGCCUCCACCCAUGCGCUAGGGUUGGGAACCCUAGGGGGGAGCUUCCCCCUUGCCUUGGGGGGCAAGGCACCCCUUUCCACUCCUUGGCCGCCGCCCCCCCAACCCUAGAUGGGUUUUGGCCGGCCCCCCUCCCAAGGGGGCCUAUAUAAAGGGGGGAGGGAGGGCAGCAACACACAGCCUUGGGCGCCUCCCUCCUCCCCUGCAACACCUCUCUCUCUCUCUCUCUCUCUCUCUCUCUCUCUCUCUCUCUCUCUCUCUCUCUCUCUCUCGCAGAAGCUCGGCAAAGCCCUGCCGGAGACCCGCUACAUCCACCACCACGCCGUCGUGCUGUUGGAUCUCCAUCAACCUCUCCUUCCCCCUUGCUGGAUCAAGAAGGAGGAGACAUCGCUGCACCGUACGUGUGUUGAACGCGGAGGUGCCGUCCGUUCGACACUCGGUCAUCGGUGAUUUGGAUCACGGCGAGUACGACUCCGUCAUCCACGCUCAUUGGAACGCUUCCGCUCACGAUCUACAAGGGUAUGUAGAUGCACUCCUUUCCCCUCGUUGCUAGUAGACUCCAUAGAUGCAUCUUGGUGAGCGUAGGAAAAUUUUAAAUUAUGCUACGAUUCUCAACAGUGGCAUCAUGAGCCAGGCCUAUGCGUAGUUACUAUGCACGAGUAGAAGACAAAGCAGUUGUGGGCGUUGAGUUUGCCAAUUCUUCUUGCCGCUACUAGUCGUUUCUUGUUUCGGCGGCAUUGUAGGAUGAAGCGGCCCGGACCGACCUUACACGUACGCUUACGUGAGACAGGUUCCACCGACUGACAUGCACUAGUUGCAUAAGGUGGCUAGAGGGUGUCUGUCUCUCCUACUUUAGUCGGAACGGAUUCGAUGAAAAGGGUCCUUAUGAAGGGUAAAUAGAAAUUGGCAAAUCACGUUGUGGUCAUACGUAGGUAAGAAAACGUUCUUGCUAGAAACCUACAAACCACGUAAAAACUUGCAACAACAAUUAGAGGACGUCUAACUUGUUUUUGCAGCAAGUGCUAUGUGAUGUGAUAUGGCCAGAAGAUGUGAUGAAUGAUAUAUGUGAUGUAUGAGAUUGAUCAUAUUCUUGUAAUAGGAAUCACGACUUGCAUGUCGAUGAGUAUGACAACCGGCAGGAGCCAUAGGAGUUGUCUUUAUUAUUUUGCAUGACCUGCGUGUCAUUGAAUAACGCCAUGUAAUUUACUUUACUUUGUUGCUAAACGCGUUAGCCAUACAAGUAGAAGUAAUCGUUGGCGUGACGACUUCAUNNNNNNNNNNNNNNNNNNNNNNNNNNNNNNNNNNNNNNNNNNNNNNNNNNNNNNNNNNNNNNNNNNNNNNNNNNNNNNNNNNNNNNNNNNNNNNNNNNNNNNNNNNNNNNNNNNNNNNNNNNNNNNNNNNNNNNNNNNNNNNNNNNNNNNNNNNNNNNNNNNNNNNNNNNNNNNNNNNNNNNNNNNNNNNNNNNNNNNNNNNNNNNNNNNNNNNNNNNNNNNNNNNNNNNNNNNNNNNNNNNNNNNNNNNNNNNNNNNNNNNNNNNNNNNNNNNNNNNNNNNNNNNNNNNNNNNNNNNNNNNNNNNNNNNNNNNNNNNNNNNNNNNNNNNNNNNNNNNNNNNNNNNNNNNNNNNNNNNNNNNNNNNNNNNNNNNNNNNNNNNNNNNNNNNNNNNNNNNNNNNNNNNNNNNNNNNNNNNNNNNNNNNNNNNNNNNNNNNNNNNNNNNNNNNNNNNNNNNNNNNNNNNNNNNNNNNNNNNNNNNNNNNNNNNNNNNNNNNNNNNNNNNNNNNNNNNNNNNNNNNNNNNNNNNNNNNNNNNNNNNNNNNNNNNNNNNNNNNNNNNNNNNNNNNNNNNNNNNNNNNNNNNNNNNNNNNNNNNNNNNNNNNNNNNNNNNNNNNNNNNNNNNNNNNNNNNNNNNNNNNNNNNNNNNNNNNNNNNNNNNNNNNNNNNNNNNNNNNNNNNNNNNNNNNNNNNNNNNNNNNNNNNNNNNNNNNNNNNNNNNNNNNNNNNNNNNNNNNNNNNNNNNNNNNNNNNNNNNNNNNNNNNNNNNNNNNNNNNNNNNNNNNNNNNNNNNNNNNNNNNNNNNNNNNNNNNNNNNNNNNNNNNNNNGAUGUGAUCGCCGUCGGCACGCUACCUCUGCAUCUACCCACGGGAUUAGUUUUAAACCUCAGUAAUUGUUAUUUAGUGCCAGCUUUGAGCAUGAACAUUGUAUCUGGAUCUCGUUUAAUUCGAGAUGGCUACUCAUUUAAAUCCGAGAAUAAUGGUUGUUCUAUUUAUUUGAGAGAUAUGUUUUAUGGUCAUGCCCCGCUGGUCAAUGGUUUAUUUUUGAUGAAUCUCGAACGUGAUGUUACACAUGUUCAUAGUGUGAAUACCAAAAGAUGUAAAGUUGAUAACAAUAGUCCCACAUACUUGUGGCACUGCCGCCUUGGUCACAUUGGUGUCAAGCGCAUGAAGAAGCUCCAUGCAGAUGGACUUUUGGAGUCUCUUGAUUACGAAUCAUUUGACACGUGCGAACCAUGCCUCAUGGGUAAGAUGACCAAGACUCCGUUCUCCGAAACAAUGGAGCGAGCAACCAACUUAUUGGAAAUCAUACAUACCGAUGUGUGCGGUCCAAUGAGUGUUGAGGCUCGUGGAGGAUAUCGUUAUGUUCUCACUCUCACUGAUGAUUUAAGUAGAUAUGGGUAUGUCUACCUAAUGAAACACAAGUCUGAAACCUUUGAAAAGUUCAAGGAAUUUCAUAGUGAAGUUGAGAAUCAACGUGACAGGAAAAUAAAAUUCUUAUGAUCAGAUCGUGGGAGAGAAUAUUUAAGUCACGAGUUUGGUGCACACUUAAGGAAAUGUGGAAUAUUUUCACAACUCACGCCGCCUGGAACACCUCAGAGAAAUGGUGUGUCCGAACGUCGUAAUCGCACUCUAUUGGAUAUGGUGCGAUCUAUGAUGUCUCUUACCGAUUUACCGCUCUCAUUUUAGGGCUAUGCUUUAGAGACUGCCGCAUUCACUUUAAAUAGGGCUCCGUCGAAAUCCGUUGAGACGACACCGUAUGAAUUAUGGUUUGGGAAGAAACCUAAGCUGUCGUUUCUAAAAGUUUGGGGAUGCGAUGCUUAUGUCAAGAAACUUCAACCUGAAAAGCUCGAACCCAAGUCGUAAAAAUGCGUCUUCAUAGGAUACCCUAAGGAAACUAUUGGGUAUACCUUCUACCUCAGAUCCGAGGGAAAGAUCUUCGUUGCCAAGAACGGGUCCUUUCUAGAGAAGGAGUUUCUCUCGAAAGAAUUGAGUGGGAGGAAAGUGGAACUUGAUGAGGUGAUAGUCACCCCUUCCGAACCGGAAAGUAGCGCAGCGCGGGAAAAUGUUCCUAUGGUGCCUACACCGACUGGGGAGGAAGUUAAUGAUGAUGAUCAUGAAGCUUCAGAUCAAGUUACUGAACUUCGUAGGUCCACAAGGACACGUUCCGCACCAGAGUGGUACGGCAACCCUGUCCUGGAAAUCAUGUUGUUAGACAACGGUGAACCUUCGAACUAUGAAGAAGCGAUGGCGGGCCCGGAUUCCGACAAAUGGCUAGAAGCCAUGAAAUCCGAGAUAGAAUCCAUGUAUGAAACCAAAGUAUGGACUUUGACUGACUUGCCCGAUGAGCGGCGAGCCAUAGAAAACAAAUGGAUCUUUAAGAAGAAGACGGACGCAGAUGGUAAUGUGACCAUCUACAAAGCUCGACUUGUUGCUAAGGGUUAUCGACAAGUUCAAGGGGUUGACUACGAUGAGACUUUCUCACCCGUAGCGAAGCUGAAGUCCGUCCGAAUCAUGUUAGCAAUUGCCGCAUACUAUGAUUAUGAGAUAUGGCAGAUGGACGUCAAAACGGCAUUCCUUAACGGCUUCCUUAAGGAAGAGUUGUAUAUGAUGCAGCCGGAAGGUUUUGUCGAUCCUAAGAAUGCUAACAAAGUAUGCAAGCUCCAGCGCUCAAUCUAUGGGCUGGUGCAAGCAUCUCGGAGUUGGAACAUUCGCUUUGAUGAGAUGAUCAAAGCGUUUGGGUUUACACAGACUUAUGGAGAAGCCUGUGUUUACAAGAAAGUGAGUGGGAGCUCUGUAGCAUUUCUCAUAUUAUAUGUGGAUGACAUAGUAUUGAUGGGAAAUGAUAUAGAAUUCUUGGAAAGUAUAAAGGCCUAUUUGAAUAAGUGUUUUUCAAUGAAGGACCUUGGAGAAGCUGCUUAUAUAUUAGGCAUCAAGAUCUAUAGAGAUAGAUCAAGACGCCUCAUUGGUCUUUCACAAAGUACAUACCUUGACAAGAUAUUGAAGAAGUUCAAUAUGGAUCAGUCCAAGAAGGGGUUCUUGCCUGUAUUGCAAGGUGUGCAAUUGAGCACGGCUCAAUGCCCGACCACGGCAGAAGAUAGAGAAAAGAUGAGUGUCAUCCCCUAUGCCUCGGCCAUAGGGUCUAUUAUGUAUGCCAUGCUGUGUACCAUACCUGAUGUAAACCUUGCCGUAAGUUUGGUAGGAAGGUACCAAAGUAAUCCCGGCAUGGAACACUGGACAGCGGUCAAGAAUAUCCUGAAGUACCUGAAAAGGACUAAGGAUAUGUUUCUCGUUUAUGGAGGUGACGAAGAGCUCGUCGUAAAGGGUUACGUCGACGCUAGCUUCGACACAGAUCUGGAUGACUCGAAGUCACAAACCGGAUACGUGUAUAUUUUGAAUGGAGGAGCAGUAAGCUGGUGCAGUUGCAAGCAAAGCGUCGUGGCGGGAUCUACAUGUGAAGCGGAGUACAUGGCAGCCUCGGAGGCAGCACAGGAAGCAGUCUGGAUGAAGGAGUUCAUUACCGACCUAGGGGUGAUUCCCAAUGCGUCGGGCCCGAUGACUCUCUUCUGUGACAACACUAGAGCUAUUGCACUUGCGAAGGAGCCCAGGUUUCACAGGAAGACCAGGCAUAUCAAGCGUCGCUUCAACUCCAUUCGUGAAAGUGUUCAGAAUGGAGACAUAGAUAUUUGUAAAGUACAUACGGACCUGAAUGUAGCAGAUCCGUUGACUAAACCUCUCCCUAGAGCAAAACAUGAUCAACACCAGGACGCAAUGGGUGUUCGAUUCAUCACAAUGUAACUAGAUUAUUGACUCUAGUGCAAGUGGGAGACUAUUGGAAAUAUGCCCUAGAGGCAAUAAUAAAUGGUUAUUAUUAUAUUUCUUUGUUCAUGGUAAUUGUCUAUUGUUCAUGCUAUAAUUGUAUUGUCCGGAAAUCGUAAUACAUGUGUGAAUACAUAGACCACAACGUGUCCCUAGUAAGCCUCUAGUUGACUAGCUCGUUGAUCAACAGAUAGUCAUGGUUUCCUGACUAUGGACAUUGGAUGUCAUUGAUAACGGGAUCACAUCAUUAGGAGAAUGAUGUGAUGGACAAGACCCAAUCCUAAGCAUAGCAUUAAAGAUCGUGUAGUUUCGUUUGCUAGAGCUUUUCCAAUGUCAAGUAUCUUUUCCUUAGACCAUGAGAUCGUGCAACUCCCGGAUACCGUAGGAGUGCUUUGGGUGUGCCAAACGUCACAACGUAACUGGGUGACUAUAAAGGUGCACUACGGGUAUCUCCGAAAGUGUCUGUUGGGUUGGCACGGAUCGAGACUGGGAUUUGUCACUCCGUGUGACGGAGAGGUAUCUCUGGGCCCACUCGGUAAUGCAUCAUCAUAAUGAGCUCAAUGUGACUAAGGCGUUAGUCAUGGGAUCAUGCAUUGCGGUACGAGUAAAGAGACUUGCCGGUAACGAGAUUGAACAAGGUAUUGGGAUACCGACGAUCGAAUCUCGGGCAAGUAACAUACCGAUUGACAAAGGGAAUUGCAUACGGGAUUGAUUGAAUCCUCGACACCGUGGUUCCUCCGAUGAGAUCAUCGUGGAACAUGUGGGAGCCAACAUGGGUAUCCAGAUCCCGCUGUUGGUUAUUGACCGGAGAGGCGUCUCGGUCAUGUCUGCAUGUCUCCCGAACCCGUAGGGUCUACACACUUAAGGUUCGGUGCCGCCAGGGUUGUAGAGAUAUGUGUAUGCGGAAACCCGAAAGUUGUUCGGAGUCCCGGAUGAGAUCCCGGACGUCACGAGAGGUUCCGGAAUGGUCCGGAGGUAAAGAAUUAUAUAUAGGAAGUCAAGUUUCGGCCACCGGGAAAGUUUCGGGGGUUACCGGUAUUGUACCGGGACCACCAGAAGGGUCCCGGGGGUCCACCGGGUGGGGCCACCUAUCCCGGAGGGCCCCGUGGGCUGAAGUGGGAAGGGAACCAGCCCCUAGUGGGCUGGGUGCCCCCGCAUGGGCCUCCCCCCAUGCGCCUAGGGUUGGGAACCCUAGGGUGGGGGGGUUCCCACUUGCCUUGGGGGGCAAGGCAACCCCUUCCCCCCAUUGGCCGCCGCCCCCCCCCCUUGAGAUCCCAUCUCCAGGGCCGGCGCCCCCCCAGGGGGCCUAUAUAAAGGGGGGAGGGAGGGCAGCAACAAGACAGCCUUGGGCGCCUCCCUCCUCCCCUGCUACACCUCUCCGUCUCGCAGAAGCUCGGCGAAGCCCUGCCGAGACCCGCUACAUCCACCACCACGCCGUCGUGCUGCUGGAUCUCCAUCAACCUCUCCUUCCCCCUUGCUGGAUCAAGAAGGAGGAGACGUUGCUGCACCGUACGUGUGUUGAACGCGGAGGUGCCGUCCGUUCGGCACUCGGUCAUCGGUGAUUUGGAUCACGGCGAGUACGACUCCGUCAUCCACGUUCAUUGGAACGCUUCCGCUCGCGAUCUACAAGGGUAUGUAGAUGCACUCCUUUCCCCUCGUUGCUAGUAUACUCCAUAGAUGCAUCUUGGUGAGCGUAGGAAAAUUUUAAAAUUAUGCUACGAUUACCUACACUAAGCAGGUACGAUGAUGGUACUGAAUAUAAAGGCAUGUCUGCAUGCAAGUCGCGUGACUUUUGUCAUUUGGGUCAGUCGGCCAUUUCAGGCGAUUGGAUGAAGAUCCUACGUCUCCUAACCCUUCUUCUUCCUCGUCUCUGAUUCUUCCCAUACAGAACACCGCACGGCCGCCGGCCAGACCACCGGCCCCCACCGCAUGUGUUCCUCCGCCACCCCCACCCUCACCCCGCCCCCACCCGCGUCGAGUUUUCUUCGUUCGGCAAGGCCCCACCACUGCCCCCCCACAACCAAAGUACCCACCCGAGCCCCUUCGUUCGCACCGGCGAACUCCGGCGAGCUCUGAAAAAUUGACUGACCCUAUUUUGAAAUUUAGUCUACUGUGGUUUAACUAGUGUGGAAUAUAAAAGGUGAAAACCAUAAGCAUUGGGAGUAUAGUGUUGAGCGUGCCAUCGCGGAUCUGAAGGUGCAAACCGGACAAAGGCAACUUCGCAACCAAUGUUUGCUUUCAACUAGCAAGUAAGUGAUGGACAAGAAAUCAGACUAAAGCAGUGGCGAUCUAUUUUCUUGCUGCAAUAAAUAAGUUGAGCAGAUACGAAAGAGUACUGCCUCUGGUGCGGCGCCGUGUAUGCAUCUGCUGAGAAUUUGACGGUGCUGCGGUAGCGAUGGCUGUCGGCGGCGUGGAAGCAGGUCUAGGAGGGUAGACGGUGGCGGCAGGGCGCGGUGGACGAGACAGUCGUAGGAGCGGCGCCGGGAAGGUGGAGGACGGCGGGGAUGAAGCGAGAGGACGGGAUGCAAGGAUCCCGGUCUGAAGCCGUGGAUGAGAGAGGUUGAUCUCUUGUAAUGGACGGCGGCGUCGGGGUAUCAGCUCCGGCAUGGUGGAGGAGGACGGCGGUGGAUGGGGUGGCGGACGGAGGAGGCUGGGGUGCAGAGGGUGUUUUGGCACCCACGGAGUACGAAUGGGGAAAUGGAGGUGGAGAGGAAGGGGGGAACCAUGUCUUCAGGGCGCGCUUGUCUCAAAUGCAAGGAAAUUUACAAACUUAGCCCCCGUUUCAAAUUUCCUACAUCACAGCAAUAUUAGUCGGUUGGGGAUAGGACGGUAAUCUCGCAUACACCGAAUAUUUGCCGACGAGAGUUUGUUUUUGGUGCCCACCGUGUAUGAAUCGGGGAGGGAGUCGAUUUCGGCCGAGGACACAUUGUGUUUUGGUGCCCACCGUGUAUGAAUCCGGGUGAGAGGCGGUUAUGUCACGUUUGAGUGAAAUUACAAACCUACCCCUAUCGAAACCUAUAGAAAUCGAGCAGAUAGGCUUUGCAUGGCAGGGAUAGGAAGUAGUAAUUUCCAUCUCACAUAUUUUGGUUUCGGGCGGUUACUGCGACUUUCCCCGCUUCGUUCAAAUUUUGCAGAGUGCACGUUUACCGUGCCAACUCAAUUCGAAUCCCGUUUGUAUUCUAUUUUUUCGGGCGGGAUCCAUUUUCAAUUGGAAUAAAAUUCUAUAUACAUCAUUUUUUAUAUAUACUUUCAAAAGCACAACACCCUUUAUACAUAAAUAUGGUUUACAAAUGGCAUGAUCUCAGAUUCAUAAGGUUGUAUCCAUCAAUUUGGAUUUUCAAAUAUUUGAAACCACUUUAUGUUGAAAUCCAAUGUAUGCAUUCCUCGCUAACUGUCUCCAAUUAAUGUGUGUUUCAUGCGGGUUUUUUUACUUCUCAAACAUGUAUAAUGUGUUUCACACACGCAACAUAUAGUAUAAUCCCGUUUAGACAUUAAUUGCAUAUAAACCAUGCAUUGUUUCUAAUUAAAGAAUCUAUGGAUCACCAAUAUUGAUAAACUAUAUAACAUUACACGUGUCCCCAAAUUCAAAUGAAUAUGCAUGUUUGAUACACCAAUUUGCGUUAUGAUAUUAUCGAUGUCGUGAUCUCCAGUUUAAAUAUUUGAAUUCCAUUUAAUCCAGAUAUUCGUCUCAUAUAACUAUCACUCAUGCUUAUAUAGGACUAUCUCUCUAGACCUAUACGCGUUCAUCGUCUCUCGGGUAUCUCUCGUGCUACCUAUAUGUCGACAAUGAUCUUUUAUCUUCGUAACACACUGACGGUACUCUCUCCCUCGACCUUCGUCGCUCUAUCUCUCUCUAAGUAUAUCUCGCUCCCCGCUAUGUGUCUCUAACUAUGAUUCUCCAUGUGGAAUCUUUUUCUCUCACACAAACACAAAACUUUGUCUCCCGGGGUCUCAUUUCUCUCUACUAUUCCCCUGUGUGCCACUCACACACCCCUCAUAUAGAGAUGUUUUUCGCUCCUUUGGUAUGAGAACCUACGAGUCUUCCUCUUAAAUAUCUCUUUCUCACACACAAACACAAACUCUGUCUCCCAGGGUCUCAUAUUUCUCCACUGUUCUCUUGUAUGUCGCUCACACACACUCUCUCUACCUAGAGAUAUCUUGCGUUCCCUCAUAUGUUUCUCUAGCUAUCACUCUCGUUUCGAAAUAUCUUUCUCUCUUGCAGACACAAAACUUCGUCUCUCGGGAUCUCAUUUCUCUCCGAUAUUUGUUUGUAUGUCAGUCACAUGCACCCUUUCUUCAUCUCUCUCACACCCACACCCAUAACUCAGCCUUCUGAUCCACUCGACUCCUAUCUCUAACGCACACUAGCUAGCAUCUUUAUCUUUCUAUUUAUCUGUUUCUCCAUCAACCUUCUUUCAUUUAUAGGUUGAUCUCUUUUGCACAAUCGUUGUGCCUCACUCCCUCUGCUCGCCAUAGAUGCAUGCUCCAGCCCACACCACUAUCUUUUAAAGACAAAAACACAUGCUCAAUUGUCGGGCCUUCUUCCCUGCAUUCUCGCAUGCAUGCAUAUUGUCAUACCGAUCCGUCUCUCCCAUGUCGUUGAUCUUAGCUUAUGACUUAUGUCUUCUUUCUUUUAUCUCGAUCAUGCGCGCGCGCACACGCACACAUCCCACGUAUACAUGUAUACCUCUCACACAUGCACGUUGAAGGUCUCUAUGUCUCCAUACGUAGUUAAUUACCCUCAACCCUAAUGCCACAUCGAAUCGUUCUCUUCUUGUGUGCACAUAACUUCCGCUUGGAUGGGUAAAACACACACACACACUUAACAAUCUCCUUCUAGCUACCCCCUCUCACUCUUCCCCUAUAUCCCCGAAACCAAUAAGACCACCCCUUCGUUUAAUUCCCGCGUACAUGCACCAUCGAUAUAUAGUAGUCUUCCUCGGUGUCUCUCGAACAAACACGUUCUCUCGAUGUCGACUACUCUCACGCGCACACACCUUCUCUUCCCUCUCUACGGGCAUUUUCUCUCUCGCACCCCAUCGUUGGUGGCCUCUGCCAUACACAUCAACUCUCUAUGAUGAAUCCAUGCACACUUAAAUUACAUCCGCCACGGAGGACCCCGCGACACACACACACACACAAACAAACAAACACACACACGCACGCACCCACCCACACACACAAACACACACACACACACUAAGACUCCAUCACACACACACGCACACACGCACACACACUAAGACUCCAUCUCUCUCUCUCACACACACCCACACACCGACACACACCCACACACACACACACACACUGAGACUCCAUCUCACACACACAUGCUUUAGGCGGAGCAUUUGUUCCUACCUCCCUUCAUCCACCCUUACCCAUAUGAUAAACAAUCACCUUAAUUUACUUGUAUAACAUGGAUAAAUUCCACUUUACUUUAGUAGUUAGCAAACUUAUCAUCUGUACCCUUAUAAAAAACCGAGUUGGCGAUGAAGGUGUGCCUACCAUCUUGUAAUAUAGACCGUCUGAUCUAUAUCUGACGGAUAGAAAGGAAACUAUGAUAAUUUUACAAAAGAUAGCCGCACCUCUUUCCACAUCCUUAUCUCCCCACAACCUCAUUGCUGAGCAAUUAAAAAAGAAAGUAUCUGGAACAAUCUAGCAUGGUGGCCGCUGCCGCCUGCCGGCGCCGUCCAUCCCCAUGCCUCCGCCCAUUCCGACCACCAGUCACGACCACGCUCCACUCCUCCUCACCUUAUCUCUCAUCUUUCAUUUUUUCGAUGACAUUCUCGAGAUACCAGUUUUCCGAUAAAAUUCUCGAAAUAUCAUUAGUUUUUACACAUGGGAUUACUCCUGCAUGGGUAAAUCACAACAGGUGUUUUGUAAAAAAAUGCAUAUUGAUGUUCCGUGCAAUGCACGAGCAUCUUUCUUGUAAUUAUAUAACGCAAAUCACGAGCAGGAAGUGACAUUUUUUUACACAACCACGUUAACAUGGCCACGUAAAUCACUAGCUAAAGUAAAUACCAUUAUACUUAUAUCCCGAUGCAAAAGGUUGAGUACAUGUCCGAAGAGUAGAGUCGCACACACGCACUCUGUCUCUCAGAAUCUCACACACACACACACACACACCAGUUACGUGACGCCCACUUCGGCAGACACGUAUGUUACAAUUUGUGCACCCGCGGGUACACGUGAUGCUCCGCAUUUAUUUAAGCCAGACGGCGAACCCAAACAGUAGCUGCAUUCAUUCCCCUCCCGCCGCCUCUUCUCUGGUUGCCGUCGCCCGGAUGAGGAUCCCCUGACGUGAAGAAUCCUACCAUUCUAUCAAUGACAUGUGGGACCCCCAAGCGUGGGUCCCACCAGUCAGCGAAGGAAAGGCAGGGUAAGGCAGUGAUAGCCACGUCAGAGGAUCCAUGUCCCGCCCGGUAGCCAUGGCCCGACCGAAGGUAACAACAUACACCAUACUCCCGCCGGAGCGGCUCUUUAAUCUGGAAAUUUUAGUGGUCAUGCAUGCAUCUUUUUGUGCUAGCACUCCUGUAUAAGGGUUGACCGGGCGCUUCCCACGGACGUGCGCAGGCGGUGGAAGAGGAAGGAGAAGGGAAGCGGGCUGUGGAGUAACGUUUUUUACCACAAUUUCUGAGGAAACUGAGUGCAAUAAUUGAGUAGUUUUGCAAACUACUAGUACUACACCUGAAACGGUUCAAAACCUAUACUCCCUUGCCAGCGCGCGCUUCCCGCGUGAUACGGUCAGCAUCGCCCUGGAGCAUCGGUGCCGCAUUAAUGCCCGGCCAGAGCGGAGGCGACCUCUCACUGGCGUCGGCUUUGAAGCGGCGCGACGGCCGAGAGAGCGCCGCUUCCCGGUGCACCGACUCCUCCGCGUCGAGGCUGGCCAUAGGCCCUGUUUGGAUCCAUGGGUUAGAGUUAGUUUGAGCUCAUUGGGGCUGAAAUAGCCCUAAAGUAUCCAAGCAUGAUGGUUUAAAUUGGAGCAAGUUGCACCGAACCCACCAAAAAAAAA
rnacentral:lncRNA from 1 species